UUCUGUUCAGAAACCAUGGGCAAUCUUAUUAAUAAAGUCUAGGUUAGAGCAAAGUACCUGGUGAUUUUGCAGGUUUUGUUGCUGCAUUUAAGACUUUUAGGCCUCUUGGAAAUGUUCUUGAGGAUAAUCUCCCCCUUGAAGAUCCAUUUGAUCUGAUAGUGAAGAAGGUUGAGCAAUGGUCCUGUGUGGUCUUUGAAGAGAAAAUUAGUGGUGAUGAUUGAUAAUUAGGAUACAAAGAAGAUGAAGAUGAGUGUGAGCUGAUUGAAGGAAGUGCAGCCAUUUGGCAGGACUUUCAAGUCAGAAGUUUGGCUGUAGUUGCUCGACGAACGAGCAGGAGUUGCUUGAUUUGCUUUCUUCUCCUUGGGAGGUGGUUGAAUGCUAGGAAAUACGUAAAUGGGCCAUAGGCGUUGUGGAUUUUUUUGACAUUAUCUCUCCCAGAAAUCUGAACCUGUGGCUCUUGUUCGAGGGCUUUUGCCAUGUGGAUUAUACGGAAUCCUUUUGUUUUGUCCCUUCCCUUUUCUCACAAAUUUAGUGAUAUCUUUCUAAUGCAAAACUAUUUUCCGAUUAAGCACCCACAGCAUGCUACACAGCGCUUGUAGGAGUACACAUUCUCCAGGAAUAACGAUUAAGGUGGAGAACUUAAACGGAGAAGGGUAUUAAUAAAAAAAUAAAUUUAAAAUUAUUUAAAAAACUAAAAGAAUAAAAAACAAAUGUAUUAAAAAAGGAAAAGCCCAAAUCAUGUGGACCUUCAAGCUCAAGCCCACCUGCCUAGACCUGCUAUUUUUUUAUUUAAAGAGGUUUGCCCAUUUUUAUUUUUUUGAAAAAAAAAUAGACAGACAACACGUCGUUCACUGUGGUAUACAAUGUGUUGUGGUGGCCGAAAAAUCAGGGUUUUGGGUUUUAUAUCUCACAAAACACAUUUUUCAAUUCAUUUCAACCAUUAAACACCCUAUAAUCACCCCUAUAACACCAAGGAACCAACAUAUGAACCUAAUAAACUAAAACAAAAAAAAAAAAUAGCCAAAACCACAAAAUUAAAUCGAAAAAAAUAUUUCAUCCUCGACCUAAAUCUGGUUUUUAAGGAUACAUUGAGGCUUAAAACAACUUACUAUAAAACUAUCCUUACAUGAUGGAACUUGUUGACAUCGAUUUUAACAUGUUUUGUGGUCGGAAAAUGUGUCAAGACGAGCUUUAUCUCUCUACACCGGAAUCUGAUGGGGCUCUCUUUCUACUCUCACAAAAAAAAAGAAUAAAAAAAUUAGAAAAAUAAAGUUUGGUAUCAAAAUUAAAUUUUUAAAAAUUAAAGGGACUGGUUACCUAAUAGCUAAAAAAAAUUGGGCACUAAAUGAACUUUUCAAACUAAUUUUAAAGUUGUUACCUAUUUUACUUGUGUUUUUCAUUUCAGUCAUCUUUCUUUCAAUUCAACCCUCCCUAAUAAAACAUAAUUGGGUGCUAAUUUGGGCUCAAAUGUGCAAAAUAAAAGUUUGAUGACUAAAUUAAAAAUAUCAAAAAAACUCAUUGUUCCAAUCCGUAGUGAUUUGUGAGAUGGUGCGCAAUAAUUAAUGAACAUUGAAAAUAGGGAUGUUAAAAUUGUUAAUGCGUUUGAUAUAAAGUUAAAAAUUUAAAGGAAAAUGUUGAAGUGAUAAAAUUAACGAUGAAGUGUAAAGAAGUAAAAGGUGUUAAAAAGAUGAAGUGUAUAAAAAUGUUUGAUAAGAAUUUAAAAGAAUUUGGGUUAUAAUGAGAUCUAUUAUAAAUUAGAUUUAUAAAUAAUAUUAAUGAAUACCAUACAAUAUAAAUUGGAUAGAUUAAGAAUUUAAAUAUAAUAAAUGAUGUAAGAUGGGAUACAUCUGUCGCACGUCAAAAUCCGCGCGACAUCGGCUGGCGAUUUUUUUGUUUAUUUUCUAUUUUUUGCUUGGUUCGUUGGAGUCGCCACCUAGUAUUAUGGUCACUAGGAACCUAAGGUCCGCGAGAGUCUGAGUAAGGGACUGGUUGUGCAAGGGGAAGACGCAUAACCCCCAGUGCACCCUACCUAAGGCAAGCUGCAUUAUUGUUUGAUUGCUUUUCUAGGUCGAGUUUCUAUUCGUUGGUCUUUUCUAAGGUUCAAGGCAAAUCUCCCCUCGUGAGGGAGUCUCUACCUUAUUCGGUUAAAUCCUAACCAUUCUAAAGUCUGAAUUUUAAAAUUGCUUUUACUUACACCUUGUAUCUUUAAUACUCGAGGAUGUACAUUAUCGUGUAAUUUUACACCCUACAAAUAUUAAAGUCUACAUCCGGAUCCUAGAAAAAAAAAAGGUUGGAAAAAGGUUUUUGAUAUUUUGGCCAAACCCUAAUGGAUGAUUAUAAACUAGUUACGAUAUCCAUUUUUGAAUUUUUAAAAUGGGAGAAAGAUGGAAUUUUUGUGAAAACAUGCUUGGAAAAUUCUUUAGGACUUGGCCGUAUGCGAUAAAACAUUUUUUUUCCUUUUUUUUGUUUUUUUUGUUUUUUUGAAAUAUUUCAAAGAAAACCGGGCAUUUUAAUACCGAACUUGUAUCUUACAUUGUAAGUAUACAACCCAAUAUUAAGCAAAACUUGGUAGAAAAAUAUUUUAAAAAAUUUUAAACUUUUUUGAAAUGAUUUAAUUUUUUUUUUAGGGGCUGGGCCGGGCCCGACCCCUUGGGCGGGGCCAGAACUGGCCCGGCCCAAGCAAGUGGCUAAUUAAUCAGCCACUGCAUGCAGAAAUGAAUUCUGCAUGCAGCGGCUACGAAGAACAAAGAAGAAAAGACUAGAGCAGGGAGGAGAGAAUUACCUGGCGUGGAGAGAGUCGGCAGCCUGGCUGGUGAUGCGCGGUGUGACUGGAGGCGGCGAGGCAGGCGGCGUGCACUGGUCCCGGCUGGAAGAAGAAUGAAGCAGGUCCUGCAGAGGAGAGGGAAAGCUCACGACUAGAGCUGUUGGAGUGGCUGAGGAGGGAAAUGCUACCCAAACUGCUGUUGAUAGGUGCAAGCCGCUGUAAAGGAUGGUUGCUGUUGCUGCUGCUGCUGGGAUUGCGGUGGUGGAGAGAGAGAAACGUUGUGCAGAGAAGAGAGGGGGAGAGAGAGAGGUGUUGCAGGCUUCGGUGAGGUUGCUGGGUGAUGUAUGGGAUGCGGUCUUUCAGGUAAAGGAUGGUGGCGAGGUCAGUGGUGGCGAAUAGAGGCCACGACGGAGAGAAAAAAAAGAAGGGACUGGUUAAAUACUAGAAAACCGGGCAGGAAAAGCUGAUUUUUUUGCCAAUUUUGCAUUCAAUUUUCUCCUUCUUCUGAGCAUGAAAUUGGCUCCUAUUUAUAGGGAUCGAAAGAGGGUAAUCUGGUAUUUAACGGGGAAAAAUUCUCAGCCCUUGAUUCGACUCGAGGAAUCCAAGCCGUUGGUUCAAAGUGUGCACCUCGAACUGCCAAAUUUGGCAAUCCAAGGCUGCAGACCGCCCGAGGGUGCCACUUUGGGUCAAUAAACGGAGCUGUUUCCAAGUUGUUCGACCCAACCAGACCACUCUACGAGAUAAAGAUGUUUCAGGGGAACAUGUUGGUGCAUGCCUUGUCGGAUUUGGGGGCCACACGAGUGAGAAAACGCGCCUGGAAAGCAGCCACUCGGGCAGCUUUGUGAGGAAGAAGAUGAACAGUAACCAGGCGACGCGUCGCCUGGUCUCUUCCCUCAACACAAAAACGGCGCCGUUUGGGAUAAAAAUUAGGGAUUUUUGCUGAUUUUCAAUUUAGCCCUCCAGCUUUCAAUUUCUUUCAAUUUGACCCCCGGAUUUUGUCAAUUAGACCCCUAUAGUUUGCGCCUUUUGCAAGUUGGUCCUUGUCUUUGGAUUAUGUCAAUUUAACCCCUAAUUGACCCCAAAACUUCAAUUUUCUUGCAAUUUGACCCCUGAUUUCAAUCAAUCAACUUGGUAAAAAUUAAAUUUGGUCUCUUAAAAUUCCAAUCUUCUCAAUUAAGCCCAAAUUAAGCUCCCAAACUUAAUUUUUCACCAAUUAAGCCUCAAGAUAAAAUUAAUUUGACCCAUUUAAAGUAUAAUUAAGUCUUUGCACUUAAUUAAAUCCUUCAAUUGGACCUAAAUUAAUUCUUAAACAUAAUUAAAAUUCAAUUUGGCCCAUGAUUAAAUCAAAUUGACCUAUUAAAAAUUUAAUUAUGUCCUUGGACUUAAUUUUUAUGCAAAUUCGUCCGACAAUCAUUUAAUUGAACCUUGAAUUUGCAUUUUUCUUCUCCAAUUUUGGGCACAAUGGGGCGCCAAUAGAUCUUGAGUCUCCUCCAAAAAUUGCAAUUUGAUUUCCCGACAUACUUUCUCCACGUUGCCAGCCUUUAUUAUUUUUUUAUUUUAUUUUGGGGGAAUUUAUUUUGGGGGAAUAACCCAGAAUUGGGUUAUGACAGUUGCCCCCCUCUUUACAAGGCUUGCGAUAGAAAGUCUCUUACGAGACUUUAGAUAGUAGGCAUUGUAAAGAAGAAAACGAAGAAUGAGAGGUGAUGGAAUGAUGAAUCCUUAUGAGGGCUAGAAAGCACACUUAGAGUAAAAACUGGAAGAUUUUUUUUUUUGGAUGAAAAAUACUAAGAUUUUUCAAAGAGGUCUUGUUGUGUUGAGCGACCUACCCACGUGAAAGAUUUUGAAGAAAAUACAAAGAGUUUCUCAAAAAUACGAAAAUUUUUCAAAGUGAUCUUGUUGUGUUGGGUGACCUGCCCAGGAAAGGUUUUGAAAAAUACAAAGAUGUUUUCAAAAACACGAGAAUUUUCAAAGUGGUCUUGUUGCGUUGGGUGACCUGCCCAGGAAAGGUUUUGAAAAAUACAAAGAUGUUUUCAAAAACACGACAAAUUUCAAAGUGGUCUUGUUGCGUUGGGUGACCUGCCCAGGAAAGGUUUUGAAAAAUACAAAGAUGUUUUCAAAAACACGACAAAUUUCAAAGUGGUCUUGUUGCGUUGGGUGACCUGCUCAGGAAAGGUUUUGAAAAAUACAAAGAUGUUUUCAAAAACACGAAAAGUUUCAAAGUGGUCUUGUUGCGUUGGGUGACCUGCCCAGGAAAGGUUUUGAAAAAAUACAAAGAUUUUUUUCAAAAAUACAAAAAUUUUCAAGGUGGUCUUGUUGUGUUGGGUGACCUUCUCUGGUGAAAAUUUUAGAGGCGGUGAGAAAUGCGAGAAUUUCUCAAAAUGGUUUUAUUGUAAUGGGCAUGAUAGGACCCGAAGGGGAACGAGGGCUGAAAAGUACACUCGAAAGGAGUUAGGGUUAGAAAACACACUAUCCGAGAUGGUCGAGGACUCUUAGGCGCACUCACAAAGAAAGACGAUAGGGCUAGAAAGCAUACUAUCUGAAUGAUGGGGGCUCAAUGCCCACUCAAAAAAAGUAAUGGUAAGACACUGAUAUGUCAAGGAUGCAUCGUGAUCAAUACGCAUGUAUACGUACCUGAUAAAUAUAGGCCCCCUCUUCUUCAUGGUGUCUUUCUUUUCUUCAAAAGUUGGAGUGUCUAAUAGUAAGCUUCAAUGGCUCUUUUCACUCUUGCUUACUCGAGUCACAUCUUGUGAUCUUGACCCUCGGGCAGGAUAUGAUAUCAACACACAUCUUAUCCCUCAAGCCUUUAUCUGAAGAGAUUUCCAGCUCAACCUAACCUUUUCCAUUAAAGGGGAAUCAUGGAGCCACCCCUAUGUGUUUUGGUGAAUUGCCCUCUAGCUUGAUCAUGCUGCCAAGUAUUCGGAUCAGGUUUGAGGAUGAGGCUAUGUGAAGGUAGGUUUGGUUUUUGAUAGGGAGUUGUUUUCAUUCAGAAUUUUUGGAAUUUCAAAGCUAUUCCAGACACAAAAAUCAUUUUGACAUUGAUUCAAAGCAAACUCAUUCUGAAGGAAUUCAAGUGAUUCCUAUGGAGAGGUUUUCAGAAGUGAUGAAAACCCCUUUUUUUUGGGUGAAAAAUAUGAAGUGACAUUUGGUUGGUCAUAAAAGGUUGAAAUUUCAAUUUGUGGGUUAUUGAGAACCGUUGGUGAAAAUGUGAAGAACACGAAGUGACAUCUGGUUGGUCACAAAAGGUUUAAAUUUCAAUUUAAGGGUUAUUGAGAACCGAUGGUGAAGCAUUCAUUUUAUUUGCAUGAAUAAUGAUUUUUCGCAUGAGAAAGCACUGCCUACCGAUCCAGAUUGCUUGCCUUUGAUCAGAAAGGGCUUGAUUAGGCACGUAAUGUAGGCUUGGGCUAUUGGCUAUGAAGAAAAUGAUAUUUGUAGGCUCAAAAGGUGUUUAAGGGACUUUAAGACUAAGGAUCACUAGUGCUUAUAUCCCAAACUCUUUUGUUCAUACAUUUCUGGACCUUGGAAUUGAUUUGUAAAAUGGUCCACGGUGCCCCCCAGUGUUGGGCUUGGGCUCUUUCUCUUUGUUUUUGUUUUCUUCAUUUGAUUUUGAGCAUCAUUGCAUUGGCCUUUUUUUUGCUCAAAAUUUUUGGAUCCUUUGGAUUUUUCUCAUGCCCCCUAGCUUUGUAUGGGCACCUUUGAUGAUUGAGAAUUUUCUUUUAUGCCCCCCAGUAUUGUUUGGGCACUUUCAUCGUUGAAGACUUUUUCAUGCCCCAAGAGUUAUUUGGGCACUUUCAAUCAUUAUGGAUUUUUUGCACUUGCCCCCAGUGUAGGGUGUGAUCCUAGCCAAGGUUAUUUUUCAAGAAAAAUUUAUUAGGCUCAAAAGGGACUAAAUGAUAUAUUUCAGCCUUGUGAAAAGAUUAUCAAAGAUGGCCUUUCUUCAUCUCAAAUGCAUGCAUUUAGGAUCGGUAAGCCUUACUUUCAUGCGAGUAUGCAGAGUGAUUUCUCAUUAUUCAUACAAAUAUAAAACCCAGCUUUCGGAGUCACUUCAUGAUGCCUUUUUUUUUUAGGUUUUCUAGGUAUAUGGUUACCUCUUUAAGGAAUCACCUUAAUUUUCAGAACUUGUUUGUUUCAAAAAAACACCAGAAUUAUUUUUGUUUUCGUACUAAGCUUUGAAUUCCCAAAAAUCCUUGUGAAAACAUGAGAUCAUGCAUAAUUUUAAGGGAAACACACUAAAGAAAUUUUGGCCAAACUUCAAUUUCAUUGACUGAUGAAGGUAAAUACAUCAAGCAUAGUACUUCUUUACAACAUCUGAGUUUACAGGUCUUGGUAGAUCCCUUCCAUCCAUAGUAGUCAGAAUUAAAGCCCCUCCAGAAAAAGCCUUUUUCACUACAUAUGGCCCUUCAUAGUUUGGUGCCCACUUGCUUUGAUCUUCUCCUGAUGCUAGUGGGAUCUUCCUUAGCACCAAAUCCCCUUCCUUGAACACCCUUGGUCUGACCUUCUUGUUGUAAGCUUUGGCUAUCCUGCUUUGGUAUAACUGGUGAUGGCAGAUAGUUGCUAGUCUUCUCUCGUCGAUCAAGGUUAGUUGCUCAAAUCUUGACCUUGCCCAUUCUGAUUCGUCCAGUUCUGCAUCUUUCAGGAUCCGCAGUGAUGGGAUUUCUACUUCUAAGGGCACAACCGCCUCCAUUCCAUAUACUAAAGAGUAUGGGGUGGCAUUUGUAGAAGUUCUAACUGUGGUACGGUACGCAUGAAGUGCAUAUGGGAGCAUCUCAUGCCAAUCCUUGUAGGUGACCAUAAUUUUCCUGGAUAAUCUUCUUGAGAUUCUUGUUACCUGCUUCGACUGCCCCAUUCAUCUUUGGUCUAUAAGGGGAAGAAUUGAGGUGUUUAAUCCUCCAUUUGGUGCACAAUUCGUCAAUCAGCUUCCCAUUGAAAUUCUGGGCGUUGUCAGUUACCAAUCUUGCCGGCAAACCAUAACGACAGACCAAAUCCUUUUCAAUAAAUCUCUUGACUACUUUUUGUGUUACAUGGGCGUAAGAGUUGGCUUCUACCCAUUUGGUGAAGUAGUCAAUGGCCACCAAAAUGAAUCUAUGUCCAUUGCUCGCUUUAGGGUUGAUUGGCCCUAUGACAUCUAAACCCCACAUAUCAAAAGGCCAAGGCGAGAUCAUAUUGAACAGAGGCGCCGGAGGCAUAUUUAUCUUGUCGCCAUAUAUUUGACACUUGUGGCAUUUUCUGACAUAGUCUAUACAAUCUCUCUCCAUGGUCAACCAGAAGUAUCCAGACCUUUGAAUUUGUUUUGCCAUUGUAUGACCAUUAGCAUGUGUAGCACAGAUCCCCUCAUGGACUUCCUUUAAUGCUUGUUCAAUCUCAUUUUCAUUCAAGCACCUGAGCAGAGUCCCAUCAAAUGACCUUUUAUAUAAAAUUUCCCCAUCCAAGUAAAAAUUCAUGGUCAUUCUUCUUAAAGUCUUUUCAUCUGUCUUGGAAACCCCUUCAGGAUAUUCUCGAUGCUGGAGAAACUUCUUGAUGUCAUUGUACCAUGGUUUCCCAUCUGGAGAUUCUUCAAUUAAGCAACAAUGGGCUUGGAAGCUUCUGACUUCGAUAUUUAUUGGUUGGAUCUUGGUUUUAGAAUCAACUUGUGUCAUUGAAGCUAAGGUUGCUAAGGCAUCGGCAAAUUGAUUCUUAUCUCUGCUUAGAUGGGUGAAUUUGAUUUCUUCAAAUUCAUUGGCUAGCUUCAAGAGAUAACUUUGAUACAACUUCAACUUCUCAUCCUUAGUUUGCCACUCACCUUUGACUUGACAGAUAAUUAGUAAGGAAUCCCCGAAAACCUCAAGCUUCUUGGCCUUAAGUUCUAGAGCAGCUUCCAGGCCAAUGAUGCAGGCUUCAUACUCGGCAGUGUUAUUGGUACAUUCAAACAGUAACCUUGUUGAAACAGGAUACUGCUUAUUUUCUGGGGAAAUCACUACAACUUCGGCCCCAUUUCCUGAUACGUUUACUGCCCCAUCAAAGUAAAGGGUCCAUUGAUCGCCUCCUCCACUUUCAUCUUGGACUACUAUCACAUCUUCAUCUGGGAGGUCACAGUUUAGCGGCUCGUAGUUCUCCAUGGCGUGAUCUGCAAGAUGAUCGGCAAUUAUGCUUCCUUUUACAGCUUUUCUUGUCAUAAAGACAAUGUCAUAUUCUGCCAAUAACACUUGCCAUCUUGCUAUUCUACUUGACAGGUAAGGCUUUUCACAAAUAUACUUGAGCGGGUCUAAUUUCGAAAUCAACCAAGUUGUGUAGUAUAUCAUAUACUGCCGAAGUCUUUUCGCACUCCAAACCAAGGCACAACACAACCUCUCAAUUGUUGUAUAUCUCGACUCACAGUCAUUGAAUUUUUUACUCAAGUAGUAAAUAGCUUGCUCCUUCCUUCCUGACUCAUCAUGUUGUCCCAGCACACAACCCAUAGCUGUUUCUGUUACUGUUAAGUAUAGAAUCAAAGGCCUUCCCGGUGUUGGAGGUACUAACAAUGGUGGGUUUUGCAAGUACCUCUUUAUUUUAUCGAAGGCUUCCUGACAAUCGUUGUCCCAUACUCCAGGAUUUUUUCCUGAGCAACGAAAGAUUGGUUCACAAGUCACCGUCAACUGGGAUAUAAACCGAGCUAUGUAAUUCAGGCGCCCGAGGAAACUUCUUACUUCCUUUUCUGUCUUAGGGCAGGCAUCUCUGAUAGCUUUAGCUUUAUCAGGAUCGACUUCUAUUCCUUGACCGCUUACUAUGAAGCCCAAUAGUUUUCUAGUUUUCACCCCGAAUGAGCAUUUUGCAGGAUUCAACUUUAGCUGGAAUUUCCGCAGCCUUUCAAAUAGUCUUCUUAACACUUGCACAUGAUUUCCUCUUUCUUCGAUUUUGCAAGUAUGUCAUCCACAUAACUUCCACUUCUUGGUGCAUCAUAUCGUGGAACAGGGUAACCAUUGCUCUUUGAUAUGUGGCUCCAGCAUUCUUCAAUCCGAAUGGCAUUACUUUAUAGCAAAACGUCCCCCAAGGUGUGACAAAAGUGGUCUUCUCUUUAUCUUCUUCUGCCAUUCUAAUUUGAUUAUAACCAGAGAAUCCAUCCAUAAAAGAAUAGGUAGCAUUUCUUGCAGCAUUAUCAACGAGAAUGUCUAUAUGGGGCAAAGGAAAAUCAUCUUUUGGGCUCGCCUUGUUCAAAUCUCUAUAGUCCACACACAUCCGAAUCUUCCCAUCCUUUUUUGGGAUUACGACCACAUUGGCUACCCAUUGUGGAUAUUGGACUACAUCUAGAAACCCUGCAUCCCACUAUUUUCGUAUCUCAGAUUUUACCUUGAGCAACAUGUCCGGAUGCAUUCGCCAUGUUUUCUGCUUAAUUGGCUUGCUUCCUUCUAUUAAAGGAAUCGUAUGUACUACUAUGUCAGUAUCUAGACCAGGCAUAUCUAUAUAAGUCCAGGCAAAAAAAUCUACAUACUCGUGUAGUAGAGAAACUAGUCUAUUUCUUUCUUCAGUUGUAAAACGAGUGCCAAUCUUUAAUUCCUUAUUUUCUUCUUCGUCUCCCACGUUAAUGGCUUCUAGUUUCUCAUAGGCUGGUUCCCAGGCCUUUUCUGAACAUUCUACCAGCUUAGUAAACUCUCUUAUAUCCUCCUCUCCCCAUUCUUCAUCAUCCAUUGCAAUCAUAUUAUCGAAGUUUGGCCAAUUAUUCUUAGUGCAACGGUUUUGUGAAUUGAUGGAACUUUCAGGAUUCCUGAAAGUUCAAGGCGUGCUCGUGUAAGUGUGAUUCAUGAAAAGAUAAAAGAUGCAGGCACACAUUGGACACAAGAAAAUGCAUGAUCUCAUUAAAACAAAAGUGCUUGGUUAACAUAGAAAAUUUGCGGUACCAUGAGCUAAAAUACCAACAAGUUCAGCACAAGUCAAAACAAGACAAAACAAGUCCGAGCAUUAUCAAACAAGAACAAUUACUUUUUAAACACAAUAGGAGCAGGCUCCAUCUUCCAAUUCUGGUACACCUCCCUUCAGCCAAUCUUCGCACGAAAAAUCUAGCAGGAGGUUCAUCAAUGGUGUGAAUGGAGUGUGGCAAAACUUCAUCCUUCAUUUCCAAGUCCGCUUCUCUAUUGUUUUUCUUCUUGGCUCUCCAGGGUAUUGAUGUGGAGAUCUAUUAUGCCAGAUCUAAUCACUUCUGCAGCCCUUGGGAAAGAUACUUGGAGUGGUGGGAUGACAAGUUCCUCUUUUUGCUCUCUUCCUUCAAUCCUCGCCAUUCUUGCCUCUCUUUUAAACUGAGUGACCCGCUUGUAAUCGUCUUUCUUGGGCUUAUAUCCAAGCCCAAAUCUUUGAUUUGCAUAGUUUGGCUUAAUUAGGUUAGGCAUUUUAAUCCCAAGAUUACGUUGAAAAGGAACCCCAUUCUUUAAAAAGCAUUUGGCAGCCAUCUUUGCCAUUUCUAGGAUUUUAGGCUUUCUCAACACCGUGCCUUCAGAACCCAUUCCGCGUUCACAAUUUCGAAAGCAUGAAUAUUCCCAUCUCUACAAUCUUCAGUUUCAAUGAAAGGUAUGGCCACAUUUUUUAUCAUGGAAAUUGUCUCUUCAGCUUUGACAGUUAUCAACAUUCCUUCAUGAUAUACUUCAAACACUGGUGCAAUGAAGAAGUCACUGCUCCGGCUGCAUGAAUCCACGGCCUUCCUAAUAGUAUGCUGUAAGAUGGGUGAAUGUCCAUUACUUGUAAUGGAAUCAAGAACAUCUGCGACCCCACAUAUAGCUCUACUUCUAGGGUCCCAAUUAUCGGUCUUGGCGAACCAUCAUAUGCUCUCGCCACCAAGGUGCUGGGCUUUAUAUGUGACUCAUCGACAUGCAUUUCUUUCAACAUAUGCCUUGGUAGGACGUUCAGUGCAGAACCAUUAUCGACGAGUACCUUUCCAAUCAGAAUAUCCUUGCAACGCACCGUAAUAUAUAGUGGCAUGUUGUGCCCAGUACCAUCAGGACACAAUUCAUCUUCAGUGAAGUAUAUAUAAUUCGAGGCCUGGAUUCUUCCCACUAAAUGUUCCAUGGUUUCUUGAUUGAUGUAUUGGGGAACGUAGGCUUCGUUCAAUACCUUUUGUAGAGCCUUCCUAUGUGGCUCAGAGCUUAGAAUCAGAGAAAAUAACGAUAUUCUUGAUGGAGUCUUCUUGAGCUGCUCAACAAUACUAUAUUCACUGUGUUUCAUCAGUUUUAAGAAUUCGUUGGUUUCCUCUUCCAUGAUAGGUUUGUUGAUUUCUUCGGUUAUGUCAACCUUUUCUCUACCCUUAGCUUUUCUUUGUUUUUCCAGCUCUUCUGGAGUGAAACAUCUGCCACUACGGGUCAAUCCCCCAAUUUCUGCUUGAAAAACAGGUGGUUGCGGAGUGCUUUUGAAAGAGUACCCAUAGUCGUGAGGUAAAGCACUAUAGUUUCCUUUAUGUUCCACUACUGGUUUGGAUAGGACCAAUUUGGGUGGCUUUCCGGUAGUGAAUUGUACUCGACACACCUCUUUAUUUGGCCUCCAUCAUGAACACCUCCUCACUUUUGCUUUCUCAAUUCGCAGCAACCCACACUUAUCAUCUGCAUCACUUUUUUGUGAAAGCCCUCGCAAUGGCUGAUCACAUGGCCCUUUAUAUUAUGAAGUUCACAGCACUUCUCGCUACCCUCUUUGUACUUGCAUCUACCAUCAUUUGGUAGAUCUUAUCCAUUGACACCUUUAAGAUUUUUGAGUGUUCCAAUUCUAACAUGUUUACAGACCCACUACCUGAAACAUGAUUAGGUAGAGGGUUCACAUUCACAUUAGGGGCAUCUUCAAAUGCUAUCCAUCCUGCUUUGAUCAGUUGCAAAAGUUUUCUCUUGAAGGCGUUGCAGGUAUGGAUGUUAUGUCCAGCUAUACCGGCAUGGUAUUCGCAAGUGAGAUCCGGUUUAUACCAGCUGGGGUAAGGUGGUUGUAGGGUAUCAAAGGCACAGGGACUACUUGCCCGAUACUUAGUAGUUUUUGUACAUUUCAUCUAGGGGUAACGGGCAAUGGAGGCAAUUGUCUUGGGUUCUUUGGUAGUUCCUUUGGGGAAAGUCUCGGCUUGGUUUUUUACUUGGUGGUUUUGGGGUUCAAGUUUUUUUGUUGAGCUCGGGAAGUUGAAAUUAGUGUGGGCAAUUUGGGGUGAAGAGGAUUGAGUAUUAUACCUUUGGAAAGGGACUUUCUUGCUUCUAUAACUACUUUCAACAUGAUCAAUCUCUCUCUUCCUUACUCCGAAACCUUUUUUCUCCACGGGUGUAGAGAUCCUUCCACUCUUUACUCCUUGCUCUAUACGUUCAGCCACUGCUACAACAUCCGUGAAUUGUUGGGCCGAACUACCCAUCACGUGUUCAUAGUAUGGCGCUUUUAGCGUGUUAGCAAACAGAGCAACCAUUUCCUUUUCUAGGAGAGGGGGUGGACUUGUGCUGCCAAAUCUCUCCAUCUUUGAGCAUACUCUCUUAUGCUUUCUUUAUCUCCUUUCUCCAGGUUAGACAGACUGGUUCUAUCAGGAGCAAUAUCCAUGUUGUAUUUGUAUUGCUUGAUGAAAGCAUCUACAAGGUCCUUCCAUGUAUGGAUCCUGGUAUUAUCUAACCUCAUAUACCGGCUCAACGCUGCUCCACUCAAGCUAUCUUGGAAGAAAUGCAUUAGUAGCUUCUCAUCGUGAACUACUUCUGCCAUUUUAUUGCAAUAGGAUUUGAGAUGGGUUGGGCAUUGAGUGCCGGUGUAUUUGAUAAAUUCGGGAACUCGAAAUUUCUUUGGUACCACCACAUUAGGGACUAGACACAUUUCUAUAGCUCGUACAAGGUCAUAUAAGUCUAUUCCCUCAAUGGCCCUAAUCCUGGCCUCUAGUGCUGCCAUUUUGUCUUGAUCAACAUCCUCAGACGACUUGGUUUUAUGGGACUCAUUAACGAAUGCAUCUACGACUGCGGGUGUUGGUAUUGGUGUUGUUGGCUGCACAAAUGCUGGAUUGUGUCGGGGCUCCUGUGCAUGUUCAUUGUGUCGGGGCUCUUGUGCAUGUCCUCCUAUUAUUUCUUCAGGUUGGCUUGCUGGGAGAGGGGCAGGCCUAGUUGAAGUACCUUCCCCCGAGGUGUUCCUUAGUACUUGCUCGAGUAAGCCGGUGAGGCGAGCCACACUAUCCUUUAAGGAAUCCAACUCUUCUUGGAAACGAGCUUCACGAUAAGCACGCUCUUCAUCUUCCAUGUUCCUUGCUCGAAGUCGGGUGUUGUAAGCUCUUUGGGGACCUAUAUUUUGACCUGGCGUAUGCAUGUGUGUUAUAAUGAAUGAAUGUAUAAAUAGGGAUGCAAAUGCACGUAUAUGAAUUUGAAGAGCUAAUCCAUGACUUCCUUUGCCAAAUACAGGUAACAUCCAAAGUCUGAUAUACACAACGAGGUUUUGCCCAAUUCCUUUGAUUGAUUAAAUUCCAUACAUAUUAUGAAAAUCCAAAAGUAGACAUAAUACAAAGUGGUUCAUAUAAAAUGUCUUCAUUCAAAUGAUAUUCCUCUAUUGGCCACAUUCCUGAUGAAAGAGGAAACUUCAUUCAAAUAUUCCUCGUAUCUAUGGCGGUUGUUAGCAAUCCUGGCAGCCUUCACUCGUAGCUCAUUUGCCUUCCUAGCUACCAUGUCAAUUAGCCUGUCAGUUUGUUCAAUCUUGUAAUGCAACACGGUGUUAUCUUGAACCAGUGUUCCAUUGUGGUGGCUAAUGAUUCAUUGUUUCUCCAAAAUUUGAACCAUCUUUUCCAACUGUUGAAUCUGAUUUCUGGCCCUUUGCAAUUCUUCCUUCUCUAUAUCAAGCUCGGCUACCUUAGUGUUUAGUUGUGCAUCGAAACUACUGAUAUAGUCUUGCCACUCCUCAAAUUGCUCUUGCAUUUCCUUUGCUUCUUCCUCUCGGGACUCAAGCUCGGCUUGUAUCACAGACACUCGGUUUCUCAUACCAUUUAUCUUGUUCAGGUAAACCCCUUCUCUGACUCAGCUACCCUCCUUGCUUCUCUCUCAUCUUCAGCCUGCAUCUGAUAUCGAGUCCUUAACCUUUUUUCUUCUUCGAUGGCGAGAUCAGCUAGCCUGUUCUUUUCUUUUUCAGCCUCCCAUUUUAAUUUAUAUGGUCCCUUUCUUUCUUCAGAGAAGCUAUUGUUUCUUUAUCAGCAGACUUUCUACUUUCCGAGGUCUUUUUUAGACUCACCAACUCAUGCUCCACUAUUACGUGCUUUUUUAUCAACUCAUCAUUCCUGGCUUUCCUCUUCUUUAAUUGCUCAUUUGCUUCAUGCUGGCUCUUCUCUAAUUGUUGAUCCAGAAAGGCCUUCAUCUCUUCUUCUUUCAAGAGUUGGUCUUCUAGGAAUUUUUGAUGAUUUUUGCUAUUACCGAGCUCAAUCCUCAGCUUAUCCAGCUCUUCUUGGAGAUCUUCCUCAUUGUUGACCCUUUUUCUUCUCAGCUCCAACAUCACGGACGAGUUACCUUGGGCUCUUCUUUGCUUUUUUACCUCUGGAAGUAUCUUAGAUGAACUGCCACUCCUCCAUAUUGAAUAUGUAGGGCUAACCGAGAACUCUUUUUGAUGCUCUUCCUUAUAGACCAAAACAGGUUGCUUCCAGUCAUUUCUGAUGGCAUCUAACAUUUCCAAAGAGCUGGCUUCUUUAAACAGACCGGUGUAUUCAGCUACUGCCCGAGUUCUUGGCACGUGUUGUAUUCCUCCAAACUGUCUUACCACUAAUGAGGGUGAGUAACUGAUAUAUCCAGUUAAGCCAAUCAAUGGAACCCAGGCCUUGUCACCACAACUCAUGAGGUAAGAGGAACCACUUACCCAAGGAGCUUUCCAUCUGAAAUUAGUUUGGGGAAGUUCUCGGUAUUUCUCUACCCACGCCUUUUCAUCCAAACCAUUCCAUUCUUCAGUCAGCAUCAGCUCAAGAGGCCUCAUGUUAAACCACCAGAAAUUAUUGAAGACUUCUUUUGAUGCUUGCAAAUGGCUUACUAUCCACAUAAAUAAGAGAGGGAUACAACAUCGCAUCGCCCCUUUCCCAUGUAAUCUGCAAUGGUUUAGCGAUAGGAAGGUUUCAGCUAAGAUAGCUGAAGCAGGGUUAUGCUUUACCUCUUCAAAUUCAAGAAAGGCGUUAGCAGCUUCAAUGCUAAUAAUUCCGGCAGCUUCUGAAGGAAAAAGAACCAACCCAAAUAUGGCAAAAGCAAUUAUCUGAUAUCUUUCUUCACCUAACUUCCCUUCUUCUUUAUCUUUUCAAUUUAUUCUCGAUCAUCUUCCACUUGAAACCUCCAUUAGGUAUCUUAUACCGAUCAACUUGAUCCAAAUGUAGAAGUUUGGCAACUGCUAUAUCUGUAUUCUCAAUCCUUUGUCUGAAGUAAACUUUGUAGGGGUCAUUUGAAAAACUUAAGAUCUGAGCAUACUCUUCAAGAGUAGGAGUCAUAUCAAUAUCCCCGAAGGUGAAACAUCUGUAGCUUGGAUCCCAAAAAUGCAUCAAGGCUUUGACUGCUGAAAUCUGAACAGGCAUUCUUAUUAGAUGAGCAAUUCUUCCGUACUUCUUCUCAAACAGGUUCUCAUCAAUAUAGCUCAGAAAAGGGGCCAACUUCUUUAUGGUGUCUACAGAAUAGUGCACUUUGGUUAUGUGUGGUAAUUCCUCAACCUUGGUUCUUGGGCAAUCCCUUCGACUGCUUGCAUCAUCUCAGAUCUUUCCCCAUAUUCCAAAAGGUAAGGGAAGUCAUGGUCUUAGCUCAAAAAAUCCUGUAAAGUUCAGACAAAUUCUAGGUUAUUAUAUGAGGGAUAUGUUUUCUAACUGGUCUCAAAAGGUCUAUGAACUGCCCAGUGACCCACCUCACGUGAAGGCAGUAUAGGGGUUUACAAGGGUGGGGGCACUAUGUGACCGCCAUCACCAAGUAAACACUCAGUUCAUAGUUGGAUGUUUCACGAAUCUGAACCCCGACUGAAAGUCAUGGGGCAGACCGCUACUCCCUCCUAUCCUAGAAUUGGGUUUUCUUGCAAAAUUAAAAAUGCAUGAAUGCAUUAAUCAUUUUUUGUAUGAGCAAGAAAAAAAGUGUUGAAACAGUAAAGCUAAACAGACCAAACAGAAAAUCAAACAAUCAAACAAACAAAGCUUAGUCCGACCAAACAAAGUCCCCAGUGGAGUCGCCAUUCUGUCGCACGUCAAAAUCCGCGCGACAUCGGCUGGCGAUUUUUUUAUUUUAUUUUGCUUGGUUCGUUGGAGUCGCCACCUAGUAUUAUGGUCACUAGGAACCUAAGGUCUGCGAGAGUCUGAGUAAGGGACUGGUUGUGCAAGGGGAAGACGCAUCACCCCCAAUGCACCCUACCUAAGGCAAGCUGCAUUAUUGUUUGAUUGCUUUUCUAGGUCAGUUUCUAUUCGCUGGUCUUUUCUAAGGUUCAAGGCAGAUCUCCCCUCGUGAGGGAGUCUCUACCUUAUUCGGUAAAUCCUAACCAUUCUAAAGUCUGAAUUUUAAAAUUGCUUUCUUACACCUUGUAUCUUUAAUACCCGAGAUGUACAUUAUCGUGUAAUUUUACACCCCACAAAUAUUAAAGUUUACAUCUGGAUCCUAAAAAAAAAAAAAAGGUUUUUGAUAUUUUGGCCAAACCUAAUGGAUAUCAUAAACUAGUUUAUGAUAUCCAUUUUUUUUGGAUUUUUAAAAUGAGAAACAUGCAAUUUUUUUGAAAAAAACAUGCUUGGAAAAUUUUUAGGCUUGGCCGUAUGCAAUAAAAAAUUUUUUUUCCUUUUUUUUUUUUUUUUUUUUUUGAAAAAAAAAAACCGGGAUUUUAAUACCGAACUUGUAUCUUACAUUGUAAGUAUACAACCCAAUAUUAAGCAAAACUUGGUAGAAAAAUAUUUUAAAAAUUUAAACUUUUUUGAAAUGAUAAAUUUUUUUUUUUUUAGGGGCCGGGCCGGGCCCAGCCCUUUGGGCAGGGCCAGAACUCGCCCGGCCCAAGCAAGUGGCUAAUUAAUCAGCCACUGCAUGCAGAAAUGAAUUAUGCAUGCAGCGGCUACGAAGAACAAAGAAGAAAAGACUAGCGCAGGGAGGAGAGAAUUACCUGGCGUGGAGAGAGUCGGCAGCCUGGCUGGUGAUGCGCGGUGUGACUGGAGGCGGCGAGGCAGGCGGCGUGCACUGGUCCUGGCUGGAAGAAGAAUGAAGCAGGUCUUGCAGAGGAGAGGGAAAGCUCACGGCUAGAGCUGUUGGAGUGGCUGAGGAGGGAAAUGCUACCCAAACUGCUGUUGAUAGGAGUGCAAGCCGCUGUAAAGGAUGGUUGCUGCUGCUGCUGCUGGGAUUGCGGUGGUGGAGAGAGAGAAACGUUGUGCAGAGAAGAGAGGGGGGGGAGAGAGAGGUGUUGCAGGCUUCGGUGAGGUUGCUGGGUGAUGUAUGGGAUGCGGUCUUUCAGGUAAAGGAUGGUGGCGAGGUCAGUGGUGGCGAAUAGAGGCCACGGCAGAGAGAAAAAAAAGAAGGGACUGGUUGCAGGAAAACCAGGCAGGAAAAGCUGAUUUUUUUUGCCAAUUUUGCGUUCAAUUUUCUCCUUCUUCUGAGCAUGAAAUUGGCUCCUAUUUAUAGGGAUCGAAAGAGGGUAAUCUGGUAUUUAACGGGGAAAAAUUCUCAGCCCUUGAUUCGACUCGAGGAAUCCAAGCCGUUGGUUCAAAGUGUGCACCUCGAACUGCCAAAUUUGGCAAUCGAGGAUGCAGACCGCCCGAGGGUGCCACUUUGGGCCAAUAAACGGAGUUGUUUCCAAGUUGUUCGACCCAACCAGACCACUCUACGAGAUAAAGAUGUUUCAGGGGAACAUGUUGGUGCACGCCUUGUCGGAUUUGGGGGCCACACGAGUGAGAAAACGCGCCUGGAAAGCAGCCACUCGGGCAGCUUUGUGAGGAAGAAGAUGAACAGUAACCAGGCGACGCGUCGCCUGGUCUCUUCCCUCAACACAAAAACGGCGCCGUUUGGGAUAAAAAUUAGGGAUUUUUGCUGAUUUUCAAUUUAGCCCUCCAGCUUUCAAUUUCUUUCAAUUUGACCCCCGGAUUUUGUCAAUUAGACCCCUAUAGUUUGGCGCCUUUUGCAAGUUGGUCCUUGUCUUUGGAUUAUGUAAAUUUAACCCCUAAUUGACCCCAAAACUUCAAUUUUCUUGCAAUUUGACCCCUAAUUUCAAUCAAUCAACUUGGUAAAAAUUAAAUUUGGUCUCUUAAAAUUCCAAUCUUCUCAAUUAAGCCCAAAUUAAGCUCCCAAACUUAAUUUUUCACCAAUUAAGCCCCAAGAUAAAAUUAAUUUGACCCAUUUAAAGUAUAAUUAAGUCUUUGCACUUAAUUAAAUCCUUCAAUUGGACCCAAAUUAAUUCUUAAACAUAAUUAAAAUUCAAUUUGGCCCAUGAUUAAAUCAAAUUGACCUAUUAAAAAUUUAAUUAUGUCCUUGGACUUAAUUUUUAUGCAAAUUCGUCCGAUAAUCAUUUAAUUGAACCUUGAAUUUGCAUUUUUCUUCUCCAAUUUUGGGCACAAUGGGGCGCCAAUAGAUCUUGAAUCUCCUCCAAAAAUUCCAAUUUGAUUUCCCGGCAUACUUUCUCCACGUUGCCAGCCUUUAUUAUUUUUUUAUUCUCAUGGCUUGAAUAAACUGGUUAUUAAAGCCAUAAUGCAUGUUAAUACAUAUAUCGUUUUCAAAAUUCCUUUUGUUGUAUGAAAAUAUGAUGCGAUGAGUUUUCUUUAUUUUGGAGAGACUAGGCCGUAUGCAUUAAAACAAAAACAUUUUUUUUUUAUGUCUUGACGAAAACCGGGUAUUUUAAUAUUGGAUUUGUAUCUUUAUGGUAUAAAAAUACAAACCAGUAUUAGGCACUUUUAAUAAAAAUAUGCAGGAAAAUCACCAAUAUUUUUAAGGAUUUUCAGAAUAUUUUCUUGAAAGCAAAACAUUUUAUUUUUAAAUUUUCUUUGAUGUUUUGACGAAAACCGGGUAUUUUAAUACUGAAUUUGUAUCUUUACGGUAUAAAAAUCCAAACCACUAUUAAGCCAUUUUGACAAAAAUAUGCAGGAAAAUCAACAAUAUUUUUCAAAAUAUUUUUUUUUAUUAUAAUAUAUAUACACACACAUAUAUUAUAAUUUAUAGUAUAUAAUAUAUUAUAUUAUGUGGGCUGGGCCGGCCCAAAUAAAUGGGCCAGACUCAGCCCAAAAAAGGGUUGGGCCGACCUCGGCCUAAAAGGAAAUUGGGCCGAUCUCGGCCCAACCAAAAAAUGCUUCUACAGUCUGGGCCUGCCCUGGCCUAGACGUGCAAGGCUGGGCCAGCAUCGGGUUGGCCCAGCAACCUAAAGCCCAGCGGGGGGAGAAUUAUUUUUCUCCCCCCCGCCUCCUGCAUGCAGAACGAUUCUGCAUGCAGGAGGUAAACGCCCGCAACUAAAAUGCAGAGGUGAAGAAGACUUUACCUGGCAUGGAGGAGGUGGUCGCUGGUGGUGCUGCGGUGGAGGCCGGUGGCGGUGUCGUGGCUCACGGACGGCGGCUCCAGGCGGCGCUGCGGCUGUUUCCCACGGUGUGGUUCGUUCUCUCGAUUCGUUGCUUUAUUUUUGUUUUCUAAGUUUCCUCCCGGUUUCAGGCUUUCCCCUUCCUCUCAGUUUCGGGUUAUUUCCGGUGGCUCUCUUAUGUUCGGUUGUUUCUCUCUCCUCCUCUCUCUCUUCGGUUUUCUCUCUCUUUUCUUCCUCCUCUCUCUUCCCUUCGGUCCUCCUCUUUUCCUCCUUUUUUGUUCUCUAUUUAUAGGAGAGAAAGGGAGUUGGGCCCUUUACUAGUGCGUCUGGGGAGCGGGUUUCGCGGCAGCUGGUCGGCCACCACCCGCGACAGCAAGGCGCCGCUCCCUUGCUUUCGGCAGGGCGAGAGAGGGAAAGGAAGAUUUAAACAAAGCUCCCUAUCUUCUUCCCCUACUGCAUGUUCGGGGGGAAGAAGAAAGGGGAACAAUGUCGUUCAAAACGGCACCGUUCGGCCCUUCUCUUUCCUCUUUUUUUUUGUAUGAAACGACGUCGUUUUGGAGAAAACGCGCCGUUUCAUUUAAAUGUGCGCCAGAACGUGCCAAAUUUCAAAUCAGCCCUCAAUUAUCUUUUGUUCAUUUCAAUUGCGUCCUUGCCAAUUUAGGUCCUCGCCCCCAUAGUUGGCUGCGUUUUUCAUUAUGGUCCUUGGCCUCUGAUUUAUGCAAUUUAGCCCUCAAUUGAUCAAUAAACUUUCAAUUUCUUCAAUUAGGCCCUCAGAUCAAUCCAAUACAGCCCCCCUAUUUACGCACCUCUUCCACUUUGGUCCCUGGUUUCGGAUUUUCUCAAUUAAGUCCCUAAUUGGCCAUUAAACUUCAAUAUUUAUGCAAUUAAGCCCCUGAUUUGACCUAAUAAAUUUCCAAAAAAUAUAUUUUGGCCCCAGAACUUAAAUUUCUUCUAAUUAAAGCCCAAAUUGACUUAAAAAUAAAUUUUUCUUGCAAUCAAAUCCCCUAUAAAUUCAAUUAAAAAUCCAAUUAAGUCCAUAAACAUCCAAAUUUGGACUUUCCUCCUCAAACUUCCAAUUUCUUAUCCAGCAGGGCUCUCAUCAUUCAAGAAUAUACUGUCAAAAAAUCCAUCUUUGUAUUUUUAACCUCCUUGACCAAUUUUUCUGACCAUUUUCUGAGCGCUUUUUCCUCCUGUUAUUUUUCUAACCUCUUUUGGCUAUUUAUUUUAUUUAUUUUUGUGAGGACCCAAAAAUGGGUUAUAACAAAUACAUGCGAAGGAAGAUCUAAUAACAACAAUAAUUUAUCAAUACAUGCGAAGGAAGAUCAAAUCGUUAUUGAGAUGAUAAGCCAACUAGGCACAGAGGGGUGGAUGUCCCCAAGAACACUUCUCAUCAGACAAAAAUGUCAAUUUUGGAAAUUUAUAUUGCAUUGCUUCCACAUUACAACAUUUAAAAGUUUUACUGAUGUAAAAUUUUUGUUGUCAUAAGAUUACCAUUUCGUUGGUAAAACUUUUAUCGACUAAUUCACCAACAUAAUACAUUUGUCGGUAAUUAUAUAUUCUUUCACUAAUUCUGUCGGUAAAAAAAAAAAACAGAUGGUUUUACCGACGGAAAAUGCACUCCAAAAAAAAUUCCCGCUGGAAAUAAACCGACAGAAUUAUUCCGUUUGUAUUUCCAUCGGUAAAUUACCGAUGGAAUAAUGACUUUGGUGAUUAUGGUAUUUGUAGUAAAUACUUUUCAACUCUUUGAAAAAUACCGAUGACAUAAUUCCAUCUGUAAAUCCGUUGGUUAGAAUUUAAAAAUAAAAUUGUGUAGAAUAAAUAAUAUAAAAUUGCAUAGAAUAAUAGUAAAAAAACUAAUUAAGCAAAUAAAAUUGUUUAAAAUAUAAAAAUAAAAUUAAACAAUAUUCAUUACAAUUUUAAAGUGUUUCCAAAAAAAAAAUUGAACUAGAACAAUGUUGGAGCUAGAGGAGGAGGCUGGUCAUUCCCGGGACCAUACGACCAAAAAGAGGGCAUACAUGUGCCACCCAUAUGUGAUCUCAUGUCCAUGAUGAUAUGAUGGAACUGUUUAUAAUCCGGCGAGAGUUGCUGAUAUUGUUAUUUCAAAGCCACGAUUUCCUCAGACUGGGUGCUUGAUACUGAUUAGGAGCUCCCAACGAUUGAAACACUAUUGGCUGCCUAUAAGUUCUCAACCGUAGUUUUAGAGACUCUAUAUACCUGAUUUUUAUUGGAUCCACCAGAUGAUCCUGCCUCCAUCAAAAAAUCCGAGUGAGUUGAAGGGUUGUCCCCGUAUCUCUCCCUUAACUAGCUAUUAUAUGUCUCUUGAAAAUUAAAAAAGAAAUCAUCAUAUUCAAUUCAUGAAAAUAAUAACUUACAAAAUAAAAUAAUUGAAUGAACAUACCACGAAGUGUUGAGCGCAUGUGUUGACAAAUUGUUGUACCACCCUUUGACGAUCUUCACUCUACAUGUGCGUCUCCACAAAUAGCUCUAUUGGGCUCGACUCACAUCUAAGAGACAUAGCCUAUAAGAAAAAAAUGUUGCAAGUUAAAUAUAUUUAUAAAUAAGAACAAAUUAAUUAAUGAUAGAUUUCAUUAAAAUUAAUCUUACCAUCCGCUUCGCAUGUGCAAUGAACGGAACAGAGCUGCCGGUGAGUGUGGUCACCGAACCAUGAAUUUGUUGGUUCCGUUUGUCGGCACCACUGUAAGCAUCGUGUGAACCGCUCAGAUGUCACGUACUGGAUAUAUUACACCCAUAUAUCCUCCAGGAUGUAUGGCAACUUGAAAUCCUCCAAACCGCCACGUCAUUCCAGCCUUGUAUACCGUUAUCUCCAGCGUAUUUUUUGGCUUCUUUUUGCGCUUCAUACCAAAAGUCAUGCAACCUCCUUCCAUUAAUGAAUUUUAUAUGAGUUAAUGACAAAUUAGAUUUUAAAACAUAAUUAUUUUUAAAAAUAUAUCGUAUUGUUUUCAAUGUUACCUAGUUGCCGCGUGAUUCUUGCACAUCCUCACAACAUUGUCAUGAACGCUAUCUCACUCGAAUUUAUUCUAUGUAUAAAUAAUUUAUUUAAAAUAAAAAUAAUAAUUUAUUUAAAAUAAAAGUUAACAUCAACCUCAAAUCUUUGAAAACAUGCAUCAAUAUGAGGUCUCCAAUCAGGAUGUCUGGAAACCUAACUGCAUUGAAAUAAAUGAAUCUCCAUCAAUGAUUUAAACGCCGAUGUUAUUGCUCGGGUGGCCUCAAUGUUUGUGAACCUAAAAAUAAAUAAAAUUAUGACAUAUUAAUUAGUUGUUCACAAAUUGUGUUAGAAGUGUGUGUGUGUGUGUGUGUAAACUAAAACCAAAACAAACUUACAUUAAAAGUUCGUUCUUCCAAUAUGCCUCGUACGUGCGGGUGAAUUGACCUUACUGUGAAGUCACACCGCCUCUGCGCUGUGGAACUGCUUUGGAAGAGGCAGCAUCGCAAGUUGGCGCAGGUGCCUCUUCUUGAUCGGUACCUAAGGACAACUCAUCCUCGCAGCUAGAAGAACUAGCUGCAACCAUAUGCUCACGACGUGUGUUGAUUUCGUUCUAUGCAUUUAUUAAAAAUGAACGAAUAAUUACAUAAUCAAAUUUGAUUAUUUAAAAAAACUUUCGACAACACCUCCCUCAUACUGGAGAUUACCCAAAUUAUUGUGUUGAUUGGAAAUUGAAUUUCAUAAUUUAUUUAAAUUUGUUUUCUAUAGGGUUAUCUUGGUAUCAUGAUUCAAUAUGUUUUUGUCUCAAUAUUUUACAAAAAAAAAUGUCGUUUUAAAAUUGUUUUUAGUUAAACUAUGUUUUUAAUGGUUGUCCAAUUUAUUUUUGAAUCCAUCAAGUUGAUAGAGUCAUAUCAAAUCAACUCUUACAUGGUUUGAGUAAUUUUUUCUACUAAAAAACAUAUCAACAAUACUUGUAAUAAUGAAAUAGCAAAGAAUGGGGAUUUUUCAUUGAUGCAUUUAUUUAGAUUGUUCAGUAGUGUACAAAGAAUGUGUGGAACUUCUUGAUCUAGUUAACUUGGUUUGUUGAAAGAAUAUGACCAACUGGUAAAAGAAAUUUAAGGAUGAAAUUAAAAAUAAAAUGAUGAAAACAAAAAUAAAAACCUCUCCGCCAAACUUCUUGCCUAUACCUCGUCCAAAGUAAUCUUUCUUUUUUUAAUUAUUACUUUUAUAAUCAUUAUCAUUGAUAUUUUCUUAAUUUAUUGUUAAAAGUAUUUAAACAACUUUUCAUUUUUUUAAUAAGUAAAAGGUUUUAAUUUUUAAAAAUUCCGGAAUGGUUAAUGUAUGGAUUUCCUUUUCUUAUUAAGUAAAAAGGUUUAAUUUUUAAAGAAGAUGUUUUUUUUUUUUAAUUAUUAUUAUUGAUAUUAGUCUGGUGCAAAGGAAACAAGUAGUGUACAUAAAGUAGCCGGGUUGGCUUGAGCGUUAAUUUACUCUGAAGAUGCAUCAACAUUUUCCUGUGUACUUGGUUGGUAAUGUGAAUGAUCAGUGUAUUUUUAUUAAAUAUUUUUUUAUAAUUGUGAUGUGUUAAUGUAAAAAAAAAAUAUCAUUUUAAUAUAUUUAUAAUAAAAAAAUAUUUAAUAAAAUUACACUGAUCAUUCACAUUACCAACCAAGUACACAGGAAAAGUUGAUAAGAACUUUUGGAUAAUUAAAAAAGACUUUUUGGGUCGUGAAAAUCAAUAUAUAUGUGUGCAAAAUCAUUAGUGCUCCAUUGCUUGGCGUAAUUAUUACUCUGCCUUGGUUACCAUCCAAUUUCCGAUGGAAGACUUGGAGGUAAAGAACCUUCAAACUCCAUUAAUUCUCCAUUGUUUGUCAGUUUUCUAGCAACUGUUCAAUAAAAAACUUAAAUGUAUAUAAAGAACGUGUUGACUGGAGACUGGAUUGAAGUGGACAUAAGAAGGUGAGGAUGACUCUUUAACUCUGCAUGCCCCCUUGCUUAAGCCGUGAGUAAACUACGAUCGUAAAUUAUUAACAAGUUUUCUUCCGAUUUUGUGGCUUUGAAUUUCUUGGAAAUUAUAUUUUAGUGGGCAAAGCAAUCUUCGUAUAAAUCUUAUUGCUAAAUACAAUUUGGAAAAACAUCUCUGAACAUUCAAAUUAAGCUGUCACCAUUUUAAAUUUUUCUUUUUCUUACUAUAAAUAUUUCACAAUUAACUACCUUAUUUAUCAGCACUUGUGUUAGUGAAUUAACUUAUUAAGGGACUUCUCCUCGUGUGGAAAUAUUCGCUGAAUGAAUUUAUUGGUUACUUAAUCUUGUUGAUGGUCAAGGCAAGCUUCGCAGAAAUUUCAUUGCUAAAUACAGUAUAGAAAAACAUCUCUGCACUAAGUUGUUAGCGCUCAAGAAAUUUCAUUUCUUACACAAUUUGUUUUUAUAUAUAAAAUGACUUUGGGGUCAAGAAAAAGAACAGACCAAGUCGUUAGGACUCAAGGUUGUUUUUUUGUUUUUUUGUUUUUUUGUUUUUAUUUUUUUUUACUACAGAAACUGAACGAACAGAAGAAUCUAAGAUUGGUUUGUCUAUAAAUACUACUAAUGGUGCCUUUCUUUAUUUCUCAUCUCUCCCCAAUCGUUCAGCAUUCCAAAUAUACUUUGAAUCCUGAAGAGCCAACAUGAAGUUUUCAUUAUCCCUCACUCAAUUUCUCUGUUCCAUUUUGUUUCUCUUCCAUUUUCAUACAACAAUUUCAUCAUCAUUCUCCUCAAAUUACUCCUCUUCUAAUCAUUUGUGUGCUCAUCACCAAAGUCUUUCUCUGCUGCAAUUCAAACAAUCCUUUCCCAUUCAUAGUUCUGCUUAUUGGGAGCGCUACUAUUGUCAAUAUCCCUUUCCAAAAACAGAGUCAUGGAAAGACAGUACAGAUUGCUGCUUGUGGGAUGGGGUCACUUGUGAUAUGAAAACCGGGCAAGUCACUGGACUGAACCUCUCUUGCAGCAUGCUUUAUGGCACCCUCCAUUCCUAUAAUUCUCUCUUCUCUCUUCAUCAUCUUCAGAAGCUCGAUCUCUCUUUUAAUGAUUUCAACUCCUCCCAUAUUUCUUCUCGAUUUGGGCAUUUUUCCAAUCUCACACAUCUUAAUCUAAAUUCUUCCAAUUUCGCAGGCCAAGUUCCAUUAGAAGUCUCCCGUCUCUCCAAAUUGAUUUCUCUUGAUCUCUCUGGAAACAACCAUCUAAGUGUAGAACCAGUUUCUUUUGACAAGCUUGUUCGAAACCUAACCAAGCUAAGAGAUCUCGAUUUGAGUUCUGUAAAUAUGUCUUUGGUUGCACCUAAUUCCUUGACGAAUCUGUCCUCUUCUUUGUCAUCUCUUUACCUUGGGGAUUGUGGUUUGCAAGGGAAAAUCCCGGGUAAUAUCUUUCUCCUACCAAACCUUGAAUUACUCAUUCUGCGAGACAAUGAAGGCCUCACUGGCUCUUUUCCUUCCUCCAAUGUGAGUAAUGUCCUCUGGCUGUUGGACCUUUCUGAUACAAAAAUUUCAAUUUAUCUAGAAAAUGACUCCAUCAGAAAUUUAAAGUCGUUAGAGUAUAUGUUACUUAGUAAUUGUAUCAUAGUUGGGUCAAAACUAACUCUGUUGGGUAAUCUUACACGGCUCUUUCAAUUAGACCUCACAAACAACAAUUUUAGUGGUCAGAUCCCAUCUUCAAUUGGAAACCUUGUGCAGCUUCGUUACUUGUAUCUGAGUUCCAAUCAUGUUACGGGUCAGAUUCCAGAUUCUUUCGCUAACCUAACCCUGCUCACAAAUUUAGAUUUAUCCAACAAUCAACUCAAUGGGACGAUACCAUCCUUUUUAUUUGCUCUCCCUUCUCUAUUCAAUUUGGACCUUCGUAAUAAUCAGUUCAUAGGCAAUAUAGGUGAAUUCCAACACAAUUCAUUGCAAUACCUUGAUUUGAGCGAUAACUCCUUGCAUGGUCCAAUCCCAAGUUCAGUUUUCAAUCUAGAGAACUUGGUAGUUCUUAUUCUUGCAUCCAACAGUAAAUUGACAUGGGAGGAUCCUUCUUCAAUUUGCAAGUUAAAAUUCCUUCGAGUCCUGGACCUUUCAAUAACUUGAGUGGUUCUGCACCACAAUGUUUGGGAAACUUCAGCAACAGACUCUUAGUUUUGCAUCUAGGUAUGAACAAUCUCCGAGGCACUAUUCCAUCAACUUUUUCAGAGGGAAGUAACUUGGAAUAUCUCAACCUCAAUGGCAAUGAAUUAGAAGGGAAAAUACCGUUGUCUAUUGUCAAGUGCACAAUGCUGGAGUUUCUUAAUCUUGGAAACAAUAAGAUUGAGGAUACAUUCCCAUAUUUCCUAGAAAUGCUUCCAGAGCUAAAGAUUCUUGUUCUAAAAUCCAAUAAACUCCAAGGUUUUAUGAAGGGUCCGAUUACUUUUAAUUCCUUCUCCAAAUUACAUAUUCUUGACAUCUCUGAAAAUAAUUUGAGUGGACCAUUGCCAGAAGAGCUUUUCAAUAGUCUUGAAGCAAUGAUUAGUGUCGAUCUAGAUAAGAUUUACAUGACGACAAGAAAUUACUCUAGGUACACCUAUUCAAUAAAAAUGACAUGGAAAGGGUUUGAAAUUGAGUUUGUGAAAAUCCAAAGUUUCCUCAGAGUACUUGAUUUAUCAAGUAACAGUUUCACCGGUGAGAUUCCAGAACCAAUUGGAAAGCUUAAAGGACUUCAACAGCUUAACCUCUCUCACAAUUUCCUUACGGGCCAUAUCCAAUCAUCAUUAAGGUUUUUAACCAAUCUAGAGUCAUUAGAUAUGUCUUCAAAUAUGCUUACGGGAAGGAUUCCUGUGCAGUUGACAGAUCUAACAUUUCUUGAAGUCUUAAACCUUUCACAAAACAAACUCGAGGGGCCCAUACCUAGGGGGCGUCAGUUCAGCACAUUUGAUCCAAGCUCAUUUCAAGGAAACUUGGGUUUAUGUGGAAUCCCAAUGCCAACAAAAUGCAACAAUGGCGUGGUACCACCAUUACCGCCAUCAAACUUUAAUGAAGGAGAUGGGUUUGGAUGGAAAGCUGUGGCAAUGGGGUAUGGAUGUGGGUUUGUAUUUGGAGUCACAAUGGGUUAUAUUGUGUUUAGAACAAGACGACCUGCAUGGUUUCAUAGGAUGGUUGAACGUCAACGGAAUCUGAAGGCAGGAAGAACAAAGAAGAAUGCUCGCAUAUAUGGUGCGAGAAGAAAUUAAAAAAUGCAUUUGUUAAGUUCAAGUAAGUUUUGCAAGCUUUUGAUAUUUUCAGGUUUUAUUAGCAAAGUUUGUGUUAGACUAUCUUUUCUUUUCCAUUUCAUUUGAUAAUUAAGUCUAACAUUUCUAAUUCAAUGAGUAUAUAUAGAACUAUAAGUAUUCAUGACUAUAGUUAUAUGUUUUUUUUUUUUUAUUGCAGCACAAUUUCAAUGAAGGUUUUACCUCACGAGAUACCAAGUAGAGUUGAUAUUGGAACAACAAUAAAGUGGCAGAUUCAUAGUACUGGAUUUCUGUUGUUCAUUUUUAUUUUUUUUAUAUACUUCUAUGAAAAAAAGUCAAAGAAUGUAAUAGUUAAUGUAUGUUGUAGUUUAUGUUAAACUAUAAAAUCAUGCUUUAUAUUACCAAAUCAAUAUUAAUUAGUAGAGAGAAAUAGAACAAAAACAAUAAAGAAAUUAAGAACAAAUAUAAUUAAAUUUAUUUAAAUGUAUAAAAAAUAUUUUAUAAGUGAUAAUACUAGUUUUGAGACACGCCAAAAUGAACUGGUAUAGAAAAUUUUAGUAUCAAACGAAGAUUUGGAAUGAAUUUCAGAACGGUAUUGUAAACCUUGAUUUGAAGAAUCUUAUCCACCUUAUCAUAAAGCUUCCUUCACAUUACACUCCUGACCUGGAAAUAACAAAUAUUUCGGUUCUCAAUUCUCUCUCUGUUCAAACACAUGGAGUCUGAGAGACAAUGGUAUGGAAAAAGGGACCUUACUCUGCAGUAGCACUUCUCUUCCAAUCUUCCUGGUGAUUUUGCAGGUUUUGUUGCUGAGUUUAAGGCUUUUAGGCCUCUAGGAACUGUGUUGUUACUUAUUUUUAAUCCUCACAUUAAAAAAAAAAAUAUUCAUAGAAAACCAAAAAAUAAUAGCAAUGAGAAGAAGAUAUCCAAGUUUAGAGCAACUGAGGAAUGAAUUAAAUAGUUCAGAAAGAACAAGGAUUGUGCUGUAAAUGGUGCUAAAAUGCAGGGGUCUAAGUACAAAUUAUCCAGGUGCUUGAUUAUAAAAUUGUGAAACCCCAAGGACCAAAUCAAAAGAUAGAGGCAGAAUUGAAGAAAGGAGCGUUAACAACCAACAACCUCACAUCUUCGUCUGUUUCAGUUACCAACAAUUGUGCGUAAAAGUUUCAGCGCCAUCGUCUUCGUCUGUCUCAGUUACAGGUAAGUUUCAUACAUUCUCCCCCCUUUGUUUUCAUGCAUACAACCAAGUUUCUUAAAGAUAAAAAAAAAAUUUAUCAUAAUUUCAUACAGUAUAGAAAAUUAAAAAAAAUAUGUCUUAGUAUGCAUGGUUUUAAUAACAAGUUUGAUCUGAUAGUGAAGAAAGGUAAGCUAUGGCCUAGUGUAGUCUUUGUAGAGAAAAUUAGUGUGAACUGAUUGAUAACAAGGAUACAACGAAGAUGAAGAUGAGUGUGAACUGAUUGAAGGAAUUAAGUGCGGCCAUUUGGAAAUUUGGCUGUGGAGUUCGUUAAUUGUUCAAUAAAUGAGCAGAAGACAGCUUCUGCUCCUUGCUGUGCUCCACUUGAAGUUGAUUGAAUGCUAGCAAAUAGGUAAAUGGGCCAUAGGCGUUGUGGAAAUUAUUAUUUUUUUGAUAUUAUCCCUCUCGAAGAUCUGAACAUGUGGUUCUAGUUCGAGGGCUUUUUCCAUAUGGAUAAUUAUAUGGGAUCCAUUUGUUUUGUCCCUUCCCUUUUCUCACAAAUUUAAUGAUAUCUUACUUCACGCAAAACUAUUACAAAUAGCUUGUCAAAGUAUACUUUUUCCAAGUAAUGUGUACUUGCACAAUCUUUUUGUACUCUAAUCAUUGAGCCUAAACAUGUUUAAGGUUUGUCUCUUGUACCAUGUAAUAUUAAUGAGUUAAAAAGAUGAAGUGUUUAAGAAUUUAGAUAAUGAUGAGACUUGUAAUGAAUUAGAUUUAUAAAUUAUAUUAAUGAAUAUAUACCACGCACCUUAAUAGAUUAUGAAUUUAAAUAUAAUAAACGAUGAAAGAUGAGAUACAUACAUAAAUAAGUAAUAAAUUAAAUAAAUAAUUAAAUAUGAAGUGAGAAUCGCUUCAUUUCAAAGAAGGGUUGGGUUUGUCUUUCAUGCUUGGAGAGUGACAUUUAAUCCCAUUUAUUAGAUAAAAUUAAUAGGUGAGAUUUUUUUUUUCUUCCUUGUACCAGAUAUAACCUAAAAACAAAUUUUGAAAAAGAAUUUUUUUCUUGAAAAUACCAAUCUUAAUUCAUAAUGUACUGCAGUAACUAUCUCUUGAUAAAAAAACGAAAACUGUGAGGAUAGAGGAAGACACGUCUUCUUAUAUUUUUUAUUUUAAAGAUACAAAAAUUUAUUCUAAAAAUAUCAUAGAAAUGAAUUUAUUUUAUAUAUUUAUUUCUAUUUAUUCAAUCAAACACUUCUUAGAAAGAAAAAAACCAUUGAAGCCACUGCCUAAGUUAGAGAUUGCUGAGGAAACUGAAGUCAGUCUCCAUACACUAAAACUAGUCUCAAAAUACAUUUCUUAGAAAGAAAAAAAACCAUUGAAGCCAAACCACCGCAGUGCCCCAUGUGUUUGACUUGAACCAUGUUGUAAUGGGAAAGUACGACUUAUGUUUUUGGGGUUUUCCAUAAGUUCAUAUUUUUUUUAGAAAAAAUAGAAGAACAAGAGAAAUUGAUCUGUAUUCGGCACUUGACAAUGUGUUUUGUUUGUUUUUGUAGGUACAUAGGAACUAUCCAUACACCAUCAUUUCCAUGUCCAAGCACGCAUGGCAAACAAAACUCUUCAUAUUUUAUAUAUUUCAUGAUAUUAAUAAGAAUAUCAAGAACAACCGACACUGUCUGGAGAGUUUGUGGCUCAGUGGUUGUUGGGGCAGCUCUCCUUCCUUUGAAUUUCGAUUCGAGUCAUAGUAGGAGUGGGGUUGAAGAGUUUGUUUCCUUCCUGUUUUUAUUGGAUCCUUUCUGUGCGGUAUGAUUGUCACCCUCGCGGUGCCUUACCUGCUCACUGGGCUUGCAAGAUAUUCAGUGGACCAUGAGAUUAGUCGUGGUGCGUGUAAGCUGACCCGAACAUCCACGUUAAUAAUAAUAAUAAAAGAACAACCGACACUGCUCGAAAUUGGUUCCUUGUUAUUCUUGUCAAGAUUCUUGUCUACUCUGUUCAAGAUCUAGCAGUAAAUAUAUUAUAGCAACUUGCAUUUCUAUCAAGUUAGGCAAACGUAGGCAGGAUGCAUGUUGUUUCCCUUUCAUGCCCUAGGUAGGUCCAAACUUCUACGUUCUAGACCUAAUUUUAAAUCCAAACCCUUUUCAAAGAGGUUGGCUGAUUUAUACUUUGCAGUACUUGUCAAUUGUAAAUGAUGGGACCUUCGUGCAAGCAAAAGAAUUCCCCUUCCGAAGGAUAGAGAUCUACACCAAACUCAUAAUUGAAAGAUAUUUUAUACAAAUAUUUUAUACAAAUAUUUAUCCCAGUUUCAAAAAAUGGAUUGACCCCUUUUUUGUUUAAAAUGAAAGCAAUUAAAGAAAUGAUUUUUAUAAGCAGAUUUGAUGGAAAUGCAUAAAUAAAUAAAAAAGGACAUGUUUUUUUUUCAAUUAUAUGUAAGUAGGGUAAGAAGAAAAACAGGAAAAUUGUUUAGACAGAAAAAAUCACCAAACCAAGAAAAUAAAUUAGAAAACCAAAAAAAAUAAAUUUUCAGAUUCAAUUUAAAGCUUCUGAAAUGAUUAAACCGAAUUAAUUCAAUAAAAAAAGAUUAAAAUAUAUAUUAACCUAACAGGAGUAUAAAUAAAAAAUUAUCUUCUAAAGACUCAAACCCAAAAAUUCAUUAUCUUAGUCACACGCUCCAUUUCCUCUCUUCACCCUUCUCUUUCGAACUCCCCCGCGACUCCAUUCGUAGCCCACCCAUAAAAUUUUUCAUUUUAUUAAAACAUGAAGUUGAUAUUGUUUCUAAUAUAUAAAAAAGAGAAUAAUUUUAGUGUUUAGAUAAGUUUUACAUCCAACAAACUUUUAUGAUUAUAUUUAUAUAUAUUGUUAAGUAUCUACAAUUAUUUUAUUCAUUUUAUAAAUUUAUUUUUUGCUCUUUUUUUCUAUAAAAAUUAAUUGGAUUUAGCCAUAAAAAGCCCCAAAAAAACCACUAAAAAACCAAUACAUUUUGUAGAUUUUUCUCUUUAAAAAAACUGAUUGUAUUAUUUAUUACAAUAAUAAAAUUCAUUAUGUUUGGCGCAUUUCUUUCACCAAAUGCUAAAAUUUUUUUUUUUUCUACAGAUGGAACAAUCAUGAGCAAAUCCCUACCAUAAGUACAUGAUAAAAAAUAGUGAGUACUUUCUUCACACAUGUCCCCCUUGACAUCGACGGUGCAGAGAAAUGGAAAGUGGGAAGACAACAUGUUUAACAGAAGCACAUGAUCCAGGACGUGCCAUCUGAGUCUCCAGCACUAGCUCUCGUCGACAGAACUACCGACACUGAAGGCCAUAAUAAAAGCCAGAGAGAGGAGGAACAAGCAAAGAGAAGAGCAGAAAAGAGAGAACAGGACGUACAACACAGAGGGCUGCACCGAGGAUACCAGGAGGAACAAGCACCGAGAAGAACAAAACAGAGAACUCAAAAACACAGAGGAACCAGAGAGGAGAACGACUAGAGAGAAACCAAAAAAAGACAGAGGCAGAAUUGAAGAAAGGAGCGUUAACGACCAACAACCUCACAUCUUCGUCUGUUUCAGUUACCAACGAUUGUGCGUAAAAGUUUCAGCACCAUCGUCUUCGUCUGUCUCAGUUACAGGUAAGUUUCAUACAUUCCUCCCACUUUGCAUUUUCAUUACAUAGGUACUAUGCAUCUUGAUUUAUAAUUAACUUCUUCCUGUAUAGGCCUGGUGGGUCCAGCCCUGUUACAUGGACCGAGCUGGACCAGCCUAAAACAAAUAAAAAACAGAGAGAUUAGUGGUUUUAUCGUGUAUUCAUAAAUUGUAUAUUUUUAUAAAAAUAUAAAUUUGGUAUAUUAAAAUACUUGGUUUUUUAAUAAUUGUGGCAUAUAUAUAUAUAUAUAUAUAUCUGAAAAAUAAAUGUUUUAUUUUCAUACAUACGACUAAGUUUCUUAAAAAUAAAAAAAAUAUAUAUAUUAUCGUAAUUUCAUACAACAUAGAAAAUUAAAAAAUAUGUCUUAGCAUGUAUUUGCGGCUUUAAUAACAAGUUUAUUAAAAUCAUGAGAACUAAAUCAAUAUUUCAAAAAAAAAAUAUUUUGUCUUUCUUUUUAAUAUCUACGAUUAUAAACUUACACGUAAGACAUAUUUAUAAUAUUAAAUAAAAAUUAGUUUUUUUUUGCAAUGAUUAGAAUGGUUAGAUUUUACCCUGCAAAAUAAGAAUCUCCUCAUUAAGAAAAGCUUUUCUCGAAUAAUAGACAAAAAAAAAAAACACAACAAUACCUUAGAAUAUAUGAAACAAUUAAAGAAUACAGCUUAUCUUAGAUAGGGUGUGCUUGAGAUACUAAUAUUUUCUAUUUACGUAACUAUUCUCUGUACCUGAUCUUUCAGAUCAGUUGGCAUUUUUAAUAAUCAAAAUACUAAUUAACGACUCCCAUUAUAUUUAUAUAAAGAAAAAAAAACUUGGAAUUCUUAUCUCCCUAUUUUCCCCUAUUUUUCCGGGAUACCAACAUUAAGAGUGGAUGCUACCGCCUUGACACCAGACAUGUGUGAUACUGUGCUUGAGAAUAAUCUGCCCCAUAAAGAUCCAUUUGAUCUGAUACUGAAGAAAGGUAAGCUAUUGUAGUCUUUGUAGAAAAAAUUAGUGUGAACUGAUUGAUAAUAAGGAUACAAAGAAGAUGAAGAUGAGUGUGAACUGAUUGAUAAUAAGGAUACAAAGAAGAUGAAGAUGAGUGUGAACUGAUUGAAGGAAGUGCUAUUUGGAAAUUUGGCUGUGGAGUUCGUUAAUUGUUCAAAAAUGAGCAGAAGACAGCUUCUGCCCCUUGCUGUGCUCCACUUGAAGUUGAUUGAAUGCUAGCAAGUAGGUAAAUGGGCCUUAGGCAUUGUGGAUUUUUUUUUUUUUUUUAUAUAUUAUCCCUCUCAAAGAUCUGAACCUGUGGUUCUAGUUCGAGGGCUUUCUUCCAUAUGGAUAUUUAUAUGGGAUCCAUUUGUGUUGUCCCUUCCCUUUUCUCACAAAUUUAAUGAUAUCUUACUUUACGCAAAACUAUUACAAAAAGCUUGUCAAAGUAUACUUUUUCCAAGUAAUGUGCACUUGGAAAAGCUUUUUGUACUCUAAUCAUUGAGCCUAAACAUGUUUAAGGUUUGUCUCAUGUACCAUGUAAUAUUAAUAUUGCGUUUGAUAUGAGAUUAAAAAUUUUAAGGAAAAUGUUGAGGCGACAAAAUAAUAAAUGAAGUGGAAAGAACUAAAAUGAGUUAAAAAGAUGAAGUGUUUAAGAAUUUAGAUGAUGAUGAGACUUGUAAUAAAUUAGAUUUAUAAAUUAUAUUAAUGGAUAUAUACCACGCACCUUAAUAGAUUAUGAAUUUAAAUAUAAUAAACGAUGAAAGAUGAGAUACAUACAUAAAUAAGUAAUAAAUUAAAUAAAUAAUUAAAUAUGAAGUGAGAAUCGAUUCAUUGGGUUUCUCUUUCAUGCUUGGAGUGUGACAUUUAAGCCCAUUUAUAUUGAAACGUUACAUCUUCAAUAUUUCUCCCCCUCUAUAAUUUGCAUCGAACAUGAAGAGGAAGAGGGUGAAAAAUUCAUAGAUAAAAAAGGUGACAUUUUAUUUUAUUUUUCCUUGCACCAGAUAUAACCUAAAAACAAAUUAAUUUUGAAAAAGAAUUCUUUUCUUGAAAAUACCAAUCUUAAUUCUUACUUUCUUAGUGCAUUGCAGGAACUAUCUCUUGAUAAAAAAAACAAAAACAGUGAGGAUAGAGGAAGACACGUCUUCUUAUAUUUUUUUUAUUUUAAAGAUACAAAAGUUUAUUCUAAAAAUAUCAUAGAAAUGAAUUUAUUUUAUAUAUUUAUUUGUAUUUAUUCAAUCAAACACUUCUUAGAAAGAAAAAACCAUUGAAGCCACUGGCUAAGUUAGAAAUUGCUGAGGAAACUGAAUUCGGUCUCCAUACACAAAAACUAGUCCCAAAAUACAAUUUUUUAGAAAGAAAAAAACCAUUUAAGCCAAACCGCAGUGCCUCAUGUGUUUGACUUGAACCAUGUUGUAAUGGAAAAGUACGACUUAUGUUUUUGGGGUUUUUCAUAAGUUAGUAUUUUUUUUUUAGGAAAAAAAGAAGAAGAGAAAUUGAUCUGUACUCGCCUAGCUUGCAACUUGUUAAAUGGUAGAACCUGGCUUAAUCAAUAAACUUAAUUUAAUGUUAAGGAUAAAAUCAGAAAAAAAAAAUUAAUUUAAAAAAUUUACCAAAAUAAAAAAAAAUUCAAUAAAAAAUGAAAUGAAAAAAAAACAAUCUUAAAAAAAAUCUUAAAUAAAUUAAAUAGCAAAUUAAAAGAAUAGAUAUCAAAUCUGAUAUGUUAAAAAAAUUAAAGGUUGAUGAUAUUGUUGCUACCCAAUUUUUGACCCAUGUUUUUGAUAUAUUUUCAAACAAUCCAAAAAUAGAGAAAAACAAAGAAAAUCCAAAAAAAUAUGUUUUUUAAUAUAUUUUCGUCAUUUUAGCAUUUUCAACGUCGUCUAAAAAAGAAUUUAAAUUUUUAAGGGUCUUUCGAACGCGUUCGACUUUUCACGCGUCAUUUUUAAAAUCAUUGAUUUUCCGUAUUUGAGUCGACGUUGAUAUUGCUCGUUUUCAAAAAAAUACAAAAAAACAAGAAAAAUCAAAUUUUACAAAAAAAAGAAAAUUAAGGGACCAAUUUUGAGACCGAAACAAUAUUUUUGCCUAUGUAUAGGGAAUUUUAAAUUUUGGAAGGAGGGGCAACCUAAGAAUUUUUUUUCUCUUCAGCCGAAACUAGCCGCUCCAGCUGGCCUAAGACCAUUAUUUAAUCCCUCUCUUUCGGCUGAAAAUUAGGGACUUAGCCCCCACCCAUGGUCUUCUUUUCCUGGUUUCCCGCCGACAAUGGAGGCCCCUCCUCACACUGAAAACUUCUAUUUCUUCUCAUCCCCAGCUUUGCAAAAGGGGGGGGGGAGAUUGGAGCCAUUUUCGUCGGGUCCCGAGAGCAGUGGGCAGAGAAACUGAAACUCCUUUCCCCCCAUUUUUUUCUUCUCCUUUUCCAGCCGGCUCCCAGCCAACCAGACAACCCCUCUAGCCGCCUCUCACUGGGCAAAGAGAGACUCUCCAAAACAAAACACACAGACCCGGCCGCUCAACCUUUUCUUCCCCCACACUGCACCUCCAAACAACGCAGCCCCUACCCUUUUUUUUACCCUGGCCAAACAGCCCCCCAAAAAACCCCCCUGGUUUUGAAUGUUUUUUUCUCAACACCGGCCCCCAUCCUCUGCUUUUUUUUUGUUUUUCUUUCAACACCGGAACCAUUUUCUUCUUCUCCAAACAGCCGCCGGUCAUCUCUUUCUCCUUUUGAAAUCAAAAGCCAGCGCCACCCCUUCUCCCCUCAUCACAGUUCUCUCCCGUUUUUUUUCCAGCCCUCACUGUCUCCCUCGCCCCUCUCUCGGCCACGCCUCUAUUUUCGGUUGAAAAUCAGAGGGACCUUCCCGAUUCCCACAAAUCUUCCCCUCUCAGCCGUUUCUCCUUCAACCAAUUAGCAGCAGCCCUUCUUCGGCCGGCCAGCACCAGACCAUCCUCACUCCGGACCAUCGGUCUCUCCUCCACCACAGAGCAGUCCCCAUCAUCUCCUCAGACCACCACGGAUCUGCCCCCCAGUAGCAACCUCGCCGCCACCGAUCUGUCCAUUCCUCCGCCUCAACGCCGCCAGCAACCUCGCCCAUCUCCGCAACAGCUCCAGUGGCCGCGGGCUGCAGAAGACAAAGCCAUAGCAAACCGACCCACCUGAAACAGAAAAGGGAAGAGGCAGAGAAACAGAGUGGAUCCAAAAAACCGAAUCAGAUUUCAAAGACAAAAUGAAAUAAAAAAACUAAAAUCAACUGUUUGUUGUGGCUUUGGUUAUUUUUUUCAGGUCAUCGCCGGUAGAAAAACGAAGAGGGGAGGAAGCCACUCAACCCCCUGCUCCACGAUUUUUUUUUGGGCGGCGCGUGAAACCACGCGCCGCCAGUGGCGGCGGUGCGUGAGAUCCACGCGCCGCCCCUGUUCAGAUGGCACCAAGGCUGUGCAGCACUGUUCCUGAGGAUUUCCUUUUUUCCUUUUUGUAAUUUCUAGAUGCUGUGUGUAUUUAAAUAUUAUUGUAUUUGAUUUGUUUUGAAUUUUUGUUAUUUGUUUUAUUGUAUAAAUGUGAUGUAAAAUAAAAAAGAAAAGAGAAGAAAAAAAAUAAAUAAUAAAAAGAAAGUUGUGUGUUUGUUUGUUUUUUUAUAUUUUUUUUUAUUUAUGUUAUUAAAAAAUAAAAAAGGAAAAAAAGAAUUAAUUGUUAAUUUAAAUAUGGUUAAAUAUCUUAAGGACAAAUAAAAUCAAGUUGUAUUUUCCAUGAAAAUGUAAGAACAAGUUUUUUACAUAUAUUCGAGGAUUUAAUAACUGAUUUAUUCAAGCCUUAGAAUUUAAUUAAUAUUUUAAAUUUUCAAAUUACAUUAGAAUACAAAGCAGCUUACCUCAGGUAGGGUGUGUUAGGGGUGUUAAUACCUUCCCUAACCACAACCAGUGCCUUACCCGCGAUUUCUGACAAGACUAGUACAUCAGGUUUUCUAGUAGCCCUCAAUGAAUUACUAGGUGGCGACUCCAACGAACGAAUUCAAAGCAAACGCAACAUACGAGAAAAAUCGCCAGCCGAUGCCGCACGCCGGAUGUUUUUGGGGUGCGACAGGAUGGCGACUCCACUGGGGACAGGUAUUGUUUUCAACUUUAUCGGACUAAGCUUGGUGUUUUGAUGUGUUCAAUUUUUUUUUUGUGCUUUGUUUUAUUUAUUUGUGUUUUAUUCAUGCAUUGUAUAUAUUUCUCUUAUGCAUCACAAGUUUUAAUUUUUAAAAGCACACACCAGCUUUAGGUUAGGUGGGGGACUAGUAGCUUACCUUACGACUUGAGUCAAGGUUUAAGUUUGUGUAAACCCCAACUCUUUGUUGAGUGCUUAGACUGGUAAUAGUUGGACACGUGCCAACCAAUUACCUACUGGGCCCCUAUAUUGCCUUUACGAAGGCGAUCACUGGGACAACAAGAGACCCUUUUAGAGACCAAGUAGCAAACCUACCCUGUCUCACGUAAAAUGAAUAGAGCCUGUCUUAGGAUGUAUGCUAUUGUUUUGCAUCGAGCAAACCCUUCUUGAAGCAUCUUGAACUCAAGACUUGUGGGUGACACAUGCCAUCUCCGAAAAUUUUCAUUGUAGAGUUUGGGCAAAAAUCACGAUUCUUGUCCAUCAUACAAGAGUUACGACCAUAUUGUCACCCUCGAAGGGUGAGUUCGUCAUAUAGAUUACAUAUUCAUACAUUUAUCAUGCAUGUACCGGGUUGAAAAGUAGGUUCCCCCGCACAAGCUGUGCUGCAAGUGAUUGAAGAAAGGAUGGAAGUGAAGAAAGAUGUCAGAUAGAGGCUCAUUAUCAGAUUGAGUUUGAGAGCAUCAAAGGUGAAGUAGCUAGACUCAGAUCUGCUCGAACAAGUGUUGAGCAUCAAAUGGAAAGAGAAUGUCUGCACAGUCUUCUGUGGGAACACUGCUUGUCCACGUCCAAUUGAAGCUGCCUCUCCUUUUCAGUCAUGAACAACAGCAACAAUGCCUUCAGUCAUCAACUAAUGACAACUCUAGUUCUUGUCCAGUUGCACUGUUAAGUGUUCAUCGCCUCCACAUCAUCUAAUGGAACCAAACCACUACUAGCCUCCUGUACAUGGUGCAUUAGUCUGCUUUGAAGUUACCCCAAUUAUGAGCUCAAUUCCAGUUCAGCAGCACAAGAUGUUGGUCUGAAAAACCAUGAUCAGACACUGAACUUCUACGUGGUAGAGCUCUCUCUGUAGAGAUUUAUUUGUGGAUCUGCCAAUGGGAAAUGGAAAAGGGGAUGUAUUAAUUUCAUAUGCUUUGAAACUUUUUCCCACCAGUGGAAUGAGCAAAACAUUGUACUAGGCAGAGGAGUCAGGCCUGGUUUGAAAAUAUGAGUAGUCGUCAAACACCAACGUGUCAAAGCUCUCUCUACAGAAAUCUGUUUAUGAUGCUGCAAGGUGAGAGUGCAAGAGAGGAUUUACUAAUUGCAUAUGCUACAAAUAUUUCUCUCAUCAGUUUCAGCACGAAGACAUCUUAGUAGGUUGAAGAGCCAGACCUGGUCUGAAAAAUAUGAGCAAACAUCAAACUUCAACGUAGCAGAGCUCCCUCAUCAGUAAUCUAUUUGUGGAUCCGCAAGUAGGAAAUCCAAGAAGGAAUACAGUAGUUUCAGAUCAUCUAUGAUUUUCCUCCAACAGUGUCAGUUUUUUAAAAAACACGCAAAAGUAGAGAGAAGAGACAUGCCUAGACUGAAAAAACAUGAAGAAGACUGAAACUUCAACAGAGCAGAACUCCCUCUAUUGGUGCUUGUUUGCUGCACCGUUCGAGAGGAAUCGAAGAAGAAAUAGAGGAGAUUCAUGUUCAUCGUUUUCUCCCAUAGAAGAGAUAAGGCAUGAUUCCACGUGUUGGUAGUGGCGAUACUACAAGUUUUGGGCGCUGCCAAGAUUACCAAGCUGUUGGAAAGUUUUCCAACAAUCCUCAACCAACCACAACAACAUUGGAAGAUUGAAAUGAUGUUGUGAGGAUUUGCCGAAGAAUUGAACAAGCUAUGAAGAGAGGAAAGAUUGAAGGAUCUGCCAUGGAUUCCAGAACAAUGAUGAGAGGUGAAUCAGGAGAUGACUUUGACGGUGUGAACCCUUAAUUAUGUGGUAUAGCCAGGUCUCACGGUAGCAUCAAUUGCUCAAAUGUCUUUGCCAAGAUGGGACAUUCCUCUGCCAUUUAAGUUUGUCGACCAGCAUCUGCCAGAUUCCAGAAUUUUGCUUGACUCCGACAAAUCCCAUGCAACCACCAAUUUCUAGGUGGUAUAAUCCAGAUAAGAGAUGUGAUGUCAUGGUGGGGUCCUCAACCAUUUCAAGUGAACAUUUAAGAAUUGCAAGAAUUGAGUCUGAAAGUUGGUGAGCAAGAGACAAGUGGAGUCGUGAAGGAGGGUGUCAUUGGCUAUAUUGUCCCCGAACAUCUUCAGAAUGACAUGUUGAUCGAAAGUGCUUGGCAAAACGAAAUAUUGCCAGAAAAGCUGAUUCAAGAAUGGUGAUGAAAGUCAAUCAUAUUGUUUUGGAAUUCUGCAUUUUGUUUUGGGAUCACAUCUCAUCCUUCAACGAAACAUGCCUUGCUUUUGUCUCUUUGUUGUUUUGAAAUCAACAGAUGUUUACAUUUUAUUCUGAAAAUAUUUUGAUCAAACUCCAACAUGCGAUAAAGGUUAAUCAAUCCGGAAGAUUAAAAGUGUUUUGAUUGCAGAAAUGACUCGAUGCUUUGAAAAUGACAUGAGGUGACUAAAUAAUUUUGAACUCAUACCUCCUGAAACUGAGCCACACAUCAUAUAGCUAAGUUUUAGCAGUAUGCAUAAUGACAUGUAGUGGAUUUGGUAGUUAUGGACCCGUGAAUCAUUGACUCUUACAAGUCCAAAUCAUUACACUGAAUGAGGUCAAAAUUUAUCGGUUCUAACCGACCUUGCUUGAAAUGAGAAAAGGCCAUCUUUGAUAUCCCUUCACUUUCUAAAGAUUAUAUCCCUUGUAGUCCCAUUUUGAGCUGUAUAGAAUAUUCUUUUCAUAAAAAACCCUGACUAGGAUCACACCCCACACUGGGGGCAAAUGGGAGAUAUUUUGAAGACAUUGCUGUAAUUAAUGGAAAGGGAAGGCUUAGAACAAAAGUCCAAUGAUUGAGAGAGCUAAAAGAAAACACAUAGACUGGGGGCAUAAGAAAAUUUGAGGAAGGCUAUGAGUUGAAUUGCCUUCACUUAAAGACAAGUUAAAAAGAAAUGGAAAAAGAACGCCUAUCAAUUCUAAGAGAGGCAAGGCAGUUUUCAAUUGAGAAAAGACAAUAAAUGCCAAAAGUCAACACUAGAAAAAUCGAUGUUUCAUAUCUUUUGGUGUGUCUAGGAUAAAGCCUCUUAUGUCUUCAAAAAUUUAUUUAGAUUGGUUAUUCAUCAAAGAAAAAGUUGGAUUUGCAUUAUGACUUAUGUUAAUAGAAGUCUGAUCUUUGAGGUUAACAAGGUUAUGUGUUUCUCUACAAUGACAAGAAAGAAAAGAGUGAUGAAUAAUUGAUGUUGAUCCUAGGUUUGAAACCCUCAAACACCUUUUGAGCCUUUGAAAUUCUUUUUUUUUCAUAGCCAUGAACCAUAGCCUGCAUUACGUGCUUUUAAAAGCCCUUUUUAAUCAAGCAAGCAAUCUGAACCGAUAAAUGGCGAUCUCAAAACUUGAAGAGUUUUUCCAUAAGAGUCGUGGCUUCAUGAAUUAAGCUACUGGUUAUUAUGCAUGCUGAUAAAAUAAUAUGCUAGAAAAGAAACAACCUUUCUUGAUAAUCAAGCCUGAGCCUGUUUUUGAAAUUCACAAAUUCACCUCAUCACAGACCAUCAAAAAGAUAUACCCAAAAUCAGAGUUUAAAGUGGACACAAAGAACCAUGAAAAAGUCAUUUUAAAUCUUACAACGGGUCAUUUCUGUUUUCAAAAUACAAGACAAUCAAAGGACUGCAUUGAAUAGUGUGUUGGGUCUUUGACCAAAGAAGUUUGAAUUUCAAAAAAAUAAUUUCAAAAACAGACAUCUCUUGAUUUCAUUUCAACAAUUAGACUUGAAUAGACAUGAUCGUUGAAAUGUGAGAUUUGAUUCCAGAACAAGAAAGAUUUUCAAACAAGAACAUCAUUGAGUUUGCAAAAUCCUUGACAAAAAUGACAUCAACAUUUCUCGACACUCCUUGAAACGUUGACCACCUGGGGGCAAUACAGUGGCCCUUAGAAGAAAAACAAACAACAUUCUGAUCAGCUGGGGCAAAGAAAGAAUCAGAUGAUGAGUCAUCAAAGUCAUGAAAGUUAUGUUUAGCAUCUGACAAUGACAAAGGAAACCUUUUGAGUAUAAACUGAUGAACGAGCAUUCAUAUCAUUGCUAGGGCCAAUGUUGUUCAAAGACAAUCCAUGAUCUAGUGCACUUCAGCAGCAAUUGAUGAGCAACGCUGCACUAGAAAGAUGUUUUCAUAUCUUCAUCUUGGGUUACCCUGUAAAACAUGGCUAUGACUCCUGACAGAUGUUAUUGGGUGAGUGCAUUUGAAUGAACAUCGAACAUAUACAUACCACUAAGAUUGACUAUGGGACCAUCUAUUCUGAAGCUCAAAUGCACACUUCACCGCAUGAAUAUGGGUGAUAACAUGAACAUCAUUGAUGAUGCCAAAGCAGUUAUUUUCACGAUCUAAUUUGACAAGCUAAGAGGAAUCCAUAGAGAAAUACAUCGCGCUUACAAUGAUGAGCUGUUUACUGCAAAGCAUGAGAUCCAUGUCUGGAUGACUUGGCAGUUCCAUGAAGGCUGGUGACCAUACAUACUUGAAUGGUGUUUCAACCGAAGGCAAGUUCAUGACUGAUUAACAAUCUUGAUGGGUGUUGGCAUGAUGCACACAAUCAAUCAAAGGAUAAUUCUCAGAAGAAGCCAGAGAGAAAAUCCUUCAUGAUGAAUCAAGCAGUACCACACUUGGGGGCAGGGUCAAGCUUGAUGAACGAUGCAAGCAGUAAUUGUCGAAGACAGCCCGGGAUGGGCACUGCAUUUACAGCUGAGUGGAUGGCUAGCACAUGAAUGAGCCAAUGCAUCGAAAGAACAAAGAAAGCUUUGGGAUGCAAACAAGGAAACCCUAUGACGAUGGAGCAUCAAGGAGGGGGGGACCUAUAUUUCGAAUCAGGUAAGGAUGCAUGCAUAUCAUCUAACCUCAAAAAAAAAAAAAACCAUUUGCACAUAUUUUUGAAUUGUUACAGGAAAAUCCUUAAUGAGGUCCAGCAAGAUGGUGGAAAGAGAAAGAAGCAUUGUGGUGAUGAUAAUAAAGAAUCGGUUUUGAUCAUGGAAUAAAAGGACGAUGGGAUGAACCUUACCAUUAGGAAAAUCCCAAAGAAAUGAAAAGAUCAACCUUGCAAUUGGGAAGCCUCGAGUUUUCAACCAUUGCAGUAAGGAAACACCGAGUUUUCAAAUCCUAUGAUCGGGAAUUAUCAGGAAGCACCAAGUUUUCCAGCUAUUUUCCUGCCAUCCCCUCAGGACUUCACCAGGUAAGUCCUAUUUUUCACACUUGUCAUAUCACAUUUUUUCCAUCUGGGUAGGUCGCCCAUCAUAAUAAGACCGUUCUUCAUAUUUUUUCCAUCCGGGUAGGUCACCCAUUACAAUGAGACCGCACUUCAUAUUCUUUCUAUUUGGGUAGGUCGCCCAUCACAACGAGACCACUUCAUCAUAUUUUUUCCAUCUGGGUAGGUCACCCAUUACAAUGAGACCACAUUUAAUAUUUUUUCCAUUUUUGGGUAGGUCACCCAUUACAAUGAGACCGCACUUCACAUUCUUUCUAUUUGGGUAGGUCGCCCAUCACAACGAGACCACUUCAUCAUAUUUUUUCCAUCUGGGUAGGUCACCCAUUACAAUGAGACCACACUUCACAUUUUUUCCAUCUUGGGUAGGUCACCCAUCACAAUGAGACCAUCAUCUUUUCUAGGUAGGUCACCCAAAGAAUGAGACCAUUCUCCAUCUUUUUUUUUACCUGGGUAGGUCACCCAUAAGAAUGAGGCCAUUCCUUCCCCUGGGUAGGUCACCCAAAGAAUGAGACCACUCUUCCUUUUUCCACUUGGGUAGGUCACCCAUCACAAUGAGACCAUCAUCUUUUCUGGGUAGGUCACCCAAAGAAUGAGACCAUUCUCCAUUCUUUUUUUACCUGGGUAGGUCACCCAAAGAAUGAGGCCAUUCUUCCCCCUGGGUAGGUCACCCAAAGAAUGAGACCACUCUUCCUCCUUUCCACAUGGGUAGGUCACCCAUUAUAAUGAGACCACUUUUUACACAUUCUUUUGUUCCAGUUGAAUGAGGUCGCCAGAUGGGAUCUCAUGUAGCUUUGGUUAAAGGGAAUCUCCAUAUGGGAUUUCAGGUUGACCGAGUUACACACAUUCUUUGGUUUUGGUUAAAGGAGGUCGCCAGAUGGGAUCUCAGGAUAAUAAAAAAAAAAGAAAAAAAAAAGGAAGAUUGCUGAUGAAGUGGAUAUUGAGCAAACAGAAAGAUAAGUUUUUCUUUACAAAGCUUACUAUGCAAAACAUCGAGGAUUUUUGCUUCGUAAGCAUUGUAAAGAGGGGGCAUCUGUUGCUACCCAAUUUUUGACCCAUGUUUUUGAUAUAUUUUCAAAAAAUCCAAAAAUAGAGAAAAACAAAGAAAAUCCAAAAAAAUAUGUUUUUUAAUAUAUUUUCGUCAUUUUAGCAUUUUCAACGUCGUCUAAAAAAGAAUUUAAAUUUUUAAGGGUCUUUCGAACACGUUCGACUUUUCACCCGUCAUUUUUAAAAUCAUUGAUUUUCCGUAUUUGAGUCGACGUUGAUAUUGCUCAUUUUCAAAAAAAUACAAAAAAACAAGAAAAAUCAAAUUUUACAAAAAAAAGAAAAUUAAGGGACCAAUUUUGAGACCGAAACAAUAUUUUUGCCUAUGUAUAGGGAAUUUUGAAUUUUGGAAGGAGGGGCAACCUAAGAAUUUUUUUUCUCUUCAGCCGAAACUAGCCGCUCCCCCUGGCCCAAGACCAUUAUUUAAUCCCUCUCUUUCGGCUGAAAAUUAGGGACUUAGCCCCCACCCAUGGUCUUCUUUUCCUGGUUUCCCGCCGACAAUGGAGGCCCCUCCUUACAUUGAAAACUUCUAUUUCUUCUCAUCCCCAGCUUUGCAAAAGGGGGGGAAGAUUGGAGCCAUUUUCGUCGGGUCCCGAGAGCAGUGGGCAGAGAAACUGAAACUCCUUUCCCCCCAUUUUUUUCUUCUCCUUUUCCAGCCGGCUCCCAGCCAACCAGACAGCCCCUCCAGCCGCCUCUCACUUGGCAAAGAGAGACUCUCCAAAACAAAACACACAGACCCGGCCGCUCAACCUUUUCUUCCCCCACACUGCACCUCCAAACAACGCAGCCCCUACCCUUUUUUUUACCCCGGCCAAACAACCCCCCAAAAACCCCCCUUGGUUUUGAAUGUUUUUUUCUCAACACCGGCCCCCAUCCUCUGCUUUUUUUUUUGUUUUUCUUUCAACACCGGAACCAUUUUCUUCUUCUCCAAACAGCCGCCGGUCAUCUCUUUCUCCUUUUGAAAUCAAAAGCCAGCGCCACCCCUUCUCCCCUCAUCACAGUUCUCUCCCGUUUUUUUCCAGCCCUCACUGUCUCCCUCGCCCCUCUCUCGGCCACGCCUCUAUUUUCGGUUGAAAAUCAGAGGGACCUUCCCGAUUCCCACAAAUCUUCCCCUCUCAGCCGUUUCUCCUUCAACCAAUUAGCAGCAGCCCUUCUUCGGCCGGCCAGCACCAGACCAUCCUCACUCCGGACCAUCGGUCUCUCCUCCACCACAGAGCAGUCCCCAUCAUCUCCUCAGACCACCACGGAUCUGGCCCCAGUCAGCACUGAAGGCAUCCCCUUCCUGUAGCAACCUCGCCGCCACCGAUCUGUCCAUUCCUCCACCUCAACGCCGCCAGCAACCUCGCCCAUCUCCGCAACAGCUCCAGUGGCCGCGGGCUGCAGAAGACAAAGCCAUAGCAAACCUCGCCCAUCUCCGCAAUGAUUUUUUUUUGGGCGGCGCGUGAAACCACACGCCGCCAGUGGCGGCGGUGCGUGAGAUCCACACGCCGCCCCUGUUUAGAUGGCACCAAGGCUGUGCAGCACUGUUCCUGAGGAUUUCCUUUUUUCCUUUUUGUAAUUUCUAGAUGCUGUGUGUAUUUAAAUAUUAUUGUAUUUGAUUUGUUUUGAAUUUUUGUUAUUUGUUUUAUUGUAUAAAUGUGAUGUAAAAUAAAAAAGAAAAGAGAAGAAAAAAAAUAAAUAAUAAAAAGAAAGUUGUGUGUUUGUUUGUUUUUUUAUAUUUUUUUUAUUUAUGUUAUUAAAAAAUAAAAAAGGAAAAAAAGAAUUAAUUGUUAAUUUAAAUAUGGUUAAAUAUCUUAAGGACAAAUAAAAUCAAGUUAUAUUUUCCACGAAAAUGUAAGAACAAGUUUUUUACAUAUAUUCGGGGAUUUAAUAACUGAUUUAUUCAAGCCUUAUAAUUUAAUUAAUAUUUUAAAUUUUCUUAAAUAUGGUUAAAUAUCUCAAGGAAAAAUAAAAUCAAGUUGUAUUUUCCACGAAAAUGUAAGAACAAGUCUCUACAUAUAUUCGGGGAUUUAAUAACUAAUUUAUUCAAGCCUUAGAAUUUAAUUAAUAUUUUAAAUUUUCAAAUUACAUCAGAAUACAAAGCAGCUUACCUCAGGUAGGGUGUGUUAGGGGUGCUAAUACCUUCCCUAACCACAACCAGUCCCUUACCCGCGAUCUCUGACAAGACCAGUACAUCAGGUUUUCUAGUAGCCCUCAAUGAAUUACUAGGUGGCGACUCCAACGAACGAAUUCAAAGCAAACGCAACAUACGAGAAAAAUCGCCAGCCGAUGCCUCGCGCCGAAUUUUUUUGGGGUGUGACAGAUAUUGAAACCAAUUUUAAUUAUUAUAUAUAUAUAUAUAUAUAUAUAUAUAUAUUAAUUGAAAUAAUAAGGAUCAAAUCUAAAAAAAAAAAAAUGAAGGGUUGCUCUAAAAUUUUGGAAGGUCAAAUGUAAAAAUCAAAGAAAAGAGAUAAAAGAAAAGAAAAGAAAAGAAAAGAAAAAGCAAAUUGGCUCCAAAGUGAAAGGAACUAUGCCACACACAUAGCCUAGAGAGGUAGGCCUUGCUGUGACGAAUCAUAAAUAUCCAAGGAAGGUCAUUUUUUGCCUUUGUAAGUUGCCACUUGAAGGUCGAGGACAGAACAAAUGAAACAUAGUCAACGAUUGAAACACUAUUGGCCGCCUAUAAGUUCUCAGCCGUAGUGUUAGAGAGUCUAUACACUUGAUUUUUAUCGGGUCCAUCAAAUGAUCCUGCCUCCAUCCAAAAAUUCGAGUGGGUUGAAGGGUUGUUCCCGUAUCUCUCCCUCAACCAGUUAUUAUAUGUCUCCUAAAAAUUAAAAAAGAAAUCAACAUAUUCAAUUCAAGAAAAUAAUAACUUACAAAAUAAAAUAGUUGAACGAACAUACCACGAAGUGUUGAGCGCGGGUGUCGACGAACUGUUGCACCACCCUUUGGCAGUCUUCACUCUGCAUAUGCGUCUCCACAAAUAGCUCCAUUAGGCUCGGCAUCGGGCUGGCGAUCGUUCUCGUUGUUGUUGCGUUUGCUUGAAUCGGUUCGUUGGGAGUCGCCACUUAGUAAUUCAUUGAGGGCUACUAGGAAACCUGAUGUACUGGUCUUGUUAGAGAUUCGCGGGUAAGGGACUGGUUGUGGUUAGGGAAGGUAUUAGCACCCCUAACGCACCCUACCUGAGGUAAGCUGCUUCGCGAAUUUGAUGUGUUAAAGAUGUUUUAAUAAUUGUCUUUUCAUCGGAAAUUAAAAAUAUCACUUACGUAUAAGUUAAUAAUUCUUAACCGUGAUCCGAUCAAAAUAUUAAAUUCUUCUUCAAUAUAUUUGCAAUUUUAUCAUUAAAAAUACAUACAAAUAAAUAAAACAAAAUACAAACACACACAUUCACUUUCACUAUUUUUAUUUCUUUUCUUUUCUUUUCUUUUUCUUUUUCUUUUCUUUUACGUCCACUAUACAAAUACAAAUACAACUUCAAAUUCAAAUUCAAAAUAAAUAAAUAAAAAUUACAUUAAUUAAUUUAAAAAUUACAAAAUAGUCCCUAAAACUCCAGAAAAUUGCAGGGAAGGACUUCUACACCCGCAGGAACACUGGCGGCGGGUCUUCCCACGUACCACCGCAACUGGCGGCGCGUGGGUUCACGUGCCGCCGUGAAAAAAACACAGCAACAGGGGGGGAUCGACUUCUUCCACUCGUCCUUUCGUCGCCGGCGGUGACCUGCAAAGCAAAACUCAACACACAACAAGCAGUUGAUUUUAAUUUUUAUUCUCUUUGUUCUAAAAUCUGCUUCGGUUCUUUUUUUUUUUCUUGGCAGAUCGGCUUCUGUUUUUUCUUCUUGGCAGAUCGGCUUCGGUUUUUCUCUUCUCUUCUGGUGGCCACCGGUGACUGGGAAGAUGCUGGUGGUUGUGGAUUUGUGACCGUCGGGUCUAUUCGGUGACCUUGUGACCGCUGCUGGGUCGUUACUGGUGUGCUGCGACCGGUGGUGAGCACGACGUGGAGAGGCAGAUCGGAGGAAGAGACGCUGGACGGUGGUCUGUCGGUGACUCCUGGUGAUGGAGUUGAGAGGACGACUGAGAGGAAGACCGGCGUUGAUGGAAACCGAAGGAGGAGGAAGAUAGGCCGGCUGUUGAAGGAAAUGAGGGCAGAGGGAACUGGCGCAAGCUGAAGAAGAAGAAAGGAGAAAAUGAGGGCUGUGUGAGGGGAACGGCUGCUAUGUGGAGAAAAAGCUUUGGCCGGCUCUCUGUGGGGAAGAAGCUUUGGCCAGCUCUCUGUCAGAGGAAAAAAAUUUCAAGCCAUGGGAGGGCGGCUGUUUGGCUGGUGUCGAGAGGAAAAGAAGAAAAAAAAUAAAAAAAAUAAAAAAAUAACAAAGGGUAGGGGAGCGGCUUUCGAUGGCUAGAGAAAGGGCUGGCCGAAAAAAAAACAGAAAAAUAAAAAUCGAAGGGGUGGGGGGCUGGCCUAGCGGCGGCUGAGAAGAGAUGGAUUUAGGUUUUCUUGUUUCUGUGUUGUCUCUCUCUUAAAUAUCAAAAUUACCCCCCCUUGAAUAUGUUAAGGAAACCAGUAUUUAUAGGUAAAAUGUUGCUAGGUUUUUCAACUUGGUCCCUCAACUUCUUUCUUUUCUGUAAAUUUUGAUUUUUCUUAUUUUUUUGUAUUUUUUGAAAACGAGCAAUAUCAACGUCGACUCAAAUGAGGAAAAUUAAUAAUUUAAAAAUGACGCGUGAAAAUUUGAACACGCUCAAAAAUCUUUUUGUUUUUUGAAAAUUUAAAUUCUUUUUAGACGACGCUAAAAAAUGCUAAAAUGACGAGAAUAUAUUAAAAAACAUAUUUUUUUAGAUUUUCAUUGUUUUUUCUCUAUUUUUGGAUUUUUUAAAAAUAUAUCAAAAAACAUGGGUAAAAAAUUGGGUAGCAACAAAUGCCCUCUCUUUACAAUGCUUACGAAGCAAAACUCCUCAAUGUUUUGCAUAUAAGCUUUGUAAAGAAAAACUUGUAUUUCUGUUUGCUCAAUAUCCAGUUCUUCAUUAAAAACCUUAAUAUGUUUUUCUUUUUUUUUUUUUUUUAUUAUCCUGAGAUCCCAUCUGGCGACCUCUUUUAACCAAAACCAAAGAAUGUGUGUAACUCAGUCAACCUGAAAUCCCAUAUGGAGAUUCCCUUUAACCAAAGCUACAUGAGAUCCCAUCUGGCGACCUCUCGAUUGGCACGAAAAUAUAUGUAACUCGGUUAACUUGAAAUCCCAUCUGGCGAUUCCCUUUAACCAAAGCUACAUGAGAUCCCAUCUGGCGACCUCAUUCAACUGGAACGAAAAUAUGUCUAACUCGGUUAACCUGAAAUCCCAUCUGGCGAUUCCCUUUAACCAAAGCUACAUGAGAUCCCAUCUGGCGACCUCAUUCAAUUGGAACAAAAUAUGUGUAACUCGGUUAACCUGAAAUCCCAUCUGGCGAUUCCCUUUAACCAAAGCUACAUGAGAUCCCAUCUGGCGACCUCAUUCAACGAGAACUAAAAACUGUGUGUAAUUCGGUUAACCUGAAAUCCCAUCUGGCGAUUCCCUUCAACCAAAGCUACAUGAGAUCCCAUCUGGCAACCUCAUUUAACCAAAACAAAAGAAUGUGUAAAAAAUGGUCUCAUUGUAUGGGUCACCUACCCAAGAAAAAAGAUGGUCUCAUUGUAUGGGUGACCUACCCAAGAAAAAAGAUGGUCUCAUUGUAUGGGUGACCUACCCAAGAAAAAUGCUGGUCUCAUUGUAUGGGUGACCUGCCCAAGAAAAAUGAUGAAGUGCGGUCUCAUUGUCAUGGGUGACCUACCCGGAUGGAAAAAAUGUGAAAAACGGUCUUAUUAUGGGGCGACCUACCCAGAUGGAAAAAAUGUGAUAUGACAAGUGUGAAAAAUAGGACUUACCUGGCGAAGUUCUGAGGGAUGACAGAAGAAAGGGCUGGAAAACUUGGUGCUUCUGAUAAUUCUCGAUCAUAGGGUUUGAAAACUCGGUGUUUCCUGACUGCAAGGGUUGAAAACUCGAGGCUUCCCGAUUGCAAGGUUGAUCUUUUCAUUUCUUUGGGAUUUUCCUAAUGGUAAGGUUUAUCCCAUCUUCUUUUAUUCCGUGAUCAAAACCGAUUCUUUAUUAUUAUCACCACAUGCUUCCUUCUUUUUCCACCAUCUUGCUGGACCUCAUUAAGGUUUUCCUGUAACAAUUCAAAAAUAUGUGCAAAUAUUUUUUUUUUGAGGUUAGAUGAUAUGCAUGCAUCCUUACCUGAUUUGAAAUAAUAGGUCCCCAUUUCUUCAUGGUGUGUUUCUUUUCUCAAAGUUGGAGUGUUGGCAGUGAACUUCGAUGGCUUCUUCGCUCUUGCUUACUCGAGUCAUCUCUUGUGAUUUUGACCUCUAGGAAGAAAUUGAUAUCAUCAUAGUUCUUUUCCUCCGUCUUUACCUCAAGGGUUGCCAACUUUGCUCGACAUUUUCUUAGAAUGGAAUCAUGGAGCCUGCCCUAUCAUAUGUUUCUUUAUUGCCCCCUAGCUUGAUCAUGCCCAAGUGUUCAAUUCAGGUUUGUGGACGAGGCUAUGUGAAGGAAGGUUUGACAAGGAGGUGUUUUCAUGCAGAAUUUUUGGAAUUCCAAAGCUAUUCCAAACACAGAAAUCAUUUUGACAUCGAUUCAAAGCAAACUCAUUCUAAAGAAAUUCAAGUGUUUCCUAUGGAGAGGUUAUCAGAAGUGAUGAAAACUCAUUUUUUUUUUUUGGCUUUUGGUAAAAAAAAAAUAUAUGAAGUGACAUCUGGUUUGUCAGAAAAGGUUUAAAUUUCAAUUUGAGGGUUAUUGAGAACCGAGGUUCAAAGCAUUUAUUUUAUUUGCAUGAAUAAUGAUUGGUUCACAUGAGAAAGCAUUGCCUACCGAUCCAGAUUGCUUGCCUUUGAUCAGAAAGGGCUUGAUUAGGCACGUAAUGUAGGCUUGGGCUCUUGGUUAUGAAGAAAAUGGAUAUUUGUAGGCUCAAAAAGUGUUUAAGGGAUUUUCAAAACUAAGGAUCACUUGUGCUUGUUUCUUGACCUUUUGUUUUAUUUAAAUGUCCUUCGAAAAUUGUCUAUCGUGCCCCCUUGUGUUGGGCUUGGGCUUGUUCUCUUUGUUUUUGUUUUCUUCAUAUGGUUUUGAGCAUCAUAAUAUUGUUUUUUUUUGCUCAAAACUAUUGGAUCCUUUGGAUUUUUCUUCAUGCCCCUUAGCUUUGUUUGGGGCACCUUCGAUGAUUGAGAAAUUUCUUUUAUGCCCCCUAGUAUUGCUUGGGCACUUUCAAUCAUUGAUGUUUUCUCUAUGUCAUCGCACUUGCCCCUAGUGUGGGGUGUGAUCCUAGCCAAGAUUAUUUUUCAAGAAAUAUUUAUUAGGCUCAAAAGAGGACUACAAAUGAUAUAUUUAAGCCUUGUGAAAGAAUUAUCAAGGAUGGCCUUUCUUCAUCUCAAAUGCAUGCAUUUAGGAUCGGUAAGCCUUGCUUUCAUGCGAGCAUGCAAAGUGAUUUCUCAUNNNNNNNNNNNNNNNNNNNNNNNNNNNNNNNNNNNNNNNNNNNNNNNNNNNNNNNNNNNNNNNNNNNNNNNNNNNNNNNNNNNNNNNNNNNNNNNNNNNNNNNNNNNNNNNNNNNNNNNNNNNNNNNNNNNNNNNNNNNNNNNNNNNNNNNNNNNNNNNNNNNNNNNNNNNNNNNNNNNNNNNNNNNNNNNNNNNNNNNNNNNNNNNNNNNNNNNNNNNNNNNNNNNNNNNNNNNNNNNNNNNNNNNNNNNNNNNNNNNNNNNNNNNNNNNNNNNNNNNNNNNNNNNNNNNNNNNNNNNNNNNNNNNNNNNNNNNNNNNNNNNNNNNNNNNNNNNNNNNNNNNNNNNNNNNNNNNNNNNNNNNNNNNNNNNNNNNNNNNNNNNNNNNNNNNNNNNNNNNNNNNNNNNNNNNNNNNNNNNNNNNNNNNNNNNNNNNNNNNNNNNNNNNNNNNNNNNNNNNNNNNNNNNNNNNNNNNNNNNNNNNNNNNNNNNNNNNNNNNAACCCCAUUCUUUAAAAAGCAUUUGGCAGCCAUCUUUGCCAUUUCUGGGAUUUUAGGCUUUCUCAACACCGUGCCUUCAGGAACCCAUUCCGCGUUCACAAUUUUGAAAGCAUGAAUAUUCCCAUCUCUAUAAUCUUCAGUUUCAAUGAAAGGUAUGGCCAUAUUUUUUAUCAUGGAAAUUGUCUCUUCAGCUUUGACAAUUAUCAACAUUCCGUUCAUGAUAUACUUCAAAAACUGGUGCAAUGAAGAAGUCACUGCUCCAGCUGCAUGAAUCCACGGCCUUCCUAAUAGUAUGCUGUAAGAUGGGUGAAUGUCCAUUACUUGUAAUGGAAUCAAGAACAUCUGCGGCCCCACAUAUAGCUCUACUUCUAGGGUCCCAAUUAUCGGUCUUGGCGAACCAUCAUAUGCUCUCGCCACCAAGGUGCUGGGCUUCAUAUGUGACUCAUCGACAGGCAUUUCUUUCAACAUAUGCCUUGGUAGGACGUUCAGUGCAGAACCAUUAUCGACGAGUACCUUUCCAAUCAGAAUAUCCUUGCAACGCACCGUAAUGUAUAGCGGCAUGUUGUGCCCAGUACCAUCAGGACACAAUUCAUCUUCAGUGAAGUAUAUAUAUAUUCGAGGCCUGGAUUCUUCCCACUAAAUGUUCCAUGGUUUCUUGAUUGAUGUAUUGGGGAACGUAGGCUUCGUUCAAUACCUUUUGUAGAGCCUUCCUAUGUGGCUCAGAGCUUAGAAUCAGAGAAAAUAACGAUAUUCUUGAUGGAGUCUUCUUGAGCUGCUCAACAAUACUAUAUUCACUGUGUUUCAUCAGUUUUAAGAAUUCGUUGGUUUCCUCUUCCAUGAUAGGUUUGUUGAUUUCUUCGGUUAUGUCAACCUUUUCUCUACCCUUAGCUUUUCUUUGUUUUUCCAGCUCUUCUGGAGUGAAACAUCUGCCACUACGGGUCAAUCCCCCAAUUUCUGCUUGAAAAACAGGUGGUUGCGGAGUGCUUUUGAAAGAGUACCCAUAGUCGUGAGGUAAAGCACUAUAGUUUCCUUUAUGUUCCACUAUUGGUUUGGAUAGGACCAAUUUGGGUGGCUUUCCGGUAGUGAAUUGUACUCGACACACCUCUUUAUUUGGCGCCUCCAUCAUGAACACCUCCUCAUUUAUUGCUUUCUCAAUUCGCAGCAACCCCCGACUCAUCAUCUGCAUCACUUUUUUGUGAAAGCCCUCGCAAUGGCUGAUCAAGUGGCCCUUUAUAUUAUGAAGUUCACAACACUUCUCGCUACCCUCUUUGUACCUUGCAUCUACCAUCAUUUGGUAGAUCUUAUCCAUUGACACCUUUAAGAUUUUUGAGUGUUCCAAUUCUAACAUGUUUACAGACCCACUACCUGAAACAUGAUUAGGUAGAGGGUUCACAUUCACAUUAGGGGCAUCUUCAAAUGCUAUCCAUCCUGCUUUGAUUAGUUGCAAAAGUUUUCUCUUGAAGGCGUUGCAGGUAUGGAUGUUAUGUCCAGCUAUACCGGCAUGGUUUUCGCAAGUGAGAUCCGGUUUAUACCAGUUGGGGUAAGGUGGUUGUAGGGGUAUCAAAGGCACAGGGACUACUUGCCCGAUACUUAGUAGUUUUUGGUACAUUUCAUCUAGGGGUAACGACAAUUGAGGCAAUUGUUCUUGGGUUCUUUGGUAGUUCCUUUUGGGGAAAGUCUCGGCUUGGUUUUUUACUUGGUGGUUUUGGGGUUCAAGUUUUUUGGCUGAGCUCGAGAAGUUGAAAUUAGUGUUGGCAAUUUAGGGCGAAGAGGAUUGAGUAUUAUACCUUUGGAAAGGGCCUUUCUUGCUUCUAUAACUACUUUCAACAUGAUCAAUCUCUCUCUUCCUCACUCCGAAACCUUUUUUCUCCACGGGUGUAGAGAUCCUUCCACUCUUUACUCCUUGCUCUAUACGUUCAGCCACUGCCACAACAUCCGUGAAUUGUUGGGCCGAACUACCCAUCACGUGUUCAUAGUAUGGCGCUUUUAGCGUGUUAGCAAACAGAGCAACCAUUUCCUUUUCUAGGAGAGGGGGGUGGACUUGUGCUGCCAAAUCUCUCCAUCUUUGAGCAUACUCUCUUAUGCUUUCUUUAUCUCCUUUCUCCAGGUUAGACAGACUGGUUCUAUCAGGAGCAAUAUCCAUGUUGUAUUUGUAUUGCUUGAUGAAAGCAUCUACAAGGUCCUUCCAUGUAUGGAUCCUGGUAUUAUCUAACCUCAUAUACCAGCUCAACGCUGCUCCACUCAAGCUGUCUUGGAAGAAAUGCAUUAGUAGCUUCUCAUCGUGAACUACUUCUGCCAUUUUAUUACAAUAGGAUUUGAGAUGGGUAACAGGGCAUUGAGUGCCGGUGUAUUUGAUAAAUUCGGAACUCGAAAUUUCUUUGGUACCACCACAUUAGGGACUAGACACAUUUCUACAGCUCGUACAGGGUCAUAUAAGUCUAUUCCCUCAAUGGCCCUAAUCCUGGCCUCUAGUGCUGCCAUUUUGUCUUGAUCAACAUCCUCAGACGACUUGUUUUAUGGGACUCAUUAACGAAUGCAUCUACGACUGCGGGUGUUGGUAUUGGUGUUGUUGGCUGCACAAAUGCUGGAUUGUGUCGGGGCUCCUGUGCAUGUUCUCCUAUUAUUUCUUCAGGUUGGCUUGCUGGGAGAGGGGCAGGCCUAGUUGAAGUACCUUCCCCCGAGGUGUUCCUUAGUACUUGCUCGAGUAAGCCGGUGAGGCGAGCCACACUAUCCUUUAAGGAAUCCAACUCUUCUUGGAAACGAGCUUCACGAUAAGCACGCUCUUCAUCUUCCAUGUUCCUUGCUCGAAGUCGGGUGUUGUAAGCUCUUUGGGGACCUAUAUUUUGACCUGGCGUAUGCAUGUGUGUUAUAAUGAAUGAAUGUAUAAAUAUGGAUGCAAAUGCACGUAUAUGAAUUUAAAGAGCUAAUCCAUGACUUCCUUUGCCAAAUACAGGUAACAUCCAAAGUCUGAUAUACACAAAGAGGUUUUACCCAAUUCCUUUGAUUGAUUAAAUUCCAUACAUAUUAUGAAAAUCCAAAAGUAGACAUAAUACAAAGUGGUUCAUAUAAAAUGUCUUCAUUCAAAUGAUAUUCCUCUAUUGGCCACAUUCCUGAUGAAAGAGGAAACUUCAUUCAAAUAUUCCUCGUAUCUAUGGCGGUUGUUAGCAAUCCUGGCAGCCUUCACUCGUAGCUCAUUUGCCUUCCUAGCUACCAUGUCAAUUAGCCUGUCAGUUUGUUCAAUCUUGUAAUGGAACACGGUGUUAUCUUGAACCAGUGUUCCAUUGCUGGCGGCUAAUGAUUCAUUGUUUGUCUCCAAAAUUCGAACCAUCUUUUCCAACUGUUGAAUCUGAUUUCUGGCCCUUUGCAAUUCUUCCUUCUCUAUAUCAAGCUCGGCUACCUUAGUGUUUAGUUGUGCAUCGAAACUACUGAUAUAGUCUUGCCACUCCUCAAAUUGCUCUUGCAUUUCCUUUGCUUCUUCCUCUCGGGACUCAAGCUCGGCUUGUAUCACAGACACUCGGUUUCUCAUACCAUUUAUCUUGUUCAGGUAUCCCUUCAUCUCUGACUCAGCUACCCUCCUUGCUUCUCUCUCAUCUUCAGCCUGCAUCUGAUAUCGAGUCCUUAACCUUUUUUCUUCUUCGAUGGCGAGAUCAGCUAACAUGUUCUUUUCUUUUUCAGCCUCCCAUUUUAAUUUAUACUGGUCCCUUUCUUUCUUCAGAGAAGCUAUUGUUUCUUUAUCGGCAGACUUUCUACUUUCCGAGGUCUUUUUUAGACUCACCAACUCAUGCUCCACCAUUACAUGCUUUUUUAUCAACUCAUCAUUCUUGGCUUUCCUCUUCUUUAAUUGCUCAUUUGCUUCAUGCUGGCUCUUCUUUAAUUGUUGAUCCAGAGAGGCCUUCAUCUCUUCUUCUUUCAAGAGUUGGUCUUCUAGGAAUUUUUGAUGAUUUUUGCUAUUACCGAACUCAAUCCUCAGCUUAUCCAGCUCUUCUUGGAGAUCUUCCUCAUUGUUGACCCUUUUUCUUCUCAGCUCUAACAUCACGGACGAGUUAUCUUGGGCUCUUCUUUGCUUUUUUACCUCUUGAAGUAUCUUAGAUGAACUGCCACUCCUCCAUAUUGAAUAUGUAGGGCUAACCGAGAACUCUUUUUGAUGCUCUUCCUUAUAGACCAAAACAGGUUGCUUCCAGUCAUUUCUGAUGGCAUCUAACAUUUCCAAAGAGCUGGCUUCUUUAAACAGACCGGUGUAUUCAGCUACUGCCCGAGUUCUUGGCACGUGUUGUAUUCCUCCGAACUGUCUGACCACUAAUGAGGGUGAGUAACUGAUAUAUCCAGUUAAGCCAAUCAAUGGAACCCAUGCCUUGUCACCACAACUCAUGAGGUAAGAGGAACCACUUACCUAAGGAGCUUUCCAUCUGAAAUUAGUUUGGGGAAGUUCUCGGUAUUUCUCUACCCACGCCUUUUCAUCCAAACCAUUCCAUUCUUAGUCAGCAUCAGCUCAAGAGGCCUCAUGUUAAACCACCAGAAAUUAUUGAAGACUUCUUUUGAUGCUUGCAAAUGGCUUACUAUCCACAUAAAUAAGAGAGGGAUACAACAUCGCAUCGCCCCUUUCCCAUGUAAUCUGCAAUGGUUUAGCGAUAGGAAGGUUUCAGCUAAGAUAGCUGAAGCAGGGUUAUGCUUUACCUCUUCAAAUUCAAGAAAGGCGUUAGCAGCUUCAAUGCUAAUAAUUCCGGCAGCUUCUGAAGGAAAAAGAACCAACCCAAAUAUGGAAAAGCAAUUAUCUGAUAUCUUUCUUCACCUAACUUCCCUUCUUCUUUAUCUUCUUCAAUUUAUUCUCGAUCAUCUUCCACUUGAAACCUCCAUUGGUAUCUUAUACCGAUCAACUUGAUCCAAAUGUAGAAGUUUGGCAACUGCUAUAUCUGUAUUCUCAAUCCUUUGUCUGAAGUAAACUUUGUAGGGGUCAUUUGAAAAACUUAAGAUCUGAGCAUACUCUUCAAGAGUAGGAGUCAUAUCAAUAUCCCCGAAGGUGAAACAUCUGUAGCUUGGAUCCCAAAAAUGCAUCAAGGCUUUGACUGCUGAAAUCUGAACAGGCAUUCUUAUUAGAUGAGCAAUUCUUCCGUACUUCUUCUCAAACAGGUUCUCAUCAAUAUAGCUCAGAAAAGGGGCCAACUUCUUUAUGGUGUCUACAGAAUAGUGCACUUUGGUUAUGUGUGGUAAUUCCUCAACCUUGGUUCUUGGGCAAUCCCUUCGACUGCUUGCAUCAUCUCAGAUCUUUCCCCAUAUUCCAAAAGGUAAGGGAAGUCAUGGUCUUAGCUCAAAAAAUCCUGUAAAGUUCAGACAAAUUCUAGGUUAUUAUAUGAGGGAUAUGUUUUCUAACUGGUCUCAAAAGGUCUAUGAACUGCCCAGUGACCCGCCUCACGUGAAGGCAGUAUAGGGGUUUACAAGGGAUGGUUGGGGCACUAUGUGACCGCCAUCACCAAGUAAACACUCAGUUCAUAGUUGGAUGUUUCACGAAUCUGAACCCCGACUGAAAGUCAUGGGGCAGACCGCUACUCUCCUCCUAUCCUAGAAUUGGGUUUUCUUGCAAAAUUAAAAAUGCCUGAAUGCAUUAAUCAUUUAUGUAUGAGCAAGAAAUAAAAGUGUUGAACCAAUAAAGCUAAACAGACAUAAACAGAAAAUCAAACAAUCAAACAAACAAAGCUUAGCCCGACCAAACAAAGGGUCCCCAGUGGAGUCGCCAAUCUAUCGCACGUCAAAAUCCGCGCGACAUCGGUUGGCGAUUUUUUUGUUUAUUUUCCAUUUUUUGCUUGGUUCGUUGGAGUCGCCACCUAGUAUUAUGGUCACUAGGAACCUAAGGUCUGCGAGAGUCUGAGUAAGGGACUGGUUGUGCAAGGGGAAGACGCAUCACCCCCAGUGCACCCUACCUAAGGCAAGCUGCAUUAUUGUUUGAUUGCUUUUCUAGGUUGAGUUUCUAUUCGCUGGUCUUUUCUAAGGUUCAAGGCAGAUCUCCCCUCGUGAGGGAGUCUCUACCUUAUUCGGUUAAAUCCUAACCAUUCUAAAGUCUGAAUUUUAAAAUUGCUUUUACUUACACCUUGUAUCUUUAAUACCCGAGGAUGUACAUUAUCGUGUAAUUUUACACCCCACAAAUAUUAAAGUCUACAUUCGGGUCCUAGAAAAAAAAAGGUUGGAAAAAGGUUUUUGAUAUUUUGGCCAAACCCUAAUGGAUGAUCAUAAACUAGUUACGAUAUCCAUUUUUGAAUUUUUAAAAUGGGAGAAAGAUGGAAUUUUUGUGAAAACAUGCUUGGAAAAUUCUUUAGGACUUGGCCAUAUGCAUAAAACAUUUUUUUUCCUUUUUUUUGUUUUUUUUUGUUUUUUUGAAAUAUUUCAAAGAAAAACGGGCAUUUUAAUACCGAACUUGUAUCUUACAUUGUAAGUAUACAACCCAAUAUUAAGCAAAACUUGGUAGAAAAAUAUUUUAAAAAAUUUUAAACUUUUUUGAAAUGAUUUAAUUUUUUUUUUUAGGGGCCGGGCCGGGCCCAGCCCUUGGGCGGGCCAGAACUGGCCCGGCCCAAGCAAGUGGCUAAUUAAUCAGCCACUGCAUGCAGAAAUGAAUUCUGCAUGCAGCGGCUACGAAGAACAAAGAAGAAAAGACUAGGCAGGGAGGAGAGAAUUACCUGGCGUGGAGAGAGUCGGCAGCCUGGCUGGUGAUGCGCGGUGUGACUGGAGGCGGCGAGGCAGGCGGCGUGCACUGGUCCGGCUGGAAGAAGAAUGAAGCAGGUCCUGCAGAGGAGAGGGAAAGCUCACGGCUAGAGCUGUUGGAGUGGCUGAGGAGGGAAAUGCUACCCAAACUGCUGUUGAUAGGGUGCAAGCCGCUGUAAAGGAUGGUUGCUGCUGCUGCUGCUGGGAUUGCGGUGGUGGAGAGAGAGAAACGUUUGCAGAGAGAAGAGAGGGGGGAGAGAGAGGUGUUGCAGGCUUCGGUGAGGUUGCUGGGUGAUGGAUGGGAUGCGGUCUUUCAGGUAAAGGAUGGUGGCGAGGUCAGUGGUGGCGAAUAGAGGCCACGGAGAGAGAAAAAAAAGAAGGGACUGGUUGCAGGAAAACCGGGCAGGAAAAGCUGAUUUUUUUGCCAAUUUUGCGUUCAAUUUUCUCCUUUCUGAGCAUGAAAUUGGCUCCUAUUUAUAGGGAUCGAAAGAGGGUAAUCUGGUAUUUAACGGGGAAAAAUUCUCAGCCCUUGAUUCGACUCGAGGAAUCCAAGCCGUUGGUUCAAAGUGUGCACCUCGAACUGCCAAAUUUGGCAAUCCAAGGCUGCAGACCGCCCGAGGGUGCCACUUUGGGCCAAUAAACGGAGCUGUUUCCAAGUUGUUCGACCCGACCAGACCACUCUACGAGAUAAAGAUGUUUCAGGGGAACAUGUUGGUGCACGCCUUGUCGGAUUUGGGGGCCACACGAGUGAGAAAACGCGCCUGGAAAGCAGCCACUCGGGCAGCUUUGUGAGGAAGAAGAUGAACAGUAACCAGGCGACGCGUCGCCUGGUCCCUUCCCUCAACACAAAAACGGCGCCGUUUGGGAUAAAAAUUAGGGAUUUUUGCUGAUUUUCAAUUUAGCCCUCCAGCUUUCAAUUUCUUUCAAUUUGACCCCCGGAUUUUGUCAAUUAGACCCCUAUAGUUUGGCGCCUUUUGCAAGUUGGUCCUUGUCUUUGGAUUUUGUCAAUUUAACCCCUAAUUGACCCCAAAACUUCAAUUUUCUUGCAAUUUGACCCCUAAUUUCAAUCAAUCAACUUGGUAAAAAUUAAAUUUGGUCUCUUAAAAUUCCAAUCUUCUCAAUUAAGCCCAAAUUAAGCUCCCAAACUUAAUUUUUCACCAAUUAAGCCCCAAGAAAAUUAAUUGACCCAUUUAAAGUAUAAUUAAGUCUUUGCACUUAAUUAAAUCCUUCAAUUGGACCCAAAUUAAUUCUUAAACAUAAUUAAAAUUCAAUUUGGCCCAUGAUUAAAUCAAAUUGACCUAUUAAAAAUUUAAUUAUGUCCUUGGACUUAAUUUUUAUGCAAAUUCGUCCGAUAAUCAUUUAAUUGAACCUUGAAUUUGCAUUUUCUUCUCCAAUUUUGGGCACAAUGGGGCGCCAAUAGAUCUUGAAUCUCCUCCAAAAAUUCCAAUUUGAUUUCCCGGCAUACUUUCUCCACGUUGCCAGCCUUUAUUAUUUUUUUAUUCUCAUGGCUUGAAUAAACUGGUUAUUAAAGCCAUAAUGCAUGUUAAUACAUAUAUCGUUUUCAAAAUUCCUUUUGUUGUAUGAAAAUAUGAUGCGAUGAGUUUUCUUUAUUUUGGAGAGACUAGGCCGUAUGCAUUAAAACAAAAACAUUUUUUUUUAUGUCUUGACGAAAACCGGGUAUUUUAAUAUUGGAUUUGUAUCUUUAUGGUAUAAAAAUACAAACCAGUAUUAGGCACUUUUAAUAAAAAUAUGCAGGAAAAUCACCAAUAUUUUUAAGGAUUUUCAGAAUAUUUUCUUGAAAGCAAAACAUUUUAUUUUUAAAUUUUCUUUGAUGUUUUGACGAAAACCGGGUAUUUUAAUACUGAAUUUGUAUCUUUACGGUAUAAAAAUCCAAACCACUAUUAAGCCAUUUUGACAAAAAUAUGCAGGAAAAUCAACAAUAUUUUUCAAAAUAUUUUUUUUUAUUAUAAUAUAUAUACACACACAUAUAUUAUAAUUUAUAGUAUAUAAUAUAUUAUAUUAUGUGGGCUGGGCCGGCCCAAAUAAAUGGGCCAGACUCAGCCCAAAAAAGGGUUGGGCCGACCUCGGCCUAAAAGGAAAUUGGGCCGAUCUCGGCCCAACCAAAAAAUGCUUCUACAGUCUGGGCCUGCCCUGGCCUAGACGUGCAAGGCUGGGCCAGCAUCGGGUUGGCCCAGCAACCUAAAGCCCAGCGGGGGGAGAAUUAUUUUUCUCCCCCCCGCCUCCUGCAUGCAGAACGAUUCUGCAUGCAGGAGGUAAACGCCCGCAACUAAAAUGCAGAGGUGAAGAAGACUUUACCUGGCAUGGAGGAGGUGGUCGCUGGUGGUGCUGCGGUGGAGGCCGGUGGCGGUGUCGUGGCUCACGGACGGCGGCUCCAGGCGGCGCUGCGGCUGUUUCCCACGGUUUGGUUCUUCUCUCGAUUCGUUGCUUUAUUUUUGUUUUCUAAGUUUCCUCCCGGUUUCAGGCUUUCCCCUUCCUCUCAGUUUCGGGUUAUUUCCGGUGGCUCUCUUAUGUUCGGUUGUUUCUCUCUCCUCCUCUCUCUCUUCGGUUUUCUCUCUCUUUUCUUCCUCCUCUCUCUUCCCUUCGGUCCUCCUCUUUUCCUCCUUUUUUGUUCUCUAUUUAUAGGAGAGAAAGGGAGUUGGGCCCUUUACUAGUGCGUCUGGGGAGCGGGUUUCGCGGCAGCUGGUCGGCCACCACCCGCGACAGCAAGGCGCCGCUCCCUUGCUUUCGGCAGGGCGAGAGAGGGAAAGGAAGAUUUAAACAAAGCUCCCUAUCUUCUUCCCCUACUGCAUGUUCGGGGGGAAGAAGAAAGGGGAACAAUGUCGUUCAAAACGGCACCGUUCGGCCCUUCUCUUUCCUCUUUUUUUUUGUAUGAAACGACGUCGUUUUGGAGAAAACGCGCCGUUUCAUUUAAAUGUGCGCCAGAACGUGCCAAAUUUCAAAUCAGCCCUCAAUUAUCUUUUGUUCAUUUCAAUUGCGUCCUUGCCAAUUUAGGUCCUCGCCCCCAUAGUUGGCUGCGUUUUUCAUUAUGGUCCUUGGCCUCUGAUUUAUGCAAUUUAGCCCUCAAUUGAUCAAUAAACUUUCAAUUUCUUCAAUUAGGCCCUCAGAUCAAUCCAAUACAGCCCCCCUAUUUACGCACCUCUUCCACUUUGGUCCCUGGUUUCGGAUUUUCUCAAUUAAGUCCCUAAUUGGCCAUUAAACUUCAAUAUUUAUGCAAUUAAGCCCUGAUUUGACCUAAUAAAUUUCCAAAAAAUAUAUUUUGGCCCCAGAACUUAAAUUUCUUCUAAUUAAAGCCCAAAUUGACUUAAAAAUAAAUUUUUCUUGCAAUCAAAUCCCCUAUAAAUUCAAUUAAAAAUCCAAUUAAGUCCAUAAACAUCCAAAUUUGGACUUUCCUCCUCAAACUUCCAAUUUCUUAUCCAGCAGGGCUCUCAUCAUUCAAAAUAUACUGUCAAAAAAUCCAUCUUUGUAUUUUUAACCUCCUUGACCAAUUUUUCUGACCAUUUUCUGAGCGCUUUUUCCUCCUGUUAUUUUUCUAACCUCUUUUGGCUAUUUAUUUUAUUUAUUUUUGUGAGGACCCAAAAAUGGGUUAUAACAAAUACAUGCGAAGGAAGAUCUAAUAACAACAAUAAUUUAUCAAUACAUGCGAAGGAAGAUCAAAUCGUUAUUGAGAUGAUAAGCCAACUAGGCACAGAGGGGUGGAUGUCCCCAGAACACUUCUCAUCAGACAAAAAUGUCAAUUUUGGAAAUUUAUAUUGCAUUGCUUCCACAUUACAACAUUUAAAAGUUUUACUGAUGUAAAAUUUUUGUUGUCAUAAGAUUACCAUUUCGUUGGUAAAACUUUUAUCGACUAAUUCACCAACAUAAUACAUUUGUCGGUAAUUAUAUAUUCUUUCACUAAUUCUGUCGGUAAAAAAAAAAAACAGAUGGUUUUACCGACGGAAAUGCACUCCAAAAAAAAAUUCCCGCUGGAAAUAAACCGACAGAAUUAUUCCGUUUGUAUUUCCAUCGGUAAAUUACCGAUGGAAUAAUGACUUGGUGAUUAUGGUAUUGUAGUAAAUACUUUUCAACUCUUUGAAAAAUACGAUGACAUAAUUCCAUCUGUAAAUCCGUUGGUUAGAAUUUAAAAAUAAAAUUGUGUAGAAUAAAUAAUAUAUAAAAUUGCAUAGAAUAAUAGUAAAAAAACUAAUUAAGCAAAUAAAAUUGUUUAAAAUAAAAAAAAAAUUAAACAAUAUUCAUUACAAUUUUAAAGUGUUUCCAAAAAAAAAAUUGAACUAGAACAAUGUUGGAGCUAGAGGAGGAGGCUGGUCAUUCCCGGGACCAUACGACCAAAAAGAGGGCAUACAUGUGCCACCCAUAUGUGAUCUCAUGUCCAUGAUGAUAUGAUGGAACUGUUUAUAAUCCGGCGAGAGUUGCUGAUAUUGUUAUUUCAAAGCCACGAUUUCCUCAGACUGGGUGCUUGAUACUGAUUAGGAGCUCCCAACGAUUGAAACACUAUUGGCUGCCUAUAAGUUCUCAACCGUAGUUUUAGAGACUCUAUAUACCUGAUUUUUAUUGGAUCCACCAGAUGAUCCUGCCUCCAUCAAAAAUCCGAGUGAGUUGAAGGGUUGUCCCCGUAUCUCUCCCUCAACUAGCUAUUAUAUGUCUCUUGAAAAUUAAAAAAGAAAUCAUCAUAUUCAAUUCAAAAAUAAUAACUUACAAAAUAAAAUAAUUGACGAACAUACCAACGAAGUGUUGAGCGCAUGUGUUGACAAAUUGUUGCACCCUUUGCGAUCUUCACUCUACAUGUGCGUUUCCACAAAUAGCUCAUUGGGCUCGACUCACGUCAAGAGAACAUAGCCUAUAAGAAAAAAAUGUUGCAAGUUAAAUAUAUUUAUAAAUAAGAACAAAUUAAUUAAUGAUAGAUUUCAUUAAAAUUAAUCUUACCAUCCGCUUCGCAUGUGCAAUGAACGGAACAGAGCUGGUGAGUGUGGUCACCGAACCAUGAAUUUGUUGGUUCCGUUUGUCGGCACCGGACUGUAAGCAUCGUGUGAACGCUCAGAUGUCACGUACUGGAUAUAUUACACCCAUAUAUCUCCAGGAUGUAUGGCAACUUGAAAUCCUCCAAACCGCCACGUCAUUCCAGCCUUGUAUAGACCGUUAUCUCCAGCGUAUUUUUUGGCUUCUUUUUGCGCUUCAUACCAAAAGUCAUGCAACCUCCUUCCAUUAAUGAAUUUUAUAUGAGUUAAUGACAAAUUAGAUUUUAAAACAUAAUUAUUUUUAAAAAAUAUAUCGUAUUGUUUUCAAUGUUACCUAGUUGCCGAUUCUUGCACAUCCUCACAACAUUGUCAUGAACUAUCCCACUCGAAUUUUUCUAUGUAUAAAUAAUUUAUUUAAAAUAAAAAUAAUAAUUUAUUUAAAAAUAAAGUUAACAUCAACCUCAAAUCUUUGAAAACAUGCAUCGAUAUGAGGUCCAAUCAGGAUGUCUGGAAACCUGACUGCAUUGAAAUAAAUGAAUCUCCAUCAAUGAUUUAAACCGAUGAUUGGUGGCCUCAAUGUUUGUGAACCUAAAAAUAAAUAAAAUUAUGACAUAUUAAUUAGUUGUUCACAAAUUGUGUUAUAGUGUGUGUGUGUGUGUAAACUAAAACAAAACAAACUUACAUUAAAAGUUCGUUUUCCAAUAUGCCUCGUACGUGCGGGUGAAUUGACCUUACUGUGAAGUCACACCGCCUCUGCGCUGUGGAACUGCUUUGGAAGAGGCAGCAUCGCAAGUUGGCGCAGGUGCCUCUUCUUGAUCGGUACCUAAGGACAACUCAUCCUCGCAGCUAGAAGAACUAGCUGCAACCAUAUGCUCACGACGUGUUGUUGAUUUCGUUCUAUGCAUUUAUUAAAAAUGAACGAAUAAUUACAUAAUCAAAUUUGAUUAUUUAAAAAACUUUCGACAACACCUCCCUCAUACUGGAGAUUACCCAAAUUAUUGUGUUGAUUGGAAAUUGAAGUUCAUAAUUUAUUUAAAUUUGUUUUCUAUAGGGUUAUCUUGGUAUCAUGAUCCAAUAUGUUUUUGUCUCAAUAUUUUACAAAAAAGAUGCCGUUUUAAAAUUGUUUUUAGUUAAACUAUGUUUUUAAUGGUUGUCCAAGUGAUUUUUGAAUCCGUCAAGUUGAUAGAGUCAUAUCAAAUCAACUCUUACAUGGUUUGAGUAAUUUUUUCUACUAGAAAACAUAUCAACAAUACUUAUAAUAAUGAAAUAGCAAAGAAUGGGGAUUUUUCGUUGAUGCAUUUAUUUAGAUUGUUCAGUAGUGUACAAAGAAUGUGUGGAACUUCUUGAUCCAGUUAACUUGGUUUGUUUAAAGAAUAUGACCAACUGGUAAAAGAAAUUUAAAGAUGAAAUUAAAAAUAAAAUUAAAAAUAAAAUGAUGAAAACAAAAAUAGAAACCUCUCCGCCAAACUUCUUGCAUAUACCUCGUCCAAAGUAAUCUUUUUUUUUUUUUUUAAUUAUUACUUUUAUAAUCAUUAUCAUUGAUAUUUUUUUAAUUUAUUGUUAAAAGUAUUUAAACAACUUUUCGUUUUUUUAAUAAGUAAAGGUUUUAAUUUUUAAAAAUUCCGGAUUGGUUAAUGUAUGGAUUUCCUUUUCUUAUUAAGUAAAAAGGUUUAAUUUUUAAAGAAGAUGUUUUUUUUUUUAAUUAUUAUUAUUGAUAUUAGUCUGGUGCAAAGGAAACAAGUAGUGUACAUAAAGUAGCCGGGUUGGCUUGAGCGUUAAUUUACUCUGAAGAUGCAUCUAACAUUUUCCUGUGUACUUGGUUGGUAAUGUGAAUGAUCAGUGUAUUUUUAUUAAAUAAUUUUUUAUAAUUGUGAUGUGUUAAUGUAAAAAAAAAAAUAUCAUUUUAAUAUAUUAAUAAUAACAAAAUAUUUAAUAAAAUUACACUGAUCAUUCACAUUACCAACCAAGUACACAGGAAAAGUUGAUAAGAACUUUUGGAUAAUUAAAAAAGACUUUUUGGGUCGUGAAAAACAAUAUAUAUGUGUGCAAAAUCAUUAGUGCUCCAUUGCUUGGCGUAAUUAUUACUCUGCCUUGGUUACCAUCCAAUUUCCGAUGGAAGACUUGGAGGUAAAGAACCUUCAAACUCCAUUAAUUCUCCAUUGUUUGUAAGUUUUCUAGCAACUGUUCAAUAAAAAAACUUAAAUGUAUAUAAAGAACGUGUUGACUGGAGACUGGAUUGAAGUGGACAUAAGAAGGUGAGGAUGACUCUUUAACUCUGCAUGCCCCCUUGCUUUAGCUGUGAGUAAACUACGAUCGUAAAUUAUUAACAAGUUUUCUUCCGAUUUAGUGGGCAAAGCAAUCUUCGCAUAAAUCUCAUUGCUAAAUACAAUUUGGAAAAACAUCUCUGAACAUUCAAAUUAAGCUGUCACCAUUUUUAAUUUUUCUUUUUCUUACUAUAAAUAUUUCACAAUUAACUACCUUAUUUAUCAGCACUUGUGUUAGUGAAUUAACUUAUUAAGGCACUUCUCCUCGUGUGGAAAUAUUCGCUGAAUGAAUUUAUUGGUUACUUUAUCUUGUUGUACAGCUUCGGAUUGGACAUAAGAAGGUGAAGAUGACUUUGUUUAUCAUUUUGUUUUUCAAUUAUAUAUACAUAAUCCCAUAGUUUAAAUUAUUUAUUAUUUAGAAUAGAAAAAGAAAAAAAAUCAAAGUAUAUCAAUUGAAGGAAUGAUAAGCAAGAAAAGUAUUUAAAAAAAAACAAAAUACUACUAAUCAAGAUUUGUCAAAUAACUAUUUAGUUACUUUAAUACUAAAAGGAUUAAUUAAUUUAAGAAAUAUUAGCAACCUCUAAAACACUAUUUAAUCCAUUUAGAAAAUUAGUAAUUAUUAUAUAUAUAUAUUUUAUAAUUUUAAUGAUUUAAUAUUAAAAUUCAAAAUAAAAUUUAAAAACAACAAAUUAAUAUAUUUUCAAUUAAAAGAUAUCUUUAAAAAAUAAUUAAACUGCUGUACAUUACCAGACGCGCACUCAUUAGUGCCCCCAUUGCCUUGUGUAAUUAUUAAUUUGCCAAUAAACAACAAUUUAGUUCGCGCAAUUUGAAGUCAAUUUGAUAAAACCUUACAUAUUUCCAUGGUUUUUACUCUUACUUUAUUUUUUUAAUGGGUUUGCUUAUUCUAGUUUUAUAAUUUAGAUAGCUAGUUUUAUCUUUUAAUUAAUUUAAAAUUAGAUUUUAUAAUUUUUUUCAGCUUGCUUUUUAUUAGAUUAUCAUAAUCUGAUUACCUAAAUUAUGGGUUUAACGAGUUAACUGAGAGUAACUCGAGUUAUUUUUUGAGCUUGUCAAGUUGACAGAUACAUAUCAAAUCAAUUCCCAUAUAAUUUGAAUAUUUAUUUUCUAUUAGAAAAUAUAUUAGCAAUACUUAAAAAAUUUUAUGUUUAAAAAAUUGAUUUGACCCGCAACAUGAUGCGGGUCAAGGAUCGAUCUAAUGUUAACUAUAAAACCAUACUUUUAUAUUAGCAAGUUAGUAUUAAUUAGUAGACAGAACUAAAACAAAAACAAUUAAGAAAUUAAGAACAACUAACAUUGAAAGGAAUGAAAACCAUGAUGUUUUGGGGGAAAAAAAAUUUAAACCGAGUUUUGAUUGAUUAGAUCAACUCAAACUCAACUUAAUUUGAAACCCAACCCAUCCUCCUUCUUGGUAAAGAAAUCAAAGGAAGUUCUAAUAAGAGCAAAAUUUGAAUCUAUUAGAACAUAGACUUGCUGCAAAUGUAAGGAUAUUAUCUACUCUUGAAAAAAACGAUAAUUUUGGAAAUUAAUUUUUCCGUGUUUCCAACACUCUUGUAUGGUCAACAAAGGGACCUAAUUGUAUGGAAAUAUUUGCAAUUGAAUAAUUGUAUGGUUGCGAAGACUUGGAGGUCAAGGAGGAAAAGGACAGAGCAGAUGAAGAUUGGUUCCUUGUUGAUGCUGGAAAAGAAAGAUCUUUCCAAUCCCACACUUACUUGGUAAUCUUGAGGGCAAGAACCUCGAAACUCCAAUCUUUGACAGUUUUAGCACGCUGCUCUGUUUUCCGGUAAUGGUUCAGUCAACUAAGGGACCUACUUUGUGUGGAAAUAUUUGCAAUUGAAUUCAGUUUCAUAUACAAUAUAUCCUGAACUUUCGUUUUCCUUGUUGAUGGUCAAGGCAAUCUUCGCUGAAAUUUCAUUGCUAAAUACAGUAUAGAAAAACAUCUCUGCACUAAGUUGUUAGUGCUCAAGAAAUUUCAUUUCUUACACAAUUUUUUUUAUAUAUAAAAUGACUUUGGGGUCAAGAAAAAGGACAGACCAAGUUGUUAGGACUCAAGGUUGUUUUUUUUUUUUGUUUUUACUACAGAAACUGAACGAACAGAAGAAUCUAAGAUUGGUUUGUCUAUAAAUACUACUAAUGGUUCCUUUCUUUAUUUCUCAUCUCUCCCCAAUCGUUCAGCAUUCCAAAUAUACUUUGAAUCCUGAAGAGCCAACAUGAAGUUUUCAUUAUCCCUCACUCAAUUUCUCUGUUCCAGUUUGUUUCUCUUCCAUUUUCAUACAACAAUUUCAUCAUCAUUCUCCUCAAAUUACUCCUCUUCUAAUCAUUUGUGUGCUCAUCACCAAAGUCUUUCUCUGCUUCAAUUCAAACAAUCCUUUCCCAUUCAUAGUUCUGCUUAUUGGGAGCGCUACUAUUGUCAAUAUCCCUUUCCAAAAACAGAGUCAUGGAAAGACGGUACAGAUUGCUGCUUGUGGGAUGGGGUCACUUGUGAUAUGAAAACCGGGCAAGUCACUGGACUGAACCUCUCUUGCAGCAUGCUUUAUGGCACCCUCCAUUCCUAUAAUUCUCUCUUCUCUCUUUCAUCAUCUUCAGAUCGAUCUCUCUUUCAAUGAUUUCAACUCCUCCCAUAUUUCUUCUCGAUUUGGGCAUUUUUCCAAUCUGACACAUCUUAAUCUAAAUUCUCCAAUUUCGCAGGCCAAGUUCCAUUAGAAGUCUCCCGUCUCUCCAAAUUGAUUUCUCUUGAUCUCUCUGGAAACAACCAUCUAAGUGUAGAACCAGUUUCUUUUGACAAGCUUGUUCGAAACCUAACCAAGCUAAGAGAUCUCGAUUUGAGUUCAGUAGUCAUGUCACUAGUUGUACCUAAUUCCUUGACGAAUCUGUCCUCUUCUUUGUCAUCUCUUUACCUUGGGGGUUGUGGUUUGCAAGGGAAAAUCCCGGGUAAUAUCUUUCUCCUACCAAACCUUGAAUUACUCAUUCUGCGAGACAAUGAAGGCCUCACUGGCUCUUUUCCUUCCUCCAAUGUGAGUAAUGUCCUCUGGCUGUUGGACCUUUCUGAUACAAAAAUUUCAAUUUAUCUAGAAAAUGACUCCAUCAGAAAUUUAAAGUCGUUAGAGUAUAUGUUACUUAGUAAUUGUACCAUUGUUGGGUCAAAACUAGCUCUGUUUGGUAAUCUUACACGGCUCUUUCAGUUAGACCUCACAAACAACAAUUUUAGUGGUCAGAUUCCAUCUUCAUUUGGAAACCUUCAGCUUCGUUACUUGGAUCUCAGUUCCAAUAAUUUUAUGGGUCAGAUUCCAGAUUCUUUCGCUAACCUAACCCUGCUCGCACAUUUAGAUUUAUCAAACAAUCAACUCAAUGGGACGAUACCAUCCUUUUUAUUUGCUCUCCCUUCUUUAUUGAAUUUGGACCUUCAUAAUAAUCAAUUCAUAGGCAAUAUAGAUGAAUUCCAACACAAUUCAUUGCAAUACCUUGAUUUGAGCAGUAACUCCUUGCAUGGUCCAAUCCCAAGUUCAAUUUUCAAACAAGAGAACUUGGUAAUUCUUAUUCUUGCAUCCAACAGUAAAUUGACAUGGGAGGUUCCUUCUUCAAUUUGCAAGUUAAAAUUCCUUCGAGUCCUGGACCUUUCCAGCAAUAACUUGAGUGGUUCUGCACCACAAUGUUUGGGAAACUUCAGCAACAGACUCUUAGUUUUGCAUCUAGGUAUGAACAAUCUCCGAGGCACUAUUCCAUCAACUUUUUCAGAGGGAAGUAACUUGGAAUAUCUCAACCUCAAUGGCAAUGAAUUAGAAGGGAAAAUACCGUUGUCUAUUGUCAAGUGCACAAUGCUGGAGUUUCUUAAUCUUGGAAACAAUAAGAUUGAGGAUACAUUCCCAUAUUUCCUAGAAAUGCUUCCAGAGCUAAAGAUUCUUGUUCUAAAAUCCAAUAAACUCCAAGGUUUUAUGAAGGGUCCGAUUACUUUUAAUUCCUUCUCCAAAUUACAUAUUCUUGACAUCUCUGAAAAUAAUUUGAGUGGACCAUUGCCAGAAGAGCUUUUCAAUAGUCUUGAAGCAAUGAUUAGUGUCGAUCUAGAUAAGAUUUACAUGACGACAAGAAAUUACUCUAGGUACACCUAUUCAAUAAAAAUGACAUGGAAAGGGUUUGAAAUUGAGUUUGUGAAAAUCCAAGGUUUCCUCAGAGUACUUGAUUUAUCAAGUAACAGUUUCACCGGUGAGAUUCCAGAACCAAUUGGAAAGCUUAAAGGACUUCAACAGCUUAACCUCUCUCACAAUUUCCUUACGGGCCAUAUCCAAUCAUCAUUAAGGUUUUUAACCAAUCUAGAGUCAUUAGAUAUGUCUUCAAAUAUGCUUACGGGAAGGAUUCCUGUGCAGUUGACAGAUCUAACAUUUCUUGAAGUCUUAAACCUUUCACAAAACAAACUGAGGGGCCCAUACCUAGGGGGCGUCAGUUCAACACAUUUGGUCCAAGCUCAUUUCAAGGAAACUUGGGUUUAUGUGGAAUCCCAAUGCCAACACAAUGCAACAAUGGCGUGGUACCACCAUUACCGCCAUCAAACUUUAAUGAAGGAGAUGAUUCAGCACUGUUUGAAGAUGGGUUUGGAUGGAAAGCUGUGGCAAUGGGGUAUGGAUGUGGGUUUGUAUUUGGAGUCACAAUGGGUUAUAUUGUGUUUAGAACAAGACGACCUGCAUGGUUUCAUAGGAUGGUUGAACGUCAACGGAAUCUGAAGGCAGGAAGAACAAAGAAGAAUGCUCGCAUAUAUGGUGCAAGAAGAAAUUAAAAAAUGCAUUUGUUAAGUUCAAGUAAGUUUUGCAAGCUUUUGAUAUUUUCAGUUUUUAUUAGCAAAGUUUGUGUUAGACUAUCUUUUCUUUGCUAUUUCAUUUGAUAAGUCUAACAUUUCUAAUUCUAUGAGUAUAGAACUAUAAGUAUUCAUGACUAUAGUUAUAUGUUUUUUUUUUUUUAUUGCAGCACAAUUUCAAUGAAGGUUUUACCUCACGAGAUACCAAGUAGAGUUGAUAUUGGAACAACAAUAAAGUGGCAGAUUCAUAGUACUGGAUUUGUUCAUGUUUUUUUUUUUUUACUUCUAUGAAAAAAAGUCAAAGAAUGUAAUAGUUAAUGUAUGUUGUAGUUUAUGUUAAACUAUAAAAUCAUGCUUUAUAUUACCAAAUCAAUAUUAAUUAGUAGAGAGAAAUAGAACAAAAACAAUAAAGAAAUUAAGAACAACAAAUAUAAUUAAAUUUCUUUAAAUGUAUAAAAAAUAUUUUAUAAGUGAUAAUACUUUUAGUAUCAAACGAAGAUUUGGAAUGAAUUUCAGAACGGUAUUGUAAACCUUGAUUUGAAGAAUCUUAUCCACCUUAUCAUAAAGCUUCCUUCACAUUACACUCCUGACCUGGAAAUAACAAAUAUUUCGGUUCUCAAUUCUCUCUCUGUUCAAGCACAUGGAGUCUGAGAGACAAUGGUAGGGAAAAAGGGACCUUAUUCUGCAGUAACACUUCUCUUCCAAUCUUCCUGGUGAUUUUGCAGGUUUUGUUGCUGAGUUUAAGGCUUUUAGGCCUCUAGGACUGUGUUGUUACUUAUUUUUAAUCCUCACAUUAAAAAAAAAUAUAUUCAUAAAAAACCCAAAAAUAAUAACAAUGAGAAGAAGAUAUCCAAGUUUAGAGCAAUUGAGGAAUGAAUUAAAUAGUUCAGAAAGAACAAGGAUUGUGCUGUAAAUGGUGCUAAAAUGCAGGGGUCUAAAUUACAAAUUAUCCAGGUGCUUGAUUAUAAAAUUGUGAAACCCCAAGGACCAAAUCAAAAGACAGAGGCAGAAUUGAAGAAAGGAGCGUUAACAACCAACAACCUCACAUCUUCGUCUGUUUCAGUUACCAACAAUUGUGCGUAAAGGUUUCAGCGCCAUCGUCUUCGUCUGUCUCAGUUACAGGUAAGUUUCAUACAUUCUUCCCCCCUUGCAUUUUAAUUACAUAGGUUCCAUGCAUCUUCAUUUAUAAUUAACUUCUUCCUGUAUAGGCCUGCUGGGUCCAGCCCUGUUACAUGGAACGACUCUCAUUAUAUCUACAUGAAGAUAAAAAAAAAAAAAACAAGGAAUUCUUAUCUCCCUAUUUUUCCUUAUUUUCCGGGAUACCAACAUUAAGAGUGGAUGAUAUCGCCUUGACACCAACAUGUGUGAUACUGUGCUUGAGAAUAAUCUGCCCCAUAAAGAUCCAUUUGAUCUGAUAGUGAAGAAAGUAAGCUCUGGCGUAGUGUAGUCUUUGUAGAGAAAAUUAGUGGUGAUGAUUGAUAAUAAGGAUACAAAGAAGAUGAAGAUGAGUGUGAACUGAUUGAGGGAAGUGCAGCAAUUUGGAAAUUUGGCUGAGUUCGGUAAUUGUUCAAUAAAUGAGCAGAAGACAGCUUCUGCUCCUUGCUGUGCUCCACUUGAAGUUUGAUUGAAUGCUAGCAAAUAGGUAAAUGGGCCAUAGGCAUUGUGGAUUUUUUUGAUAUUAUCCCUCUCAAAGAUCUGAACCUGUGGUUCUAGUUCGAGGGCUUUUUCCAUAUGGAUAUUUAUAUGGGAUCCAUUUGUUUUGUCCCUUCCCUUUUCUCACAAAUUUAAUGAUAUCUUACUUCACGCAAAACUAUUACAAAAAGCUUGUCAAGGUAUACUUUUUCCAAGUAAUGUGUACUUGGACAAGCUUUUUGUACUCUAAUCAUUAAGCCUAAACAUGUUUAAGGUUUGUCUCAUGUACCAUGUAAUAUUAAUAUUGCGUUUGAUAUGAGAUUAAAAAUUAUAAGGAAAAUGUUGAGGUGACAAAAAAAAAAUGAAGUGUAAAGAACUAAAAUGAGUUAAAAAGAUGAAGUGUUUAAGAAUUUAGAUAAUGAUGAGACUUGUAAUAAAUUAGAUUUAUAAAUUAUAUUAAUGAAUAUAUACCACGCACCUUAAUAGAUUAUGAAUUUAAAUAUAAUAAACGAUGAAAGAUGAGAUACAUACAUAAAUAAGUAAUAAAUUAAAUAAAUAAUUAAAUAUGAAGUGAGAAUCGCUUCAUUUCAAAGAAGGGUUGGGUUUCUCUUUCAUGCUUGGAGAGUGACAUUUAAUCCCAUUUAUAUUGAGACGUUUCAUCUUCAAUACCCCCCCCUCUAUAAUUUGCAUCGAACAUGAAGAGGAAGAGGAGUGAAAAAUUAAUAGAUAAAAAAGGUGAGAUUUUUUUUUCCUUGUACCAGAUAUAACCUAAAAACAAAUUUUGAAAAAGAAUUUUUUUCUUGAAAAUGCCAAUCUUAAUUCAUAAUGUACUGCAGUAACUAUCUCUUGAUAAAAAAACGAAAACAGUGAGGAUAGAGGAAGACACGUCUUCUUAUAUUUUUUAUUUUAAAGAUACAAAAAUUUAUUCUAAAAAUAUCAUAGAAAUGAAUUUAUUUUAUAUAUUUAUUUCUAUUGAUUCAAUCAAACACUUCUUAGAAAGAAAAAAACCAUUGAAGCCACUGGCUAAGUUAGAGAAUGAUGAGGAAAGUGAAGUCAGUCUCCAUACACAAAAACUAGUCCCAAAAUACAUUUCUUAGAAAGAAAAAAAACCAUUGAAGCCAAACCGCAGUGCCUCAUGUGUUUGACUUGAACCAUGUUGUAAUGGAAAAGUACGACUUAUGUUUUUGGGGUUUUCCAUAAGUUAGUAUUUUUUUAGGAUAAAAAAAAAAACAAGAGAAAUUGAUCUGUACUCGGCGCUUGCAAAUUGUUAAAUUAUAGAACUGAUUUAAUUAAAAAAACUUAAUUUAAUAUUGAAGGAUGAAAUCAGAAAAAAAUCAAUUUAAAAAAUUUAUCAAAGUAAAACGAAAUACAAUAAAAAAUAAAUGAAAAAAACAAAUUUUAAAAAUGAUCUUAAAUAAAUUAAAUAGCAAAUCAAAAGAAUAGAUAUCAAAUCUGAUAUAUUAAAAAAAUUAAAAGUUGAUGAUAUUGAAACCAAUUUUAAUUCUAUAUAAAAAAAUAAAAAAUAUAUAUUAAUUGAAAUAAGAAGGAUCAAAUCAAAAAAAAUAAAAUUAAAGAGUUGCUCUAAAAUUUUGAAAGUUCAAACGUAAAAAUGAAAGAAAAGAGAUAAAAGAAAAAAAAAGAAAAAAGCAAAUCGGCUCCAAAGUGAAAGGAAUUAUGCCACACACAGCCUAGAAGGUCAUUUUUUGCCUUUGUAAGUUGCCGCACUAGAAGGUCGAGGACAGACCAAAUGAAGACUGGUUUCCCUGUUGAUGGUGAGAAAGAAAGAUCUUUUAGGACUGCCAAUCCAACAGCAACUUGAGAAUCUUAAGUGCAAGAACCUUGAAAUAAGUAUGAACUUUGUUUUCCUGAGAAGUUCCAUUUGUCAAUGAACUGUUCUUGCAAUGUUCUUGAUGCGUCAAAUUUAUCAAUACAUGCGAAGGAAGAUCAAAUCAGUAUUGAGAUGAUAAGCCAACUAGGCACGGAGGGGUAGAUGUCCCCAGGAACACUUCUCAUUAGAUAAAAAUGUCAAUUUUGAAAAUUUAUAUUGCGUCGCUUUUGCAUUACAACAUUUAACAGUUUUACUGAAGGAAAAUUUUUGUCGGCAUAAGAUUAUCAUUUCAUAAGUAAAACUUUUACUGACUAAUUCACCAACAUAAUACAUUCGUCGAUAAUUCUAUAUUCUUUCACUAAUUCUAUUCUAUCGGUAAAAAAAUAAAAAAAAACCCAGAUGAUUUUAUAAACAAAAAAUGCGCUCCAAAAAAAAUUCCCGGUAAUUGUUCAGUAACGUUAUUCCUAAACUUUCACCAAUAAUUUCUAGGGAAUUCUUGGCAAAAUUAUCCGUGUUUUGAAAAUUCUUGAAAUUAUUUUUAGCUUCAAUUUUUUUUAUUUUUUAAAUUGUUUUGAUGUGUUGGUAUUAAAGAUAAAUUUUUUAAAAAUAUAUUAUUUGAUAUAUUUCUAAACAAAAAAUAUUUUAAAAACAACUUUUAUCAUAUUUUUAAAGAGAUAAUUAUUUAACUAAGGGAUCUAUUUGAUAGUCUUAUGUCUAAGCUAAGGAUGAUUCACCCUCCCAAAAAUCCAUGGGGGUGUUUAAAAGUAUCAUAUUGAUUAUUUUUUAAAAUGUUUUUCAUUUUAAAACACAUCAAAAUAAUAUUUUAUUAUUAAUUUUUAAAAAUUAAUUUGGACAUAGUACAUCAAAAUAAUCUGAAAAUAUAAAAAAUAUAUUAAUUUAAAAUAAAUAAAAAAUAAAAAAUAUUUAAUUUUUUUUAAAAAAAUUCUAAAACACAAUAUUUCUCUCUGCAGUGAGAAAGAUCAAACACACAAUAAUGACUUUGAUUUCCUCAUGCACCCAUUCCUAGGAUUGGUUUGUUUAUAUGCCUUUGAAAAAUAAUUAAACUGCUAUGCCUUACCGAGCGCACGCAAAGAGUACGUUACAUAAGUGCAAAGUCAUUAGUGCCCCCAUUGCUUUGCGUAAUUAUUACUUUGCCAAUAAACAACCCUUUAGUUUGCGCUUUUUGAAGUCAAUAUGAUAGGAACCUUACAUAUUUCCAUGGUUUUUAUCUUACUUUAUUUUUUUAAUUAUUAAAUCCUAAAAACUAAUUUUCAAUUAAAAAUACAUCAAAAUAACAUAUUAAAAAAAAUGACAUCAACAUAUUAUAAGCAUUAAAAAUCAUAUAAAAAAAAAUAUAUCAACUUGAUACUUUUACAGUUACCGCUAAACAAACUAAAAAGAAAGUUUUAAUUAGAAUUAUAAGCCUUGUCGCACCCCAAAAAAAUCCGUCCUGAGCGCGCGGCAUCGGUUGGCGAUUUUUCUCGUUUGUGACGUUUUGCUGAAUUUGAUUCGUGGGAGUCGCCACCUAGUAAUUCAUUGAGGGCUACUAGGGAACCUGAUGUACUGGUCUUGUCAGAGAUCGCGGGUAAGGGACUGGUUGUGGUUAGGGAAGGUAUCAGCACCCCUAACACACCCUACCUGAGGUAAGCUGCUUCGUGUUCUGAUGUGAUUUGAAAAUUUAAAAUAUUAAUUAAAUUCUAAGGCUUGAAUAAAUCAGUUAUUAAAUCCCCGAAUAUAUGUAGAAACUUGUUCUCACAUUUUCGUGGAAAAUAAAACUUGAUUUUAUUUGUCCUUGAGAUAUUUAACCAUAUUUAAAUUAACAAUUAAAUAUUUUUGUCCUUUUUUUAUAAUUCAAUAACAUAAAUAAAAAAAUACAAACACACACAAAUUUCUUUUUAUUAUUUUUUUUGUUUCUUUUCUUUUCCUUUCUUUUCUUUUACAUCCACAAUACAAAUAAAAACAAAAAACAAUGCUAAAUAAAAAUAUUACAUUUCAAAAAUUACAAAAUAAAAACCCAAAAAUCUACAGUAACUACAGGGGAAGGCCCGAAACAGUGCUGGAAGGCUCCUGGGUACUGGAAACAGUGGCGGCGCGUGGGUUCACGCACCCACGCCAUUGGCGGCGUGUGAAUCCACGCGCCACCACAAAAAUAAAACGGGCAGCCGGUGGAUCCGGCUCGCCUCUGUUUCCUCUUCCUUUCCUCGCCGGCGGGGACACCCACCGUCACCUGCAAACGCAUAAAAAUGCAAACCACAACAGUUGAUUUUAAUUUUUCUCUCCUUUACAGAUCUGCGUUUUUUAUCUUCUUCUCCGUUUCGGAUCGGCUUCCCUCUGGUUGCAGGUUCGGUUGAGGAGUGUUCGGUGGCGGUGCUGUGGUCGGGUCUGUGGUGGUAGCUGCCGAUCUGUGGAUGGCGCUGCUGGGGUUGCUGUUGUGGUCGCUGCUGCUGUCGGAGGCUGGACGAAAAGGAGAGGUCAGGGAAGAUGGUGAUGCAAACGACGAGAUGGGAGAGUGAGGGGGUACUGCUCAAGCUUCUGUCCGGCGUGUUGCUUGUUGGAGGCGGCGUCGCCGUGUUCGGUGGUGAGAGCUGGGAAGAAGGAAUGGCUGAAAGAGGGGAGUGUUCGGCGUGUUGCUGGAAAAGAAAAUGGAGCUGCUAGUCUUGGGGAAAGGGAGAGGUCGUGUAUGACUGAGGUGGGAGGCGAUCUCUGUGAGAGCUGUUCGGGUGUGUUGGAAAAAUGGUUGUGAGCGGGGAGAGUGAGAACUGGCUCAGGAGGGGCAGCUGUGUGGGCUGGGAAGAAGGGAAAAAUCUCAGGAUGGGGGGGGUGGCGGCCGGUUCUGGUGAGGGGAGAAAAAAUUAGGCUCUUAGGGUUUUUUUUUUUUUUGUGAUGUCUCCCUCUCAAAUAUAAAAAAUGCCUCCCCCUCUUGCAAGUGUUGGAAACCAAUAUUUAUAGGCAAAAAAUAUUGCCAAGUUUUCAAAAUUGGUCCCUUAACCUUCUUUUUUUGUAAAAUUUGAUUUUUCUUGUUUUUUUUGUAUUUUUUGAAAACGAGCAAUAUCAACGUCGACUCAAAUGCGGAAAAUCAAUGAUUUUAAAAAUGACGGGUGAAAAGUCGAACGCGUUCGAAAGACCCUUAAAAAUUUAAAUUCUUUUUUAGACGACGUUGAAAAUGCUAAAAUGAUGAAAAUAUAUUAAAAAACAUAUUUUUUGGAUUUUCUUUGGUUUUCUCUAUUUUUGGAUUUUUUGAAAAUAUAUCAAAAACAUGGGUCAAAAAUUGGGUAGCAAUAGAUGCCCCCUCUUUACAAUGCUUACGAAGCAAAAAUCCUCGAUGUUUUGCAUAGUAAGCUUUGUAAAGAAAAACUUGUCUUUCUAUUUGCUCAAUAUCCACUUCAUCUAAAAUCCCCUUUUUUUUUCUAUCUUUUUUUUUUUAUUAUCCUGAGAUCCCAUCUGGCGACCUCCUUUAACCAAAACCAAAGAAUGUGUGUAACUCGGUCAACCUGAAAUCCCAUAUGGAGAUUCCCUUUAACCAAAGCUACAUGAGAUCCCAUUUGGCGACCUCAUUCAACUGGAACAAAAGAAUGUGUAAAAAGUGGUCUCAUUAUAAUGGGUGACCUACCCAAGUGAAAAGGGGGAAGAGUGGUCUCAUUCUUUGGGUGACCUACCCAGGGGGAAGAAUGGCCUCAUUCUUUGGGUGACCUACCCAGGUAAAAAAAAGAUGGAGAAUGGUCUCAUUCUAAUGGGUGACCUACCCAGAAAAAAUGGUGGUCUCAUUGUGAUGGGUGACCUACCCAAGUGGAAAGGGGGAAGAGUGGUCUCAUUCUUUGGGUGACCUACCCAGGGGGAAGAAUGGCCUCAUUCUUUGGGUGACCUACCCAGGUAAAAAAAAAGAUGGAGAAUGGUCUCAUUCUUUGGGUGACCUACCCAGAAAAAAAUCAUUGUGAUGGGUGACCUACCCAAGUGGAAAGGGGGAAGAGUGGUCUCAUUCUUUGGGUGACCUACCCAGGGGGAAGAAUGGCCUCAUUCUUUGGGUGACCUACCCAAGUAAAAAAAAGAUGGAGAAUGGUCUCAUUCUUUGGGUGACCUACCCAGAAAAAUAAAAUGGUGGUCUCAUUGUGAUGGGUGACCUACCCAAGUGGAAAAAGGAAGAGUGGUCUCAUUCUUUGGGUGACCUACCCAGGGGGAGGAAUGGCCUCAUUCUUAUGGGUGACUUACCUAGGUAAAAAAAAAAGAUGGAGAAUGGUCUCAUUCUUUGGGUGACCUACCCAGAAAAGAUGAUGGUCUCAUUGUGAUGGGUGACCUACCCAAGUGGAAAAAGGAAGAGUGGUCUCAUUCUUUGGGUGACCUACCCAGGGGGAGGAAUGGCCUUAUUCUUAUGGGUGACCUACCCAGGUAAAAAAAAGAUGGAGAAUGGUCUCAUUCUUUGGGUGACCUACCCAGAAAAAAUGGUGGUCUCAUUGUGAUGGGUGACCUACCCAAGAUGGAAAAAUGUGAAAGUGGUCUCAUUGUAAUGGGUGACCUACCCAGAUGGAAAAAAUGAUGAAUGGUCUCGUUGUGAUGGGUGACCUACCCAAAUAAAAGAAUGUGAAGUGCGGUCUCAUUGUAAUGGGUGACCUACCCAAUGGAAAAAAUAUGAAGUGUGGUCUCAUUGUAAUGGGUGACCUACCCAGAUGGAAAAAAUAUGAUGAAGGUCUUUGUGAUGGGCGACCUACCCAAUGGAAAAAUGUGAAGUGCGGUCUCAUUGUAAUGGGUGACCUACCCAAUGGAAAAAAUAUGAAGUGUGGUCUCAUUGUAAUGGGUGACCUACCCAGAUGGAAAAAAAUGUGAACGGUCUUAUUAUGAUGGGCGACCUACCCAGAUGGAAAAAAUGUGAUAUGACAAGUGUGAAAAAUAGGACUUACCUGGCGAAGUCCUGAGGGAUGACAGAAGAAGGGCUGGAAAACUUGGUGCUUCCUGAUAAUUCCCGAUCAUAGGGUUUGAAAACUCGGUGUUUCCUGACUGCAAGGGUUGAAAACUCGAGGCUUCCCGAUUGCAAGGUUGAUCUUUCAUUUCUUUGGGAUUUUCCUAAUGGUAGGGUUCAUCCCAUCGUCCUUUUAUUCCAUGAUCAAAACCGAUUCUUUAUUAUCAUCACCACAAUGCUUCUUUCUUUUCCACCAUCUUGCUGGACCUCAUUAAGGAUUUUCCUGUAACAAUUCAAAAAUAUGUGCAAAUGGUUUUUUUUUUUUUUUGAGGUUAGAUGAUAUGCAUGCAUCCUUACCUGAUUUGAAAUAUAGGUCCCCCCUCUUUGAUGCUCCAUCGUCAUAGGGUGCCCUUGUUUGUAUCCCAAAGCUUUCUUUGUUCUUCCGAUGCAUUGGCUCAUUCAUGUACUGCCAUUCAGCUGUAAAUGCAGUGCCCAUCCCGGGCUGUCUUCGACAAUUACUGCUGCAUCGUUCAUCAAGCUUGACCCUGCCCCCAAGUGUGGUACUGCUUGAUUCAUCAUGAAGGAUUUUCUCUCUGGCUUCUUCUGAGAAUUAUCCUUGAUUGAUUGUGUGCAUCAUGCCAACACCCAUCAAGAUUGUUAAUCAGUCAUGAACUUGCCUUCGGUUGAAACACCAUUCAAGUAUGUAUGGUCACCAGCCUUCAUGGAACUGCCAAGUCAUCCAGACAUGAUCUCAUGCUUUGCAGUAAACAGCUCAUCAUUGUAAGCGCGAUGUAUUUCUCUAUGGAUUCCUCUUAGCUUGUCAAAUCAGAUCGUGAAAAAACUGCUUUGGCAUCAUCAAUGAUGUUCAUGUUAUCACCCAUAUUCAUGCGGUGAAGUGCGCAUUUGAGCUUCAGAAUAGAUGGUCCCAUAGUCAAUCUUGGUGGUAUGCAUAUGUUCGAUGUUCAUUCAAAUGCACUCACCCGAUAACAUCUGUCAGGAGUCAUAGCCAUGUUUUACAGGGUAACCAAGAUGAAGAUAUGAAAAUAUCCUUCAAGUGCAGCGUUGCUCAUCAAUUGCUGCUGAAGUGCACUAGAUCAUGGAUUGUCUUUGAACAACAUUGCCCAGCAAUGAUAUCUGAAUGUUCGUUCAUCAGUUUAUACUCAAGUUUUUCUUUGUCAUUGUCAGAUGCUAAACAUAACUUUGAUGAACUUUGAUGACUCAUCAUCUGAUUCUUUCUUUGCCCCCAGCUGAUUAGAAUGUUGUUUGCUUUUCUUCCAAGGGUCCACUGUAUUGACCCCAGGUGGUCAACGUUUCAAGGAGUGUCGAGAAAUGUUGAUGUCAUUUUUGUCAAGGAUUUUGCAAACUCAAUUGAUAUUCUUGUUUGAAAAUCUUUCUUAUUCUGGAAUCAAAUCUCACAUUUCAACAAUCAUGUCUAUUCAAGUCUAAUUGUUGAAAUGAAAUCAGAGAGAUGUCUGUUUUUGAAAUAUAUUUUUUUUUAAAUUCAAACUUCUUUGGUCAAAGACCCAACACACUAUUCAAUGCAGUCCUUCGAUUGUCUUGUAUCUUGAAAACAGAAAUGACCCGUUGUAAGAUUUAAAAUGAUUUUUUUCAUGGUUCUUUGUGUCCAUUUUAAACUCUGAUUUUGGGUAUAUCUUUUGAUGGUCUGUGAUGAGGUAACAUUUUUAUGAAUUUCAAAAACAAGAUGCUCAGGCUUUAUCAAGAAAGGUUGUUUCUUUUCUUAGCAUUUAUUUUAUCAGCAUGCAUAAUAACCAGUAGCUUAAUUCAUGAAGUCACGACCUUAUGGAAAAACUCUUCAAGUUUUGAGAGCGCCAUUUAUCGUUCAAUUGCUUGCUUGAUUAAAAAGGGCUUUUAAAAGCACGUAAUGCAGGCUAUGGUUCAUGGCUAUAAAAGAAAGGAAUUUCAUAGGCUCAAAAGGUGUUUGAGGGUUUCAACGACCUAGGACCAACAUUAACUAUUCAUCGAUUCUCUUUCUCUUGUCGUCAUUGUAGAGAAAAUGACAUAUAACCUUGUUAAUCUCAAAUAUCAGAAUUCUCUUAACAUAGGUCAUAAUGCAAAUCCAACUUUUUCUUUGAUGAAUAACUAAUCUAAUUUUGAAGACAUUAGAGGCUCUAUCCUAGACACACCAAAAGAUAUGAAGCAUCGAUUUUUCUAGUGUUGACUUUUGGCAUUUAUUGUCUUUUCUCAAUUGAAAACUGUCUUGCCUCUCUUAGAAUUGAUAGGCAUUUUCUUUCCUUUCCAUUUUUUGCAUAGCCUUCCUCAAAGUUUUUCUUGGAUGCCCUCAAUCUAUGGAUUUUCUUCUUCUAGCCCUUUCUCAAACAUUGGACUUUUGUUCUAAGCUUUCUUUGAUCCAUUGAUUUUAUCGUGUCUCCAAAAUAUUUCUCAUUUGCCCCCAGUGUGGGGUGUGAUCCUAGUCAGGGUUUUUAUGAAAAAAAUAUUCUACCAGCUCAAAAUGGGACUACAAGGGAUAUAAUUUUUAGAAAGUGAAGGAUAUCAAAGAUGGCCUUUUCUCAUUUCAAGCAAGGUCGGUUAGAACCGAUAAAUUUUGACCUCAUCUAGUGUAAUGAUUUGGACUUGUAAGAGUCAUGAUUCACGAGUCCAUAGCUACCGAAACCACUACAUGUCAUUAUGCAUACUGUUAAAACUUAGCUACAUGAUGUGUGGUUCAGUUUCAGGAGGUAUGAUUUCAAAAUUGUUUGGUCACCUCAUGUCAUUUCAACAAGAAUCGAGUCAUUUCUGCAAUCAAAACAUUUUUAAUCUUCAGGAUUGAUUAGCCUUUAUUGCAUGUUGGAGUUUGAUCAAAAUAUUUUGUCAGAAAAAAUGUUAAACAUUUGUUGAUUUCAAAACAACAAAGAGACAAAAGCAAGGCAUGUUUCGUUGAAGGAUGAGAUGUGAUAUCAAAACAAAAAUGCAAAAUUCCAUAACAAUAUGAUUGGCAGUUCAUCACCAUUCUUGAAUCAGCUUUUCUUGCAACAUUAACGUUUUGCCAAGCACUUUCGAUCAACAUGUCAUUCUGAAGAUGUUCGGGGGACAAUAUAGCCAAUGACACCCUUCUUCACCGACUCCACUUGCCUCUUGCUUGUCGCACCCCAAAAAAUCCUGGCGCGCGGCAUCGGGCUGGCGAUUUUUCUCGUUAUUUGCGUUUGCUUUGAAUUCGUUCGUUGGAGUCGCCACCUAGUAAUUCAUUGAGGGCUACUAGGAAACCUGAUGUACUGGUCUUGUCAGAGAUCGCGGGUAAGGGACUGGUUGUGGUUAGGGAAGCUAUUAGCACCCCUAACGCACCCUACCUGAGGUAAGCUGCUUUGUGUUCUGAUGUGAUUUGAAAAUUUAAAAUAUUAAUUAAAUUAUAAGGCUUGAAUAAAUCAGUUAUUAAAUCCCCGAAUAUAUGUAGAAACUUGUUCUUACAUUUUCGUGGAAAAUACAACUUGAUUUUAUUUGUCCUUGAGAUAUUUAACCAUAUUUAAAUUAACAAAUAAUUCUUUUUGUCCCUUUUUUUUAUAUAAUUCAAUAACAUAAAAAAGAAAAUACAAACACACACACAACUUUCUUUUUAACAUUUAUUUUUCUUUUCUUUUCUUUUCCUUUUUUUUUUACAUCACAAUACAAACACUAAUACAAAUACAAAUACAAAUACAAAUACAAAUACAAAUUCAAAAUCAAAACAAAUAAAUAAAAAUUACAUUAAUUAAUUUAAAAAUUACAAAAUAGUCCCUAAAAAAUCCAGAAAUUGCAGGGAAGGACUUCUGGGGGCUGUGUGAACAGUACCGGCGCGUGGAUCCACGCACCUCCGCCACUGGCGGCGCGUGGAUCCAGGCGCCACUGCUGAGAAAUCCGGCGACCGGUGGAUCCGGCUCGUCUCUAUUUCCUCUUCUUUUCCUCGCCGGCGGUGAAGAUCACCGCCACCUGCAACAACAAAAAAAACUCACAAACAACACUCGGUUUUUAUUGUUCUUUCCGUUACAGAUCUGCUUCUCUUUGAUCUGCAGAAGCAGAUCGAUUCUUUUCCUUCUUCAGAUCGAUCUCGUCUCUGUUUUCGUUCUUCUUCUGGUGCUGGAUCUGGCGGUUGUUGUCUGUGGCUGUUGCAGCUGCGGUGGAGAUCGGGUGGCUGUCCGGUCAGUGAGGAGAUCGCCUGCAGCUGUGUGGCUUGGUGGAGGCAGAUGAACUAGCCACCGUCUGUGGGGGCUAAGAGUUUGUGUUCGGCGGAGAGGGAAGAGGAAAAUGCAGGAGAGAGGGACGUUGUGGCCGACGGUGAGAGAAGAAACGAGGUCUGUGCUGCUGGGUCUCCGGUGAUGGCAGCACUAUUGUGGCUGGUCGCAGAGGAUGAAGAAUAGAGUGUCGGUUGCCGGAGAAGGUGCUGGAAAUCAGAUUGUCCGGGGAGAGAGGAGUUGUGGUUGGUGUUGAAAAGGGGAGGCUGGCGGCUGCUUUGUCAAGGCAAAGGGAAAGUGAAGGAAGGAGGUGAAGGGGACGGCUGUGCAGCUGAGGAAGAAAUGGGGAAGAAAAAGUCUUGGCCGGCGGCUCUUUUUCUGUUGUGGCCAAGGGUGGAAGGAAAUUAAAAUCGGGGGAAGGGUAUGGUGGAAGCAGCCGUGUUUGAAGAAAAUCACGGGAGCUGCUUAGGGAGCCAACCAGGAAAACCAAGGGGGGGGCUGGUGUUAGAGAAAGAGGUUUUUUAGGGUUAGGUUUUUUGUUUUCUUUUUCUUUGAAAGUGUCAAAAUUGCCCCCCCUUGCAAGUGUUGGAAACCAGUAUUUAUAGGCAAAAAAUAUUGCCAAGUUUUCAAAAUUGGUCCCUUAACUUUCUUUUUUGUAAAAUUUGAUUUUUCUUGUUUUUUUGUAUUUUUUGAAAACGAGCAAUAUCAACGUCGACUCAAAUGCGGAAAAUCAAUGAUUUUAAAAAAUGACGCGUGAAAAGUCGAACGCGUUCGAAAGACCCUUAAAAAUUUAAAUUCUUUUUUAGACGACGUUGAAAAUGCUAAAAUGACGAAAAAAUCUUAAAAAACAUAUUUUUUGGAUUUUCUUUGUUUUUCUCUAUUUUUGGAAUUUUUUGAAAAUAUAUCAAAAACAUGGGUCAAAAAUUGGGUAGCAACAGAUGCCCCCUCUUUACAAUGCUUACGACGCAAAAAUCCUCGAUGUUUUGCAUAGUAAGCUUUGUAAAGAAAAACUUGUCUUUCUGUUUGCUCAAUAUCCACUUCAUCUAAAACCCUCUCUUUUUUUUCUUCUCUUUUUUUUAUUAUCCUAAGAUCCCAUCUGGCGACCUCCUUUAACCAAAACCAAAGAAUGUGUGUAACUCGGUCAACCUGAAAUCCCAUAUGGAGAUUCCCUUUAACCAAAGCUACAUGAGAUCCCAUCUGGCGACCUCAUUCAACUGGAACAAAAGAAUGUGUAAAAAGUGGUCUCAUUGUAAUGGGUGACCUACCCAGAUAAAAAAAAGAUGGAGAAUGGUCUCAUUCUUUGGGUGACCUACCCAGAAAAAAUGGUGGUCUCAUUGUGAUGGGUGACCUACCCAAGUGGAAAGGGGGAAGAGUGGUCUCAUUCUUUGGGUGACCUACCCAGGGGGAAGAAUGGCCUCAUUCUUUGGUCGACCUACCCAGAUAAAAAAAAGAUGGAGAAUGGUCUCAUUCUUUGGGUGACCUACCCAGAAAAAAUGGUGGUCUCAUUGUGAUGGGUGACCUACCCAAGUGGAAAAAGGAAGAGUGGUCUCAUUUUUUGGGUGACCUACCCAGGGGGAGGAAUGGCCUCAUUCUUAUGGGUGACCCUACCCAGGUAAAAAAAAAGAUGGAGAAUGGUCUCAUUCUUUGGGUGACCUACCCAGAAAAAUGUGGUCUCAUUGUGAUGGGUGACCUACCCAAGAUGGAAAAAAGUGAAGUGUGGUCUCAUUGUAAUGGGUGACCUACCCAGAUGGAAAAAAUAUGAUGAAGUGGUCUUUUGUGAUGACCUACCCAAAUAGAAAAGAAUGAAGUGGUCUCAUUGUAAUGGGUGACCUACCCAAAUGGAAAAAAUAUGAAGUGGUCUCAUUGUAAUGGGUGACCUACCCAGAUGGAAAAAAUAUGAUGAAGUGGUCUCGUUGUGAUGGGCGACCUACCCAAAUAGAAAGAAUGUGAAGUGCGGUCUCAUUGUAAUGGGUGACCUACCCAAUGGAAAAAAUGAAGUGUGGUCUCAUUGUAAUGGGUGACCUACCCAGAUAAAAAAAUAUGAGAAGUGUGGUCUCAUUUGAUGGGUGACCUACCCAGGUGAAAAAAAUAUGAUGAAGUGCGGUCUCAUUGUCAUGGGUGACCUACCCGGAUGGAAAAAAUAUGAAGAACGGUCUUAUUAUGAUGGGCGACCUACCCAGAUGGAAAAAAUGUGAUAUGACAAGUGUGAAAAAUAGGACUUACCUGGCGAAGUCCUGAGGGGAUGACAGAAGAAGGGCUGGAAAACUUGGUGCUUCCUGAUAAUUCCCGAUCAUAGGGUUUGAAAACUCGGUGUUUCCUGACUGCAAGGGUUGAAAACUCGAGGCUUCCCGAUUGCAAGGUUGAUCUUUCAUUUCUUUGGGAUUUUCCUAAUGGUAAGGUUCAUCCCAUCGUCCUUUUAUUCCAUGAUCAAAACCGAUUUUUAUUAUCAUCACCACAAUGCUUCUUUCUUUUUCCACCAUCUUGCUGGACCUCAUUAAGGAUUUUCCUGUAACAAUUCAAAAAUAUGUGCAAAUGGUUUUUUUUUUUUUUUUUGAGGUUAGAUGAUAUGCAUGCAUCCUUGCCUGAUUUGAAAUAUAGGUCCCCCCCUCUUUGAUGCUCCAUCAUCAUAGGGUGCCCUUGUCUGCAUCCCAAAGCUUUCUUUGUUCUUCCGAGGCAUUGACUCAUUCAUGUACUGGCCAUUACUCAGCUGUAAAUGCAGUGCCCAUCCGAGGCGGUCUUCGACAAUUACUGCUCGCAUCGUUCAUCAAGCUUGACCCUGCCCCCAAGUGUGGUGCUGCUUGAUUCAUUAUGAAGGAUUUUCUCUCUUGGAUUCUUCUGAGAAUUAUCCUUUGAUUGAUUGUGUGCAUCAUGUCAACACCCCAUCAAGAUUGUUAAUCGGUCAUGAACUUGCCUUCGGUUGAAACACCAUUCAAGUAUGUAUCGUCACCAGCCUUCAUGGAACUGCCAAGUCAUCCAGACAUGAAUCUCAUGCUUUGCAGUAAACAGCUCAUCAUUGUAAGCGCGAUGUAUUUCUCUAUGGAUUCCUCCUAGCUUGUCAAAUCAGAUCGUGAAAAUAAACUGCUUUGGCAUCAUCAAUGAUGUUCAUGUUAUCACCCAUAUUCAUGCGGUGAAGUGUGCAUUUGAGCUUCAAAACAAAUGGUCCCACAGUCAGUCUUGGUGGGUGCAUCCUUCCAGCAUUCAUUCUAUGGAUUUUCUUCUUCUAGCCCUUUCUCAAACAUUGGACUUUUGUUCUAAGCUCUUCUUUGAUCCAUUGAUCUUAUCCGUGUCUCCAAGAUAUUUCUCAUUUUCCCCCAGUGUGGGGUGUGAUCCUAGUCAGGGUUUCUAUAUAAAAAAAAAAUAUUCUAUUCAGCUCAACAUGGGACUACAAGGGAGAUAAUUUUCAGAAAGUGAAAGGAUAUCAAAGAGGGCCUUUUCUCAUUUCAAGCAAGGUCGGUUAGAACCGAUAAAUUUUGACCCCAUCUAGUGUAAUGAUUGAGCCUUGUAAAAGUCAUGAUUCAUGAGUCCAUAACUAUUGAAUCCUCUACAUGUCAUUAUGCAUACUGCUAAAACUUAGCUAUAUGAUGUGUGGUUCAAUUUUAAGUGUGAGCUCAAAAUUUGUUCGGUCACCUCAUGUCAUUUCAACAAGAAUCGAGUCAUUUCUGCAAUCAAAACACUUUUAAUCUUCAGGAUUGAUUAGCCUUUAUCACAUGUUGGAGUUUGAUCAAAAUAUCUUGUCAGAAUAAAAUGUUAAACAUCUGUUGAUUUCAAAACAACAAAGAGAUAAAAGCAAGGCAUGUUUCGUUGAAGGAUGAGAUGUGAUCCCAAAACAAAAUGCAGAAUUCCAAAACAAUAUGAUUGACUGUUCAUCACCAUUCUUGAAUCAGCUUUUCUGGCAAUAUUUGCGUUUUGCCAAGCACUUUCGAUCAACAUGUCAUUCUGAAGAUGUUCGGGGGACAAUAUAGCCAAUGACACCCUUCUUCACCGACUCCACUUGUCUCUUGCUCACCAACUUUCAGACUCAAUUCUUGCAAUUCUUGAAACUGUUCACUUGAAAUGGUUGAAGACCCCACCAUGACAUCACCUCUCUUAUCUGGAUUAAACCAUCUGGAAAAUAGUGUUUACAUGAGAUUUGUCGGAGUCAAUCAAAAUUCUGGAAUCUGGCAGAUGUUGGUCGACAAACUUAAGUGGCAGAGGAAUGUCUAUCUUUGGCAAAGACAAUUGGAGUAGUUGAUGCUUGAGCGAGACUUGACUAGGCCAACUACCUGAGGUUUCUCAAUCGAGAGUCAUCUUCUGAUUCACCUCUCAUCAUUGUUCUGAAAUCCAUGGCAGAUCCUUCAAUCUUUCCUCUCUUCAUAACUUGUUCAAUUCUUCGGCAAAUCCUCACAACAUCAUUUCAAUGUUGUUGUGGUUGGUUGAGGAUUGUUAGAAAACUUUCCAACAGCUUGGUAAUCCCGGCAGCGCAUGAAAACGAAAACAUGUGGAAUCACACAUUGUCAAAACUUGAAGAGAGCUCGAUAAACUUGAAGAGGUUUCAAUAUUCUUCAUGUUUUUCAGUCUAGGCAUGUCUCUUCUCUCUACUUUUGCGUUUUAAUACUGACACUGUUUGGAGGAAAAUCAUAGAUGAUCUGAAACUACUAUAUUCCUUCUUGGAUUUCCCACUUGCGGAUCCACAAAUAGAUUCUUGUUGAGAGAGCUCUGCUACGUUGAAGUUUGAUGUCUGCUCAUAUUUUUCAGACCAGGUCUGGCUCUUCAACCUACUAAGAGGUCUUCGUGCUGAAACUGAUGAGAGAAAUAUUUGUAGCAUAUGCAACUUAUAAAUCCCCUCUUGCACUCUCAACUUGCAGCAUCAUAAACAGAUUUUUGUAGAAAGAGCUCUGCCACGUUGAAGUUCGACGACUGCUCAUAUUUUCAGACUAGGCCUAAGUCCUCUGACUACUACAAUGUUUUGCUCGUUCCACUGGUGGGAAAAAAUUUCAAAGCAUAUGAAAUUAAUACAUCCUCUUUUGCAUUUCCCAUUGGCAGAUCCACAAAUAAAUCUUCUAUAGAGAGCUCUACCACGUAGAAGUUCAGUGUCUGAUCAUGGUUUUUCAGACCAACAUCUUGUGCUGCUGAACUGGAAUUGAGCUCAUAAUUGGGGUAACUUCAAAACAGACUGAUGCACCAUGAACAUGAGGCUAGUAGUCGUUUGGUUCCAUUAGAUGAUGUGGAGGCAGUGAACAUUUAACAAUGCAACUGGACAAGAACCAGAGUUGUCAUUAGUUGAUGACUGAAGGCAUUGUUGCUGUUGUUCAUGACUGAAAAAGGAGAGAUACAAUUUCAAUUGGACGUGGACAAACAAUGUUCCCACAGAAGAUUGUGCAGACAUUCUCUUUUCAUUUGAUGCUCCACACUUGUUCGAGCAGAUCUGAGUACAGCUACUUCACCUUUGAUGCUCUCAACCUUAAUCUGAUAAUGAGCCUCUAUCUGACAUCUUUCUUCAAUCACUUGCAGCACAGCUUGUGCGGGGGAAUCUACUUUUCAACCCGAUACAUGCAUGAUAAAUGUAUGAAUAUGUAAUCUAUAUGACGAACUCACCCUUCGAGGGGUGACAAUAUGGUCGUAACUCUUGCAUGAUGGAACAAGAAUCGUGAUUUUUUCCCAAACUCUACAAUGAAAAUUUUCUGAGUGACGACCAUUGUGUCACCCACAAGUCUUGAGUUCAAGAUGCUUCAAGAAGGGUUUGCUCAUAUGCAAAACAAAUAUUUACGGAGCAUACAUCAUACAGCCAGGUUCUAAUCUUUUUACGUGAGACAAAGGAUAGGUUUACUACUUGGUCUCUAAAAAAGGGUCUCUUGUUGUCCCAGUGAUUACCCUCGUAAAGGCAAUAUAGGGGUCCAGUAGGUAAUGGGUUGGCACGUGUACCAAUUAUUACCAGUCUAGGCACUCAACAAAGAGUUGGGGUUUACACAAACUUAAACCUUGACUCAAGUCAUAAGGUAAGCUGCUAGUCCCCCACCUAACCUAAAGCCGGUGUGUGCUUUCAAAAAUUUAAACUUGUGAUGCAUGAGAGAAUUAUAUACAAUGCAUGAAUAAAACACAAAAAAACAACAAAGCAUAAAAAAAAACUUGAACACAUCAAAACACAAAGCUUAGUCUGAUAAAGUUGAAAACAAUACUUGAGGUAAGCUGCUUUGUGUUCUGAUGUGAUUUGAAAAUUUUAAAUAUUAAUUAAAUUAUAAGGCUUGAAUAAAUCAGUUAUUAAAUCCCCGAAUAUAUGUAGAAACUUGUUCUUACAUUUUCGUGGAAAAUACAACUUGGUUUUAUUUGUCCUUGAGAUAUUUAACCAUAUUUAAAUUAACAAAUAAUUCUUUUUGUCCUUUUUUUUAUAUAAUUCAAUAACAUAAAAAAGAAAAUACAAACACACACACAACUUUCUUUUUAUCAUUUAUUUUUCUUUUCUUUUCUUUUCCUUUCUUUUUUUUUUACAUCACAAUACAAAUACAAAUACAAAUACAAAUUCAAAAUCAAAACAAAUAAAUAAAAUUACAUUAAUUAAUUUAAAAAUUACAAAAUAGUCCCUAAAAAAUCCAGAAAUUGCAGGGAAGGACUUCUAGGGGCUGUGUGAACAGUACCGGCGCGUGGAUCCACGCGCCACUGCUAAGAAAUCCGGCGACCGGUGGAUCCGGCUCGUCUCUGUUUCCUCUUCUUUUCCUCGCCGGCGGUGAAGAUCACCGCCACCUGCAACAACAAAAAAAACUCACAAACAACACUCGGUUUUUAUUGUUCUUUCCGUUACAGAUCUGCUUCUCUUUGAUCUGCAGAAGCAGAUCGAUUCUUUUCCUUCUUCAGAUCGAUCUCGUCUCUGUUUUCGUUCUUCUUCUGGUGCUGGAUCUGGCGGUUGUUGUCUGUGGCUGUUGCAGUUGCGGUGGAGAUCGGGUGGCUGUCCGGUCAGUGAGGAGAUCGCCUGCAGCUGUGUGGCUUGGUGGAGGCAGAUGAACUGGGAACCUUCUGUGGGGGCUGAGAGUUUGUGUUCGGCGGAGAGGGAAGAGGAAAACGCAGGAGAGAGGGAUGUCGUGGCCGACGGUGAGGGAAGAAACGAGGUCUGUGCUGCUGGGUCUCCGGUGAUGGCAGCACUGUUGUGGCUGGUCGCAGAGGAUGAAGAAUAGAGUGUCGGUUGCCGGAGAAGGUGCUGGAAAUCAGAUCGUCCGGGGAGAGAGGAUUUGUGGUUGGUGCUGAAAAGGGGAGGCUGCCGGCUGCUUUGUCAAGGCAAAGGGAAAGUGAAGGAAGGAGGUGAAGGGGACGGCUGUGCAGCUGAGGAAGAAAUGGGGGAAGAAAAAGUCUUGGCCGGCGUCUCUUUUUCUGUUGUGGCCAAGGGUGGAAGGAAAUUAAAACCGGGGGAAGGGUAUGGUGGAAGCAGCCGGGUCUGAAAAAAAUCACGGGAGCUGCUUAGGGAGCCAACCAGGAAAACCAAGGGGGGGCUGGUGUUACAGAAAGAGGUUUUUUAGGGUUAGGUUUUUUGUUUUCUUUUUCUUUGAAAGUGUCAAAAUUGCCCCCCCUUGCAAGUGUUGGAAACCAGUAUUUAUAGGCAAAAAAUAUUGCCAAGUUUUCAAAAUUGGUCCCUUAACUUUCUUUUUUGUAUAAUUUGAUUUUUCUUAUUUUUUUGUAUUUUUUGAAACGAGCAAUAUCAACGUCGACUCAAAUGCGGAAAAUCAAUGAUUUUAAAAAAUGACGCGUGAAAAGUCGAACGCGUUCGAAAGACCCUUAAAAAUUUAAAUUCUUUUUUAGACGACGUUGAAAAUGCUAAAAUGACGAAAAUAUAUUAAAAAACAUAUUUUUUGGAUUUUCUUUGUUUUUCUCUAUUUUUGGAAUUUUUUGAAAAUAUAUCAAAAACAUGGGUCAAAAAUUUGGUAGCAACAUUGCUCACCAACUUUCAGACUCAAUUCUUGCAAUUCUUGAAACUGUUCACUUGAAAUGGUUGAGGACCCCAACAUGACAUCACAUCUCUUAUCUGGAUUAUACCACCUAGAAAUUGGUGGUUGCAUGGGAUUUGUUGGAGUCAAGCAAAAUUCUGGAAUCUGGCAGAUGCUGGUCGACAAACUUAAGUGGCAGAGGAAUGUCCAUCUUGGCAAAGACAUUUGAGCAAUUGAUGCUACCGUGAGACCUGGCUAUACCACAUAAUUAAGGGUUCACACCGUCAAAGUCAUCUCCUGAUUCACCUCUCAUCAUUGUUCUGGAAUCCAUGGCAGAUCCUUCAAUCUUUCCUCUCUUCAUAGCUUGUUCAAUUCUUCGGCAAAUCCUCACAACAUCAUUUCAAUCUUCCAAUGUUGUUGUGGUUGGUUGAGGAUUGUUAGAAAACUUUCCAACAGCUUGGUAAUCUUGGCAGCGCCCAGAAACUUGUAGUAUCGCCACUACCGACGUGUGGAAUCACACAUUGUCUCUAUUGGAAGAGCACCUGAUGAAUCUAAAACUCCUUUGUCCCCUCUUCGAUUUCUCACUGACAGUGCAGCAAACAAACACCUAUAGAGGAAGUCCUGCUCUGUUGAAGUUUCAGUAUUCUUCAUGUUUUUCAGUCUAGGCAUGUCUCUUCUCUCUACUUUUGCGUUUUAAUACUGACACUGUUGGAGGAAAAUCAUAGAUGAUCUGAAACUACUGUAUUCCUUCUUGGAUUUCCCACUUGCGGAUCCACAAACAGAUUCCUGCUGAGAGAGCUCUGCUACGUUGAAGUUUGAUGUCUGCUCAUAUUUUUCAGACCAGGUCUGGCUCUUCAACCUACUAAGAUGUCUUCGUGCUGAAACUGAUGAGAGAAAUAUUUGUAGCAUAUGCAACUUAUAAAUCCCCUCUUGCACUCUCAACUUGCAGCAUCAUAAACAGAUUUUUGUAGAGAGAGCUCUGCCACGUUGAAGUUCGACGACUGCUAAUUUUCAGACUAGGCCUACUCUCUGCCUACUACAAUGUUUUGCUCGUGCCACUGGUGGGAAAAAAUUUCAAAGCAUAUGAAAUUAAUACAUCCCUUUUGCAUUUCCCAUUGGCAGAUCCACAAAUAAAUCUCUACAGAGAGAGCUCUACCACGUAGAAGUUCAGUGUCUGAUCAUGGUUUUUCAGACCAACAUCUUGUGCUGCUGAACUGGAAUUGAGCUCAUAAUUGGGGUAACUUCAAAACAGACUAAUGCACCAUGAACAGAGGCUAGUAGUCGUUUGGUUCCAUUAGAUGAUGUGGAGGCAUGAACAUUUAACAGUGCAACUGGACAAGAACAGAGUUGUCAUUAGUUGAUGACUGAAGGCAGUUGUUUGUUCAUGACUGAAAAGGAGAGAGCAGCUUCAAUUGGACGUGACAAGCAGUGUUCCCACAGAAGACUGUGCAGACAUUCUCUUUCCAUUUGAUGCUCAACACUUGUUCGAGCAGAUCUGAGUCCAGCUACUUCACCUUUGAUGCUCUCAAACUCAAAUCUGAUAAUGAGCCUCUAUCUGACACUUUCUUCACUUCCAUCAUUUCUUCAAUCACGCAGCACAGCUUGUGCGGGGGAACCUACUUUUCAACCCGGUACAUGCAUGAUAAAUGUAUGAACAUGUAAUCUAUAUGACGAACUCGCCCUUCGAGGGGUGACAAUAUGGUCGUAACUCUUGUAUGAUGGAACAAGAAUCGUGAUUUUUGCCCAAACUCUACAAUGAAAAUUUUCGGAGUGACGACCAUUGUGUCACCCACAAGCCUUGAGUUCAAGAUGCUUCAAGAAGGGUUUGCUCUAAUGCAAAACAAUAGCACAUACAUCCUAAAGACAGGCUCUAUUCAUUUUACGUGAGACAGGGUAGGUUUGCUACUUGGUCUCUAAAAGGGUCUCUUGUUGUCCCAGUGAUCGCCUUCGUAAAGGCAAUAUAGGGGCCCAGUAGGUAAUUGGUUGGCACGUGUCCAACUAUUACCAGUCUAAGCACUCAACAAAGAGUUGGGGUUUACACAAACUUAAACCUUGACUCAAGUCGUAAGGUAAGCUGCUAGUCCCCCACCUAACCUAAAGCUGGUGUGUGCUUUCAAAAAUUAAAACUUGUGAUGCAUGAGAGAAAUAUAUACAAUGCAUGAAUAAAACACAAAUAAACAAAACAAAGCACAAAAAAAAAAAAUUGAACACAUCAAAACACAAAGCUUAGUCCGAUAAAGUUGAAAACAAUACCUGUCCCCAGUGGAGUCGCCAUUCUGUCGCACCCCAAAAAAAUCCGGCGCGCGGCAUCGGCUGGCGAUUUUUCUCGUUUGUCGUUUGCUUUGAAUUUGUUCGUGGAGUCGCCACCUAGUAAUUCAUUGAGGGCUACUAGGAAACCUGAUGUACUGGUCUUGUCAGAGAUCGCGGGUAAGGGACUGGUUGUGGUUAGGGAAGGUAUUAGCACCCCUAACACACCCUACCUGAGGUAAGCUGCUUCGUGUUCUGAUGUGAUUUGAAAAUUUAAAAUAUUAAUUAAAUUCUAAGGCUUGAAUAAAUCAGUUAUUAAAUCCCCGAAUAUAUGUAGAAACUUGUUCUCACAUUUUCGUGGAAAAUACAACUUGAUUUUAUUUGUCCUUGAGAUAUUUAACCAUAUUUAAAUUAACAAUUAAAUAUUUUUGUCCUUUUUUUAUAAUUCAAUAACAUAAAUAAAAAAAUACAAACACACACAAAUUUCUUUUUAUUAUUUUUUUUGUUUCUUUUCUUUUACAUCCACAAUACAAAUAAAAACAAAAAACAAUGCUAAAUAAAAAUAUUACAUUUCAAAAAUUACAAAAUAAAACCCAAAAAUCUACAGUAACUGCAGGGGAAGGCCCGGAACAGUGCUGGAAGGCUCCUGGGUACUGGAAACAGUGGUGGCGCGUGGGUUCACGCGCCCCCGCCACUGGCGGCGCGUGAAUCCACGCGCCACCGCAGAAAUAAAACGGGCAGCCGGUGGAUCCGGCUCGCCUCUGUUUCCUCUUCCUUUCCUCGCCAGCGGGGACACCCACCGUCACCUGCAAACGCACAAAAAUGCAAACCACAACAGUUGAUUUUAAUUUUUCUCUCCUUUACAGAUCUGCGUUUUUUAUCUUCUUCUCCGUUUCGGAUCGGCUUCCCUCUGGUUGCAGGUCCGGUUGAGGAGUGUUCGGUGGCGGUGCUGUGGUCGGGUCUGUGGUGGUAGCUGCCGAUCUGUGGACGGCACUGCUGGGGUUGCUAUUGUGGUCGAUGCUGCUGUCGGAGGAUGGACGAAGAGGAGAGGUCGGGGAAGAUGGUGAUGCAAACGACGAGAUGGGAGAGCGAGGGGGAACUGCUUGGGCUUCUGUCCGGUGUGUUGCUUGUUGGAGGCGGCGUCGCCGUGUUCGGUGGUGAGAGCUAGGAAGAAGGAAUGGUCGAAAGAGGUGAGUGUUCGGUGUGUUGCUGGAAAAGAAAAUGGAGCUGCUAGUCUUGGGGAAAGGGAGAGGUCGUGUAUGACUAAGGUGGGAGGCGAUCUCUGUGAGAGCUGUUCGGGUGUGUUGGAAAAAUGGCUAUGAGCGGGGAGAGCGAGAACCGGCUCAGGAGGGGCAGCUGUGUGGGCUGAGAAGAAGGGAAAAAUCUCAGGAUGGGGGGGUUGCGCCGGUUCUGGUGAGGGGAGAAAAAAUUAGGCUCUUAGGGUUUGUUUUUUUUUGUGAUGUCUCCCUCUCAAAUAUCAAAAAUGCCUCCCCCUCUUGCAAGUGUUGGAAACCAGUAUUUAUAAGCAAAAAAUAUUGCCAAGUUUUCAAAAUUGGUCCCUUAACCUUCUUUUUUUGUAAAAUUUGAUUUUUCUUUUUUUUUUUGUAUUUUUUGAAAACGAGCAAUAUCAACGUCGACUCAAAUGCGGAAAAUCAAUGAUUUUAAAAAUGACGCGUGAAAAGUCGAACGCGUUCGAAAGACCCUUAAAAAUUUAAAUUCUUUUUUAGACGACGUUGAAAAUGCUAAAAUGAUGAAAAUAUAUUAAAACACAUAUUUUUUGGAUUUUCUUUGUUUUUCUCUAUUUUUGGAUUUUUUGAAAAUAUAUCAAAAACAUGGGUCAAAAAUUGGGUAACAACAAGCCUCGUGCUGUGUUAUAAGACUUUAUUUGUUUAUUCUUAUGAUUUUUAAUAUAAAAUGAUAUAAUAUUAUAUAAGUGAUGUUGUCCCUAAGUGUAUAAAAAUCUUCAUAAAUAUUUGGCACAAUCUUAUAUUUGAUAAAUUUCAAAUCAUUGAUAAUUUAUAUUUGAAAAAUCAACUUUUUCGAUGACAACAUCAUGAUCAUCUUGUUCAAUAAUUGGGAUUAUGAUAUGUGUAAUUUAUGAAAAGGAGGAGAAUUGACAGAAUGAGAAACAGAGAAGAGAGUUUUGCAUAAUUAAUUCAUAUCCCUAUUACACUUCAGUUGACUUCUUUUUAUAGCCAACCAACGAAUGAAUAAAAAUAAUUGUUACAACGAAAUGAAAAUAAUGGCAGAAUUAAUCAAUGCAUGAUUCCCACACACAUUCUGCAUACAACGAAAAGCAGGGCACUAACCCCACUAAUUAUUUGCAUCAUUUAAACACUAACUACUGUGACAUGUCAGCACAUGAUUCACAAAUGUGGUGCAGACGUGCCUAGCGAAGGUGGACUGCGUGCAUGUCAUGGUUGCAUGGUGAAGGAUCUGCUGCACAUAUCAUUCCCCUACCCUCACAGUAUCCUUGUCCGCAAGGAUAAAAUCAGGACAAGUCUUCAUAAAACGCCACAAAUUUUCCCACGUAGCAUCUUCCACAGCUGCACCUUUCCAUUUGAUAAGAACCUCCUUUUUAGGCCGAUACUGACCCUUGCAUAUGACACGAUGAUCCAAGACCAACUCAGGCUGUGGUAGAAUGGUUGAAGUCACUGACACUGGUGGAACAGAACUCAAACAUUUACGUAGGCGACUCACAUGAAAAACAUCAUGAAUGUGAGAUCCAGCAGGUAAGGCAAGCUUACAGGCAACUUCCCCCACCUUAGCUAACACUGGAUAAGGGCCAAAGUAACAUGGUGCCAGUUUGAUUGACUUGCGAAAAGCAACUGAUGUUUGCCGAUAUGGUUGGAACUUUAGAUAAACAAGAUCGCCCACAGAAAAAUGAACCUCACGGCUAUGUUUGUUAGCUUGAGUUUUCAUACGAUCUCUCACAAGGACUAGUUGAUGGCGUAAUUCCUGAAGGACUGAAUCUCUAUCACGUAGAAACUCAUCCACAACUUGGACACGAGUAGUUCCUGGCACAUAGGAAAGCACGGUUGGUGGUGAAAUGCCAUAAACUGCUUCAAAUGGUGAAAUCUUCGUGGAAGAGUGAAUGGCAGUAUUAUAACUGAAUUCUGCCCAAGGCAACCAAUCCACCCACUUAUGCGGUUGAUCACCCGUAAAACAUCUUAAAUACUGCUCCAGUGUCCGAUUGACUACCUCAGUUUGUCCAUCCAAUUGAGGAUGAUAACUGGAGCUCAUAUUGAGCUGAGUACCCUGCAGAUGAAACAGAGUUUGCCAAAAAGAACUCAAAAAUACUUUGUCACGAUCGCUGACAAUAGACACAGGAAUGCCAUGCAGCUUGACAACAUUAGCAAUGAAAGAUUUGGCCACAGUAAUGGCCGUGAAUGGAUGCUUCAAAGCUACAAAAUGGGCAUAUUUACUCAAACGAUCCACCACAACCAUGAUCACUGUGUUGCCCAACGAAGGAGGCAAUCCUUCCACAAAAUCCAUAGAUACCUCAGUCCAUAUUUUUUGGAAUAGACAAGGGCUGCAGCACCCAGGCGGACUCAAACAAUCUGUCUUGCAACGUUGACAGUAUCACAGCGCGUGGAUAAAAUCUUUGACAUGUUGUCGAAGUUUUGGCCAAAAGAAGGUACCUCGGAUCCUUGCUAGAGUUUUGUGGUAACCAAAAUGACCGCCAAUAGGAGAAGAGUGAUGCUCUGCCAAAACUGAAGGAAUUAAUGGAGAAGAGGGAUUCAAAUAUACCUUGCCACCUUUGAACCACACACCAUCUUUACAAGUAUACAGUUGUCGUUGCUGACCAGAAUUCAGCUUGAAUAAAUCAGUGUAGAAAGGGUCUUGUUGAACCUCUUGUUGCAGACGCAUCCACCAAUCGGGCUGAGGCAAGGAAACUGCCAUAAAGUUGAUCUCGACUUUCCUGGACAGCAUCAGCACCUUUGUUUUCAGGCCCUUUUUGUAUUCCACCACAUAAUCAUAACCGAGGAGUUUUGGAAGCCAACGAGUUUGUGCAGGAGUUGUGAUGCGUUGUUCCAAAAGAAACUUGAGACUCUUGUGAUCAGUCCUAACAGUGAAGGGUCGCCCCAGAAGAUAAGGUCGCCACUUUCGGAUGGCUUUGACAAUGGCCAACAUUUCUUUUUCGUAAGUGGAGAGUGCCAAAGAGGAACCCUUCAAUGCCUCACUAAAGAAUGCAAUAGGCUGACUUUGUUGAAUAAGAAUAGCGCCUAUUCCAGUACCACAAGCAUCACAUUCAAUGAAGAAACGCUGAGAAAAAUCAGGCAAUCAUAGAACAGGAGGUGAAGUCAAGGCCUGUUUAAGUUUGUUGAAGGCUGUGGACUCAUUGUUUCCCCAACAAAAUCCUUCCUUGCCUAAACAAUGAGUCAAUGGUGCUGCAAUAUUGCCAAAGCCACUAAUAAAUUUUCUAUAAUACCCUGCCAACCCCAAGAAGCCACGCACACCCUUCACUGUUGUAGGCUCAGGCCAAUCAACCACUGCCUGAAUCUUGGAAGGAUCAACCUCGACUCCUUUCUCUGAUAUGACAUGGCCCAAAUAAUUCACCUGUGAUACUCCAAACUGACAUUUUGAUUUCUUGACAUACAAAUUGUUACUGGAUAAAAUGGUUAGAACACUAAUGAUAUGUGAAACAUGUUCAUCCCAAUUUUUAGAGUAAAUCAAAAUAUCGUCGAAGAACACAAUAAUAUACUUGCGAAGAUAUGGCCUGAACAGAUCGUUCAUGAGACUUGGAAAGCUGGGGCAUUCGUAAGACGAACGACAUUACACAAAUUCAUAGUGUCCUUCAUGUGUGCGGAAAGCUGUUUUCUGGAUGUCUGACUCCUGAACCCGAAUUUGGUGGUACCCUGAACGUAAAUCCAGUUUUGUAAAAAACCUGGCACCAUGCAGCUCAUCCAAGAGCUCAUCAACAAUUGGAAUAGGGUAUUUAUCCUUCACUGUUAAUGUGAUUGAGUGCCCGAAAAUCGAUACAGAAUCGCCACGUUCCAUCUGCCUUCUUUACCAACAAACAGGAGAUGAAAAAGGACUGUUGCUUGGACGAACUAAACCGGAUUCAAGAAGUUCUUUAACCAUUUUUCAAUCUCAGUUUUUUGAUAGUAUGGGUACCUGUAUGGACGAACACUAACAGGUUCGCUGUUGGGUUGAAGUAGAAUACGUGGUCAUGUGAACGAUGUGGUGGCAAAGUUGUUGGAGUGUCAAAAACAUGCGAAAAUUUGUCAAGAAUUGGCUACGAGAUCACUGGAAUAAGUGGUAGUGGAGUCCACAUGCUCAGUCAUAGUAAUCUGGAGAAACAACCCAGUUUGUGCAAGUUAAAAAGGUCCUUAUUGGAUAAGGCCUCCAGCCCUGCACGACCAAUUCCCUGAAACAUGCGUUUGAUACCCCCAUCUGUGAAACUCAUCGUGAGAUUUCGAUAAUCUGUUUCUAUUGGACCAAGAGUCGCAAGCCAUUGUACGCCUAAAACCACAUGACAAGCAGCAACAGGUAAGACAUAAAAAUAGCAAUGACCACAUGACCUUCCUUGGAUGAGUAGGGAGAGAGCAAGACAACGUCCGCCACAAACAAUCUUCUCACGAUUAGCCACCAUCACCUGAAAUGUCUUAUCUCGAAUUUCUUACAGCCCAAAUUGAGAGACAAUGGAUUGGUCGAUGAAAUUAUGUGUACUUCCUCCAUCGAUCAACACUGUGACAUCUUUGUUCUUCAAUUUCCCUAUUACGUGAAUGGUCUGUGGAUGCUCAGUUCCAGCGAUGGCAUGAAAAGAUAUCUCUGGAAAAGAUUCCACAGUGGCAAUGUCAACGGUGCAAUCCUCACUGAUAUCGGUGUCUGCUGGUGUGGAAUCUUCAAUCAUAAACAGCUGUGGCCUUUGACAACGAUGCCCUGGUAUGAAUUUUUCAUCACAAUAAAAACAAAGACCCUUCUCACGUCUUUCACGAGCUUCCUGAUUGGUUAUCCUUCUAAAUGAGGAUGGAGCAGCGUUGUUGAUAGGUUUGGAUGCUGGUGGUGGUCCCAAGACACCACUGUUGGUGUUAGACAGAGGACGAGAAAUGACAGGAGAUCGAGCAAACGCAUUACCUUUCCUUUGCAGUAGAUUACGUUCCUCCACCAGGCGAGCAACUCCAAUGGUGUCUCCUAGAGUCUUCGGCUGUUUAAUUUUGACAUCCAGACGGAUAUCAUCCCGAAGUCCUGCAAUGAAACAUCCAACCAAGAAUGGUUCUGGUAACCCAUCCACACGAUGUGAUAGCCCUUCGAAAGCUUCCUGGUACGCUGCUACUGUUGUGACUUGUUUGCAACAAGUUAAAGCUUCAGAGGGAUCCUCAUACUCAGUUGGACCAAAACGUUGGAGGAGUGCUGCUGUAAAUUCAGGCCAGGUGAGUGUCCCCAUGUACUUAGUCAGCCAACGGUGCCACUGCAAAGCUAAUCCGUCCAGGUGGAAAGAAACGAGUUGCACUCUUUGCUCAUUCGCAAUGUUCUGAAACUCGAAGAAUUGCACUCUUUGCAGUAGACCCUUCUCAUAGAAUUUUGGAAACGAGAGUUUGAGCUGUUGAUGACUCCUAUCAAAACUAGCACUUGGAAAAGAACAAGCAGAAGCUAGUUGUCGACCCUUUUGGGAACUUUUUCCCUUGGUGAAAGAAUGGACAUCUUGAAUAAUGGUUGGUUGGUUGGAACUCUGACGUAAUGACAACGCCUGUAAUUCACUGAUUGUGUUUUGGAGGUUUUGGAGGGAGGUGGUAACUUGAUUCAUGUUGUUGUUCAGGAGAUCGAAACGAGACUCAUGUUGGGUUUUGAGGAGAUCAAAUUGAGAUGCAUGCUGAGCCAAUGCUUCAGUGACCUCAUUGCGAAACUCAGUAUUGCUUUUGUUCCUAGUCUCCAUGGAAAUGAGAGGCUCUGAUACCAAUUGGCUCUGAUACCAUUGAUAUGUGUAAUUUAUGAAAAGGAGGAGAAUUGACAGAAUGAGAAACAGAGAAGAGAGUUUUGCAUAAUUAAUUCAUAUCCCUAUUACACUUCAGUUGACUUCUUUUAUAGCCAACCAACGAAUGAAUAAAAAUAACUGUUACAACGAAAUGGAAAUAAUGGCAGAAUUAAUCGGUGCAUGAUUCCCACACACAUUCUGCAUACAACGAAAAGCAGGGCACUAACCCCACUAAUUAUUUGCAUCAUUUAAACACUAACUAUUGUGACAUGUCAGCACAUGAUUCACAAACGUGGUGCAGACGUGCCUGGCGAAGGUGGACUGCGUGCAUGUCAUGGUUGCAUGGUGAAGGAUCUGCUGCACAUAUCAGAUUAAUUCAUCAGUUUCAAGUAACAUCUUUCUAUAUCCUUAGGAGUAUAAAAGUCUUCUAAAGACCUAUUAUAUUUCCAUCACUGUCGCACGUGUGCGGCGGCGCGGCGAUCGUCCACCCUCAAGGAAAAAUCGGAAUAAUUUAUUCCUGGCAAAAUAAGGAGAGACAAGGAAUUCUUGUCUCUACAAGUGAAAAUAUGGACUGGGAGUCGCCACCUAGUAUUCUGGUUACUAGGAACCUUAACUGGUCUUUAGAGAUCGGGUACGGAGACUAGUUGCGUAAAGGGAAGGUAUUAGCACCCCAACUACGCCCUACCUAAGGUAAGCUGCAUUGUUUUAAUGUCUGAUAAAAUCUAAGGUCGUGUUGUGGUUUUUUUAUUGUUCGGAAUACGCAUUACAUGUAAUGUCAUACCCCAGGUUCUAUUGUCCAAAAAAAAAAUUAAAUAUCCGGAAUAUGCAUUACGUGUAAAGUCAUACCCCGGAUACUAAGAAACAAACAAAAUAAAAUUUUUGUUGUUUUUGAAAUAUUGGCCAAUACUCUCUUGACUUUAAUAAACUGGUUAUUAAAGCCAAAAUGCAUGCUAAAACAUUUUGUUUUGGUGUAUGAAAAAAUACAACAUAAAUUUUUAGCUUUGAGACACUUGGCCGUAUGCACAAAAACAUUUUUUUUUAAUUGUUGUUUUUUUGUAUUUUGUUGAAGUUUUUGACGAAAACCGGGUAUUUAAAAAUCAUAUUUUUGUAUUUUUAACAACAUAAAAAAAAUACCACCAAAUAUUAAUCAAAAUGACAUAAAAAUUACGCGGAAAAAUUAUAAAAUGCUGAAACAAAUAUUUUUUGAUUUUUUUCUUUGAAAUGGGCCGGAUCAGGCCCAAAUAUAUGGGUUGGGCCGGACCUGGCCCAAAGAAUGGGCUGGUAACUGUGCACAUAGUAACCGGGUUACUGUGUGUACAGUAACCAGAGAAUUAAUCUGCGAGUUACUGUGCACAUGCACAGUAACCGUGAAUUAAUUAGCGAGUUACUGUGCUGUAAUUAAUCUGCAUGCAGAACAAAAAAAACGACUGGAAAGGCUACCUGCGGUGGUGAUGUUGGACUCUCUUCUCUGCUUCUUCUUCUUCUGCUUUCUUCUCUCUGUCUCUCCCUUCUCUUCUCUUCUCCCCCUCCCCUCUCUUCUCCUUCUGUUCUUCCUCCAUUUAUAGCCCGUGAGCAUGUGUUUUUUUUUUUUUCAUCGUGGGGUCAUGCGGCGGCUGGUCGGGCGUGGCUGUCCAGGCGUGCCUCCCUCAGUUUCGGCGGUGCGGUAGGCGGUCGGCCAAUGUCUUCGGUCGGUGGGCUAGAGGGACCGGCGGUCGGUGAGCUGGAGGGACCAACGCCAUUAAAUAUACAUCUUUUUUUCCUUCUUUACUGCUGUAUGUUAGGCGGGGAAGAAAGGGGAACAGUGCCGUUCAAAACGGCACCGUUUAGCCCUAUUCUGUUUUUUUUUUUUGCAUGGGCUGGUUACUGUGCACAUAGUAACCGGGGUUACUGUGUGCACAGUAACCAGAGAAUUAAUUAGCGUGCAUAGUAACCGGGGUUACUGUGCACAUUUUAUUUUUUUUUUGUAUUUAUUAUUUUUUUAUGGGGACCCAAAAAUGGGUUACAACAAUCACCAUUAAUAUUUUAUAACGGAUAUUAUCCCUCAUUAAUAUUGUGCAAUUUAUUCAUCACAUAAUGUUGUAUAACAUAUAUUUAUCUUUUAUUAUUGCUAUAGAAAGGAAAUGACUCUUUAGGCCCUUAACUCUAGCAAAAUAACAAGAUUCAAGGGCUGUAAAUACUCAUUGAACUAUCUAGGUAAAGGGUUUACAAUCUUUAUUUUUUAUUACAUACAUAUUUUUUAAUUAUUUGUUUACAUAAUCUAAUAGUUAAAUUAUUUUUUAUUUAAAAUAGCAAAAGGACAAAGGAAAAAUCAAAGUAUAUAAAUUGAAAGAUUGAUAAGCAAGAAAAGUAUUUUGUUUAAAAAAAAAUUACUGAAAUAAGCAUGAUCAAAAUUUUUCAAAAAUCCAUUUAAUUACUUUUAAUACUAAAAGGAUUAGUUAAUUUAGGAAAAAUUAGCAACCCCUUAAACACUAUUUAAUCCAUUUAGGAAAUCAAUAUUGUCGUGUUCCUAUUCUUAGAGCAUGCUAGUAUGGUGAAUGUUGUUUUUUAAAAUGUUUUUUUUGUUUGAAAAUAUUUCAAAAUAAUAUUUUUAUAUAUACCUUUUAUUUUUUUAAUUCAUUUUUGACAAGAAACCAAUAUUCUCAUGUUUUUAUAUUGUUUUGAUAUGUUGAUGUAAAUAACGUACCGUUAACAUCGGACGAGCUACAAAAAAAGUUCUAAUACAGACUUGUUGCACAUCACUCAAAUAGACUUGAUCUCAACAAAAAAUAUUCGCAAUUGAAUAAUUCAACCCUCAAUUCCACAUUCAGCACCACAUGAAGAGUCGACACUAUCUAUACAUCCAAGUUCCGAUCGAAGACUUGGAGGUAAAGGACAGACCAAAUGAAGAGUGGUUCUCCCUUGUUGAUGUUGAAAGAGAAAGACCUUUUAGGACGACCAAUCCCACAGCAUCUAACUAGUGCAAGAACCUUCAAACUCCAUUAAUUCUCCAUUGUUUGUCUGUACUUUUCUAGCAACUGUUCAAUAUAAAGCUAUUGCCAGAACGUGUCGUCUUACCUUCGGUGAAAACUAAUCUAGGAAGUGUAAUUAAUGUGAAUGAGAUUGCAAUAGUAUAAGAAGGCAUAUUGUGAUAAAAUUAUAAGAAGGUGCUGAUUGGAAAAUGAAAUUAAAACAUGGCGAUGAAUUCACGUGAAUGAGAUUAUAAUAGUAUAAGAAGGCAUAUUGUGAUAACACCAAAAAACAAAAUGAAGGUAGAUGUUGCAGGUAACCGCAGAUUUAUCCAGCAAAAAUCUGUACAAAGAGUUGCAUUAUUGUCUUUUGUUGGCAUGGAGUCUUAUAGAAGACGAGGACGAGUGGUAGAAGUCCCCAGCAACGUACACUUCCCAUAAGACGAGCUGCAGAGGAAGAGCACAAACUGUAUCUAUUAGCACAUGUUCAUCGCUAUUUUCUGGGAAACAUAUAAAUUGUUUAACCCUUCAAGUAAACAGUCCCCUGUUCUUGUUAAUAAUAGCAAUAAUAAUCUAUCAGUAUAUGCGAAGGGGGUAGAUGUCCCCGAGAACAGCUGCCAUCAGACGAGCUGCAAAGGAAGUUCUAAUGAGAGCAUGAACUGUAUCUGUUAGCACAAAGAGUAGCUGCAAAUAUCAAUUUUGGAAAUUAGUACUGCCGUGUUUCCAACGCUCACUCUUGUGUGGAAUUAUUUGCAAGUGUUAACCUUCAGUAUCUAUACAUCCAAGUUCCGAAGACUUGGAGGUCAAGGACAGAUCACAAAAUGCAGAUUCGUUCUCCCUUGUUGAUGCUGAAAUUAAGAGAAAGACCUUUUAGGACGACCAAUCCCACAGCAUCUUGAGGGCAAGAACCUUCAAACUCCAUUAUUUCUCCAUUGUUUGUCAGUUUUAUAGUAACUGUUCAAUAAAGCUAUUGCCAGAACGUGUUGAAUGGAGACUGGAUUGAAGUGGACAUAAGAAGGUGAGGAUGACUCUUUAACUCUGCAGCAGCAUGCUCACUUGCUUAAGCUGUGAGUAAACUACGAUCGUAAAUUAUUAAGAAGUUUUCUUCCGAUUUUGUGGCUUGAAUUUCUUGGAAAUUAUAUUUUAGUGAGCAUAGCAAUCUUCGCAUAAAUCUUAUUGCUAAAUACAAUUUGGAAAAACAUCUCUGAACAUUCAAAUUAAGCUGUCACGAUUUUUAAUUUUUUUUUUUAUCUUACUAUAAAUAUUUGACAAUUAACUACCUUAUUUAUUAUAAUUAGCACUUGUGCUAGUGAAUUAAGGGACUUCUCCUCGUGUGGAAAUAUUCGCUGAAUUAAUUUAUUGUAAUCUUGUUGUACAGCUGCGGAUUGGACAUAAGAAGGUGAAGAUGACUUUGUUUAUCAUUUUCUUUUUCAAUUAUGUACACAUAAUCCCAUAGUUUAAAUUAUUUAUUAUUUAGAAUAGAAAAAGGAAAAAUCAAAGUAUAUCAAUUGAAGGAAUGAUAACCAAGAAAAGUAUUUUAAAAAAAAAAUAUUACUAAUCAAGAUUUGUCAAAUAACUAUUUAGUUAUUUUAAUACUAAAAGGAUUCAUUAAUUUAAGAAAUAUUAGCAACCUCUAAAACACUAUUUAAUCCAUUUAGAAUAUCAAUAUUGAUUUUUUUUAUAAUUUUAAUGAAUUAAUAUUAAAAAUUUAAAAUAAAAAUUUAAAAAAUAUCAUAUUAAUAUAUUUUCAAUUAAAAAACAUCUUUAUAAAAUAAUUAAACUGCUGGACAUUACCAGGCGGGCGCUCAUUAGUGCCCCGAUUGCUAAGCGUAAUUAUUACUUUGCCAAGUAACAACAAUUUAGUGUGCGCAAUUUGAAGUCAAUUUGAUAGAACCUUACAUAUUUCCAUGGUUUCUACUCUUACUUUAUUCUUUUUAAAAUAAAAUUUCAAUUUUAUUUUUUAAUGAGUUUGGUUAUUCUAGUUUUAUAAUUCAAAUAGCUAGUUUUAUUUUUUAAUAUUUAAUUGAUUUGAAAUUAGACUUUAUAAUUUUUUUCAAAUUGCUUUUUAUUAAAUUAUCGUAAUUUCAUUAUCUGGAUCAUGGCUUUGGUGAGUUAACCUGGGUUAACUCGAGUUAUUUUUUUGUGUCUUUUGUUUAAUUGAUUUUUUUUUUCAAUUUUAUUCUUUAACAUUAGAUUAAUUAAGAAUUGAGCUUUAACUUUUUUUUUAUUUACUUUUUAUGGAGUAAUCCUGUUUACAUGACUCAAGUUGCGAGUUUAGCAGGUUAGACCAAGUUGACCGAAGUUGCUUGUUUUUUAUAAUUGGUUUUUUUUUCAAUUUCAAUAUUGUGUUGAAUGAGAAUUGAAUUUCAUAAUUUAUUUUGAUUUGUUUUCUAUAAGGUUAUUCUGGUAUCAUAAUUCAAUAUGUUUUUGUUUCAAUAUUUUAUAAAAAAAAUAUAUUAUCUUGAAAUUUUUUUAAUUAAACUGUGUUUUUAACAGUUGUCCAAAUUAUAUUUGGACCCGUCAAGUUGACAGAAUUAUAUCAAAUUAAUUUUCACAUGAUUUAAUAUUUGUUUUCUACUAGAAAACAUAUUAUCAACACUUAAAUAUUUUUUAUGUUUAAAAAAUUGAUUUGACCCGCAACAUGACGCGGGUCAAUGAUAUAAUAUUAACUAUAAAACCCUCCUUUUAUAUUAGCAGGUCAAUAUUAAUUAGUAGACAGAACUAAAACAAAAACAAUAAAGAAAUUAAGAACAACUAACAUAUGUAAAUUUCUUUAAAUACUAGUUUCUUAAAACAAAAAAUGAAAACCAUGAUGUUUUGGGAAAAAAAAAUUUAAACCGAGUUUUAAUUGAUUAGAUCAAUUCAAACUCAACUUAUUUUGAAAGUUGAAACCCAACCCAUCCUCCUUCUUGGUAAAGAAAUUAAUCAAAGGAAGUUCUAAUAAGAACAAAAAUUGAAUCUAUUAGCACAUAGACUUGCUGCAAAUGUAAGGAUAUUAUCUACUCUUGAAAAAAAUGUCAAUUUUGGAAAUUAAUAUUGCCGUGUUUCCAACAUUCUUGUAUAGUCAGCAAUAUACAAUUAAUUUCACAGGAAAGUGUUUCCAAUGGAAAUAUUUGCAAUUGAAUAAUUCAACCUUCAGUUUCAUAAAAGCAAGCUUCGCAGAAAUUUCAUUGCUAAAUACAACAUAGAAAAACAUCUCUAACUAAGUUGUUAGUGCUCAAGAAAUUUCAUUUCUCACACAAUUUUUUUAUAUAUAUAAAUGACUUGGGGUCAAGAAAAAGGACAGAUCAAGUUGUUAGGACUCAAGGUUUUUUUUUUUUUUUGUAAGUUUAUUAAUUAAUUUCAUAAUAUUUUUUUAUUUAUAUUUUUAAAUUAUUAAACUCAUCAAGUAAUUCCUUGAGUCUUGAAUUUUUUUUGUUUUUUAGAAAUGGUUUUAUCAACUUAACAUUUUUUUUAUAUUGAAAUAAAUGUAGGACAACUUACAGCGUAGUGCACCUAUAUAGUAUUAUCUGGAAAUUAAUUGUGCCGUGUUUCCAACACUCUUGUAUAGUCAACAAAGGGACCACUGGAUAGCAUAUCCAGGUUCGGAAGACUUGGAGGUCAAGGACGAAAAGGACAGACCAAGUGACGACGAUUGGUUUUCCCUUGUUGAUGCCGGAAAAGAAAGAUCGUUUAGUCCAUGUUAUUUUCUGAAAAGUAAUUUAAAAAAAAAAAAAUUUAAUUUUUUUUAUAUUUGUUUAUUAUUAAAAAAUUAAUUAAUAAAAAAUAAUUUUCAAUCAAAGAAAAAUUUGGCUUUAUUUCUAAAAAAGUAUUUUCUUGAAAAAUUUGAAUGGAAAACACUUUCUGAAAGUUGUGAAAAAUUUAAAAAUAUCAUAUUAUUUGCUGAUUAUAUCAAAUUUGGUCGUCAAACUUUUGAUUGCUAUAUAUAUUUUGUUUUGAAUAUUUAUUUUUCAAUUUCAUCUCUUAAAAUUUAAUUUUUAUAUUAACUUUGAUCCUUAUUUUUAUAAUUUUUAUUUGUUUUUUCCUUAUUAUUUUUUUAUUGAAAUUUUUUAUCUAUCAAAUUUGGUCCUCAUUAUUUUAAUUGUUAUUUAUUUUAUUUGAAAUAAUUUAUGAAAUGUUAAUUAUUAUUAUUUUAAUUUCUUCAUCUUUUAUUUUUUUUUAAAUUUAAGCUCUAUUAUUUUAAAUAUUAUUUAUUUUAUUUAAGAUAAUUUAUAAAAUUAUAUUAUUUCAUAUACAAUAUAUCCUGAACUUUCGUUUUCCUUGUUGAUGGUCAAGGCAAGCUUCGCAGAAAUUUCAUUGCUAAAUACAGUAUAGAAAAACAUCUCUGCCCUAAGUUGUUAGUGCUCAAGAAAUUUUAUUUCUGACACAAUUUUUAUAUAUAUAUAAAAUGACUUUGGGGUCAAGAAAAAAGACAGACCAAGUUGUUAGGACUCAAGGUUGUUUUUUUUUUUUUUUUUACUACAGCAAUUGAAUGAACAGAAGAAUCUAAGAUUGGUUUGUCUAUAAAUACUACUAACGGUGCCUUUCUUUAUUUCUCAUCUCUCCCCAAUCGUUCAGCAUUCCAAAUACACUUUGAAUCCUGAAGAGCCAACAUGAAGUUUUCAUUAUCUCUCACUCGAUUUCUCUGUUCCAUUUUGUUUCUCUUCCAUUUUCAUACAACAAUUUCAUCAUCAUUCUCCUCAAAUAACUCCUCUUCUAAUCAUUUGUGUGCUCAUCACCAAAGUCUUUCUCUCUUUCAAUUCAAACAAUCCUUUCCCAUUAAUAGUUCUGCUUCUUCGGAGUACUAUUGUCAAUAUCCCUUUGCAAAAACAGAGUCAUGGAAAGACGGUACAGAUUGCUGCUUGUGGGAUGGGGUCAAUUGUGAUAUGAAAACCGGGCAAGUCACUGGACUGAACCUCUCUUGCAGCAUGCUUUAUGGCACCCUCCAUUCCAAUAAUUCUCUCUUCUCUCUUCAUCAUCUUCAGGAGCUCGAUCUCUCUUUCAAUGAUUUCAACUCCUCCCAUAUUUCUUCUCGAUUUGGCCAGUUUUCCAAUCUGACACAUCUUAAUCUAAAUAAUUCCAAUUUCGCAGGCCAAGUUCCAUUAGAAGUCUCCCGUCUCUCCAAAUUGAUUUCUCUUAAUCUCUCUGGAAACAACCAUCUAAGUGUAGAACCAGUUUCUUUUGACAAGCUUGUUCGAAACCUAACCAAGCUAAGAGAUCUCGAUUUGAGUUCUGUAAAUAUGUCUUUGGUUGCACCUAAUUCCUUGACGAAUCUGUCCUCUUCUUUGUCAUCUCUUUACCUUGGGGGUUGUGGUUUGCAAGGGAAAAUCCCGGGUAAUAUCUUUCUCCUACCAAACCUUGAAUUACUCAUUCUGCGAGACAAUGAAGGCCUCACUGGCUCUUUUCCUUCCUCCAAUGUGAGUAAUGUCCUCUGGCUGUUGGACCUUUCUAAUACAAAAAUUUCAAUUUAUCUAGAAAAUGACUCCAUCAGAAAUUUAAAGUCGUUAGAGUAUAUGUUACUUAGUAAUUGUAACAUUGUUGGGUCAAAACUAGCUCAGUUUGGUAAUCUUACACGGCUGUUUCAAUUAGACCUCUCAAAUAGUAAUAUUAGUGGUCAUAUUCCAUCUUCAUUUGGAAAUCUUGUGCAGCUUGAUUACUUGAAUCUUAGUUACAAUAAUUUUACAGGUCAGAUUCCAUCAUCACUUGGAAAUCUUGUGCAGCUCAUUUCCUUGGAUCUUAGUUCCAAUAACUUGAAAGGUCAGAUUCCUGAUUCUUUCGCUAAGCUAACCCUACUCGUAUAUUUAGAUUUAUCAAACAAUCAACUCCAAGGCCCAAUCCAUUCUCAACUAAGUACCAUUCUAGAUCUAUACCGAUUAUUUUUAUAUGGUAACUCACUCAAUGGGACGAUACCAUCCUUUUUAUUUGCUCUCCCUUCUCUACUCAAUUUGGACCUUCAUAAUAAUCAAUUCAUAGGCAAUAUAAGUGAAUUCCAACACAAUUCAUUAGAAUUUCUUGAUUUGAGCAAUAACUCCUUGCAUGGUCCAUCCCAAGUUCAAUUUUCAAUCAAGAGAACUUGGAGUUCUUAUUCUUGCAUCCAACAAUAAAUUGACAUGGGAGGUUCCUUCUUCAAUUUGCAAGUUAAAAUUCCUUCGAGUCCUGGACCUUUCCAACAAUACCUUGAGUGGUUCUGCACCACAAUGUUUGGGAAACUUCAGCAACAUCCUCUCAAUUUUGAAUCUAGGCAUGAACAAUCUCCGAGGCACUAUUCCAUCAACAUUUUCAGAGGGAAAUAACUUGGAAUAUCUCGACCUCAAUGGCAAUGCAUUAGAAGGGAAAAUACCAUUUUCUAUUGUCAACUGCACAAUGCUGGAGUUUCUUAAUCUUGGUAACAAUAAGAUUGAGGAUACAUUCCCCUAUUUCCUAGAAAUGCUUCCAGAGCUAAAGGUUCUUGUUCUAAAUUCCAAUAAACUCCAAGGUUUUAUGAAGGGUCCGACUACUUUUAAUGCCUUCUCCAAAUUACAGAUUCUUGACAUCUCUGAAAGUAAUUUGAGCGGACCAUUGCCAGAAGAUUUUCAAAUAGUCUUGAAGGAAUGAUGAAUGUUGAUCAAGAUAUGUUUACAUGACGACAAGAAAUUACUCUGGCUACACCUAUUCAAUAAUGACAUGGAAAGGGUUGGAAAUUUGAGUUUGUGAAAUCCAAAGUAUCCUCAGAGUACUUGAUUUAUCACGUAACAGUUUCACCGGUGAGAUUCCAAAACCAAUUGGAAAGCUUAAAGGACUUCAACAACUCAACCUCUCUCACAAUUUCCUUGCAGGCCAUAUCCAAUCAUCAUUAGCGUAUUUAACCAGUCUACAGUCAUUAGAUAUGUCUUCAAAUAUGCUUACGGGAAGGAUUCCUGUGCAGUUGACAGAUCUAACAUUUCUUGAAGUCUUAAACCUUUCACAAAACAAACUCGGGGGCCCAUACUGGUGGGAAGCAGUUCAACACGUUUGAUCCAAGCUCAUUUCAAGGAAACUUGGGUUAUGUGGAUUCCCAAUGCCAACAGAAUGCAACAAUGGCGUGUACCACCAUUACCGCCAUCAAACUUUAAUGAAGAAGAUGAUUCAACAUUGUUUUGAAGAUGGGUUUGGAUGGAAAGCUGUGGCAAUGGGUAUGGAUGUGGGUUUGUAUUUGGAGUCACAAUGGGUUAUAUUGUGUUUAGAACAAGACGCCUGCAUGGUUUCAUAGGAUGGUUGAACGUCAGUGGAAUCUGAAGGCAGGAAGAACAAAGAAGAAUGCUCGCAUGUAUGGUGCAAGAAGAAAUUAAAGUAAGUUUUGCAAGCUUUUGAUAAUUUCUGUUUUUAUUAGCAAAGUUUGUGUGAUACUAUCUUUUCUUUGCUAUUUCAUUUGAUAAGUCUAACAUUUCUAAUUCUAUGAGUAUAGAACUAUAAGUAUUCAUGACUAUAGUUAUAUGUUUUUUUUUUUUUUUUGCAGCACAAUUUCAAUGAAGGUUUUACCUCACGAGAUACCAAGUAGAGUUGAUAUUGGAACAACAAUAAAGUGGCAGAUUCAUAGUACUGGAUUUCUGUUGUUCUUUUUUUUUUUUUUACUUCUAUGAAAAAAGUCAAAGAAUGUAAUAGUUAAUGUAUGUUGUAGUUUAUGUUGAACUAUAAAAUCAUGCUUUAUAUUACCAAUAUAUUAAUUAGUAGAGAGAAAUAGAACAAAACAAUAAAGAAAUUAAGAACAACAAAUAUAGUUAAAUUUCUUUAAAUGUAUAAAAAAUAUUUUAUAAGUGAUAAUAGUACUAGUUUUGAGACACGCCAAAAUGAACUGGUAUAGAAAAUUUUAGUAUCAAACGAAGAUUUGGAAUGAAUUUCAGAACGGUAUUGUAAACCUUGAUUUGAAGAAUCUUAUCCACCUUAUCAUAAAGCUUCCUUCACAUUACACUCCUGACCUGGAAAUAACAAAUAUUUCGGUUCUCAAUUCUCUCUCUGUUCAAGCACAUGAGUCUGAGAGCAAUGGUAGGAAAAAGGCCCUUAUUGAUCUGCAGUAGCACUUCUCUAGUCUUCCAUCUUCCUGUGUUUUGCAGGUUUGUUGCUGAGUUUAAGGCUUUUAGGCCUCUAGGAACUGUGUGUUGUUACUUAUUUUUAACCUCACAUUAAAAAUUAUAUUCAUAAAAAACCAAAAAAUAAUAGCAAUGAGAAGAAGAUAUCAGUUUAGAGCAAUUGAGGAAUGAAUUUAGUUCAGAAAGACAAGGAUUGUGCUGUAAAUGGUGCUAAAUGCAGGGGUCUAAUUACAAAUUAUCCAGGUGCUUGAUUAUAAAAUUGUGAAACCCCAAGACCAAAUCAAAAGAUAGAGCAGAAUUGAAGGGAGCGUUAACAACAACAACCUCACAUCUUCGUCUGUUUCAGUUACCAACAAUUGUGCGUAAAAGUUUCAGCGCCAUCGUCUUCGUCUGUCUCAGUUACAGGUAAGUUUCAUACAUUCUUACCUGUAUUUGACUUCAUUUAUAAUUACAUAGGUACCAUGCAUCUUCAUUUAUAAUUGACUUCUUCCUGUAUAAGCCUGCUGGGUCCAGCCCUGUUACAUGGACCGAUCUGGACCCAGUCCAAAAAAAUAAAAAAACAGAGAGAUUAGUGGUUUUAUCAUGUAUUUAUUUUGUGCUUUGUAUUUUUUUAUAAAAUAUAAAUUUGGUAUAUUAAAAUACUUGGUUUCUAAGAAUUGUGGCAAAUGUAUGUGUGUCCAAUAUUUCAUACAACAUAGAAAAUUAAAAAAUAUGUCUUAACAUGUAUUUGCGGCUUUAAUAACAAGUUUAUUAAAGUCACAGAACUAAGUCAAUAUUUUUUUAAAAAAAAAAUUUGUUUCCUUUUUAAUAUCUACGAUUACAAACUUACACGUAAGACAUAUUUCUAAUAUUAAAUAAAAAUUAGUUUUUUUUGCAAUGAUUAGAAUGGUUAGAUUUUACCCUGCAAAAUAAAAAUUAGCACAACAAUAGCUUAGAAUUAUAAAACAAUUAAAAAAUACAGUUAUCUUAGAUAGGUGUGUUUGAAAUACUAAUAUUUUCUAUUUAUGUAACUAUUCCUUGUAUCUUAUCUUUCAUACUAGUUGCAUUUUAAUAAUCAAAUUCUAGAUAACGACUCCCAUUAUAUUUAUAUUAUAAAAAAAACUUGGAAUUCUUAUCUCCCUAUUUUUCCCUAUUUUUCCGGGAUACCAACAUUAAGAGUGGAUGUUACCGCCUUGACACCAGACAUGUGUGAUACUGUGCUUGAGAAUAAUCUGCCCCAUAAAGAUCCAUUUGAUCUGAUACUGAAGAAAGGUUAAGCUAUUGUAGUCUUUGUAGAAAAAAUUAGUGGUGGUGAUUGAUAAUAAGGAUACAAAGAAGAUGAAGAUGAGUGUGAACUGAUUGAAGGAAGUGCUAUUUGGAAAUUUGGCUGUGGAGUUCGUUAAUUGUUCAAAAAUGAGCAGAAGACAGCUUCUGCUCCUUGCUGUGCUCCACUUGAAGUUGAUUGAAUGCUAGCAAAUAGGUAAAUGGGCCUUAGGCAUUGUGGAUUUUUUUUUUGUUGAUAUUAUCCCUCUCAAAGAUCUGAACCUGUGGUUCUAGUUCGAGGGCUUUCUUCCAUAUGGAUAUUUAUAUGGGAUCCAUUUGUUUUGUCCCUUCCCUUUUCUCACAAAUUUAAUGACAUCUUACUUCACGCAAAACUAUUACAAAAAGCUUGUCAAAGUAUACUUUUUCCACGUAAUGUGUACUUGGAGAAGCUUUUUGUACUCUAAUCAUUGAGCCUAAACAUGUUUAAGGUUUGUCUCAUGUACCAUGUAAUAUUAAUAUUGGGUUUGAUAUGAGAUUAAAAAUUUUAAGGAAAAUGUUGAGGUGACAAAAUAAUAAAUGAAGUGUAAAGAACUAAAAUGAGUUAAAAAGAUGAAGUGUUUAAGAAUUUAGAAGAUGAUGUUGAAGAAUGACAAUAUAAAAGUUACUAAAAGAAAAAGGAUGCUCGUUUGUUUUUAGUAUUCAGCUAUUAGUCUGUCAUUAUUUUCUUUUUUAUUAUUUUUUCUUUUUGCUUUUUGUUAGUCCUUUCUAACUAACGUACAGCUAGUGCAACGUGGGUAGUAGGUCAUUCAUUUCUCAUGGGAUAGCAGCCCUAGGUGUAUUUAUAUGUAUACAAGUUUGCAUUCUUUAGCAAGUAAUACAGAGAAUAAAUUUGUAUCAUGAGUUCGUGAGUUAACCUGAGUUAAUUUAAGUUAUUUUUUUUAUAUUUGUUGUUUAAUUAUAUAUUUUUAAUUUUAUCCUUUAACAUAAAAUUGAUUAAAAAUUAAAUUUCAUAAUUUGUUUUGAUUUAUUUUCUAUGCAGUUCUAGUUAUAUGAUCAGUUGCAAGUUUAGCAGGUUUGUCAAAGUUGACUCAAGUUACUUGUUUUUUUAUUGGAUUUUUUUUAAAAUUUAUCUUUCAAUAUUAUGCUAAUAGAUCAACUCAAACUCAACUUAUUUUAAAAGUUGAACCCAAUCCAUCUCCUUCUGGUAAAGAAAUCAAAGGAAGUUCUAAUAAGGCAAAAGUUGAAUCUAUUAGAACAUAGACUUGCUGCAAAUGUAAGGAUAUUAUUACUCUUGAAAAAAAUGAUAAUUUUAAAAAUUAAUAUUGCCGUGUUUCCAACAUUCUUGUAUAGUCAACAAAGGGAUCUUAUUGUAUGGAAUAUUUGCAAUUGAAUAAUUCAACCAAUCUUUGUCAGUUCUAGUACGCUGCUCUGUUUUCCGGUAAUGGUUCAGUAAUGUUAUUCCUAAACUUUCACUAAAUAUUUUCUUUAAUUUCCGGUACGCUGCUCUGAAAUUCCUUCAAGUCUAACUUGUAAAAUAAUAGUUUGAGCGGUUCUACACUCAAACAAUUCUAGGCAAAAUUAUCUGUGUUUUGAAAAUUCUUGAAUUAUUUGUAGCUUUCAAUUUUUUUUUAGAUUAUUUUGAUGUGUUGGGUUAAAAAUAAUAUUUUUUUAAAAAAUAUUAUUUGAUAUAUUUUUAAACAAAAAAUAUUUUAAAAACAACUUUUAUUAUAUUUUUAAAGAGAUAAUUAUUCAACUAAGGGACCUAUUUGAUAGUCUUAUGUCUCAGCUAAGGAUGCUUCACCCUCCCAAACAUUCCUGGGAUAUUUGAAAGUAUUGUAAUGAUUAUUUUUUAAAAUACUUUUCAUUUUAAAAUAUAUCAAAAUAAUAUUUUUUUUAUUUUUUAAAAAUUAUUUUUAACAUCAGCAUAUUAAAAUGAUCUAAAAAUAAAAAAAUUAAAACAAAUAAAAAAAUUUUAAAUUUUUUAAAAAAAAACAAUUCUAAAACACAAUAUUUCUCCCCGCAAUGAGAAAGAUCAAACACACAAUAAUGACUUUGAUUUCCUCAUGCACCCAUUCCUAGGAUUGGUUUGUCUAUAUGCCUUUGAAAAAUAAUUAAACUGCUAUGCGUUACCGAGCGCACGCAAAGAGUACGAUACAUAAGUGCAAAGUCAUUAGUGCCCCAUUGCUUUGCGUAAUUAUUUCUUUGCCAAUAAACAACAAUUUAGUUUGCGAUAUUUGAAGUCAAUAUGAUAGGAACCUUACAUAUUCCGAUGGUUUUAUCUUCCUUUAUUUUUUUAAUUAUUAAAUCCUAAAAAUUAUUUUUUAAUUAAAAAUACAUCAAAAUAACAUUUAAAAAUGACAUCAACAUAUUAUAAGCAUUAAAAAUCUUAUAAAAAAAUAAAAAACAUCAAUUUGAUACUUUUACAAUACCGCUAAACAAGCUAAAAAAAGAGUUUUAAUUAGAAUUAUAGGCCUCCUGCUGUGCUAUAAGGCUUUAUCUAUCUAUUUUUUGAUUUUUAAUAUAAAAGGAUAUAGUAUUGUGCAAGUGAUAUUGUCCUAAGUGAAUAAAAUCUUCAUAAAUAUUUGGCACAAUUAUAUUUGAUAAAUUUCAAAUCAUUGAUAAUUUAUUUUGAAAAAUCAACUUUUUGAUGACAACAUCAUGAUCAUCUUGUUCAAUAAUUAGGAUUAAUUCAUCAGUUUCAAGUAACAUCUUUCCAUAUCCUUAGGAGUAUAAAAGUCUUCUAAGGACCUAUUAUAUUUCAAUCACCAUUAAAUUUUAUAAUGGAUAUUUAUCCCUCAUUAAUAUUGUGCAAUUUAUUCCUCGCAUAAUGUUGUAUAAGAUAUAUUUAUCUUUUAUUAUUGCUAUAAAAAGGAAAUGACUCUUCAGGCCCUUAACUCCAGCAAAAUAACAAGGUUCUGGGGCUAUAAAUACUCAUUGAACUAUCUAGGUAAAGGGUUUACAAUCUUUAUUUUUUACUAUAUAUAUAUAUAUUUUUUAAUUAUUUGUUUACAUAAUCUAAUAGUUAAAUUAUUUUUUAUUUAAAAUAGAAAAAGGACAAAGGAAAAAUCAAAGUAUAUAAAUUGAAAGAUUGAUAAGCAAGAAAAAGUAUUUUUUUAAAAAAAAUUAUUGAAAUAAGCAUGAUCAAAAUUUGUCUAAAAUCUAUUUAAUUACUUUUAAUACUAAAAGGAUUAGUUAAUUUAAGAAAAAUUAGCAACCCCUGAAACACUAUUUAAUCCGUUUAGGAAAUCAUUAUUGUCGUGUUUUUAUUCUUAGAGCAUGCUAGUAUGGUGGAUGUUGCUUUUUAAAAUGUUUUUUUAUUUGGAAAUAUAUCAAAAUAGUAUUUUUGUGUUUUUUUUGUUUUUUUAAUUCAUUUUUUACAAGAAACCAAUAUUUUUAUGUUUUUACAUCGUUUUGAUAUGUUAAUGUAAAUAACGUACUGUUAACGUUGGGCGAGCUACAAAGCAAGCUCUAAUUAGCACAUAGACUUGCUGCACAUCACUCAAAUAGACUUGAUCUCAACAAAAAAAUAUUAAAGGAAAUAUUCGCAAUUGAAUAAUUCAACCCUCAGUUCCAUAUUCAGCACCACAUGAAUACUCUUCUGGACCAUUGCCUAUUGCUUUCUCUUGUUUAGUCAUCAACUAAUUAAGGGAGCUCUCCUUGCGAGGAAAUAUUCGCAAUUGAAUAAUUCAACCCUCAGUUCCACAUUCAGCACCACAUGAAGAGUCGACACUAUCUAUACAUCCAAGCUCCGAUCGAAGACUUGGAGGUAAAGGACAGACCAAAUGAAGAUUAGCUCUCCCUUGUUGAUGCUGAAAGAGAAAGACCUUUUAGGACGACCAAUCCCACAGCAUCUUGAGUGCAAGAAAUUUCAAACUCCAUUAAUUCUCCAUUGUUUGUCAGUUUUCUAGUAACGGUUCAACAAAGCUAUUGCCAGAAUGUGUCGUCUUACCUUCGGUGAAAACUGAUAUAGGAAGUGUAAUUAAUGUGAAUGAGAUUGCAAUAGUAUAAGAACGUAUAUUGUGAUAAAAUUAUAAGAAGGUGCUGAUUGGAAAAUGAAAUUAAAACAUGGCGAUGAAUUCAUGUGAAUGAGAUUAUAAUAGUAUAAGAAGGCAUAUUGUGAUAACACAAAAAAACAAAAUGAAGGUGAUGUUGCAUGUAACCGCAGAUUUAUCCAGCAAAAAUCUGUACAAGGAGUUGCAUUAUUGUCUUUUGUUGGCAUGGAGUCUUAUAGAAGACGAGGACGAGUGGUAGAAGUCCCCAGCAACGUACACUUCCCAUAAGACGAGCUGCAGAGGAAGAGCACAAACUGUAUCUAUUAGCACAUGUUCAUUGCUAUUUUCUGAGAAACAUAUAAAUUGUUUAACCCUUCAAGUAAACAGUCCCCUGUUCUUGUUAAUAAUAACAAUAAUAAUCUAUCAGUACAUGCGAAGGGUAGAUGUCCCCGAGAACAGCUGCCAUCAGACGAGCUACAAAGGAAGUCCUAAUUAGACCAUGAACUGUAUCAGCUAGCACAACGACUUGCUGAAAAAAUGUCAAUUUAGGAAAUUAGUACUGCCGUGUUUCCAACGCUCACUCUUGUGUGGAAUUAUUUGCAAGUGAACCUUCAGUUCCAUGAAGAGUGGACAAUAUCUAUGCAUCCAAGUUCUGAAGACCUGGAGGUCAAGGACAGAUCACAAAAUGCAGAUUUGUUCUCCCUUGUUGAUGCUGAAAUUAAGAGAAAGACCUUUUAGGAGGACCAAUCCCAGAGUAUCUUGAGGGCAAGAACCUUCAAACUCCAUUAAUUCUCCAUUGAUUGUCAGUACUUUUCUAGCAACUGUUCAAUAAAGCUAUUGCCAGAACGUGUUGACUGGAGACUGGAUUGAAGUGGACAUUAGAAGGUGAGGAUGACUCGUUAACUCUGCAUGCCCACUUAAUUGCUUAAGCUGUGAGUAAACUGCGAUCGUAAAUUAUUAAGAAGUUUUCUUCCGAUUUUGUGGCUUGAAUUUCUUCGAAAUUAUAUUUUAGUGAGCAUAGCAAUCUUCGCAUAAAUCUUAUUGCUAAAUACAAUUUGGAAAAACAUCUCUGAACAUUCAAAUUAAGCUGUCACGAUUUUUAAUUUUUUUUUUAUCUUACUAUAAAUAUUUGACAAUUAACUACCUUAUUUAUUAUAAUUAGCACUUGUGUUAGUGAAUUAAGGGACUUCUCCUGGUGUGGAAAUAUUCGCUGAAUGAAUUUAUUGGUUACUUAAUCUUGUUGUACAGCUGCGGAUUGGACAUAAGAAGGUGAAGAUGACUUUGUUUAUCAUUUUCUUUUUCAAUUAUGUACACAUAAUCCCAUAGUUUAAAUUAUUUAUUAUUUAGAAUAGAAAAAGGAAAAAUCAAAGUAUAUCAAUUGAAGGAAUGAUAACCAAGAAAAGUAUUUAAAAAAAAAAACAAAAUAUUACUAAUCAAGAUUUGUCAUCAAAUAACUAUUUAGUUAUUUUAAUACUAAAAGGAUUCAUUAAUUUAAGAAAUAUUAGCAACCUCUAAAACACUAUUUAAUCCAUUUAGAAUAUCAAUAUUGAUUUUUAUAUAUUUUUUAUAAUUUUAAUGAAUUAAUAUCAAAAUUAAAAAUAAAAUUUAAAAAACAUCAUAUUAUAUAUUUUCAAUUAAAAAACAUCUUUACAAAUAAUUAAUUGUAGUGCAAUUAUACAAAAACUUACAGCGUAGUGCACCUAUAUAGUAUUAUCCACUGUUAAAAAAUGUCAAUUCUAGAAAUUAAUUUUGCCGUGUUUCCAACACUCUUGUAUAGUCAACAAAGUGACGACGAUUGGUUUUCCCUUGUUGAUGCUGGAAAAGAAAGAUCGUUUAGGCCUACACUAACUUGGUAAUCUUGAGGGCAAGAACCUCGAAACUCCAAUCUUUGACAGUUUUAGCACGCUGCUCUGUUUUCCGGUAAUGCUUUGUGUGGAAAUAUUUUGCAAUUGAAUUCAGUUUCAUAUACAAUAUAUCCUGAACAUUCGUUUUCCUUGUUGAUGGUCAAGGCAAGCUUCGCAGAAAUUUCAUUGCUAAAUACAGUACAGAAAAACAUCUCUCCACUAAGUUGUUAGUGCUCAAGAAAUUUCAUUUCUUACACAAUUUUCUUUAUAUAUAAAAUGACUUUGGGGUCAAGAAAAAGGACAGACCAAGUUGUUAGAACUCAAGGUUGUUUUUUUUUAAAAAAAAAAUUUAUUACAGAAACUGAAUGAACAAAAGAAUCUAAGAUUGGUUUGUCUAUAAAUACUACUAAUAGUGCCCUUCUUUAUUUCUCAUCUCUCCCCAAUCGUUCACCAUUCCAAAUAUACUUUGAAUCCUGAAGAGCCAACAUGAAGUUUUCAUUAUCCCUCGCUCAAUUUCUCUGUUCCAUUUUGUUUCUCUUCCAUUUUCAUACAACAAUUUCAUCAUCAUUCUCCUCAAAUUACUCCUCUUCUAAUCAUUUGUGUGCUCAUCACCAAAGUCUUUCUCUACUUCAAUUCAAACAAUCCUUUCCCAUUAAUAGUUCUGCUUCUUCGGAGGAUUGCCAAUAUCCCUUUCCAAAAACAGAGUCAUGGAAAGACGGUACAGAUUGCUGCUUGUGGGAUGGGGUCACUUGUGAUAUGAAAACCGGGCAAGUCACUGGACUGAACCUCUCUUGCAGCAUGCUUUAUGGCACCCUCCAUUCCUAUAAUUCUCUCUUCUCUAUUCAUCAUCUUCAGGAGCUCGAUCUCUCUUUCAAUGAUUUCAACUCCUCCCAUAUUUCUUCUCGAUUUGGCCAGUUUUCCAAUCUGACACAUCUUAAUCUAAAUAAUUCCAAUUUCGCAGGCCAAGUUCCAUUGGAAGUCUCCCUUCUCUCCAAAUUGAUUUCUCUUGAUCUCUCUAGAAACACCGAUCUAAGUGUAGGACCAAUUUCUUUUGACAAGCUUGUUCGAAACCUAACCAAGCUUAGAGAGCUCGAUUUGAGUUCAGUAGACAUGUCACUGGUUGUACCCAGUUCCUUGAUGAAUCUGUCUUCUUCUUUGUCAUUUCUUUCCCUUGAAGAUUGUAGACUGCAAGGAAAAUUCCCAUCCUCAAUGGGAAACCUUAAGCACCUCCAGUAUUUGAAUCUUGCAUAUAACAAUUUUACUGGUUCAAUUCCAUAUGAUUUUGCGCAACUCACUAAGCUGGUUUCACUCUCUCUCUCUGGAAACGGCUAUCUAAGUGUAGAACCAGUUUCUUUUGACAAGAUUGUUCAAAACCUAACAAAGCUAAGAGAUCUCGCUUUGGAUUUUGUAAAUAUGUCUUUGGUUGUACCUAAUUCCUUGACCAAUCUGUCCUUUUCUUUGUCAUAUCUUUCCCUUUGGGAUUGCGGAUUGCAGGGGACAUUCCCAGGUAAUAUCUUUCUCCUCCCAAACCUUGAAUCACUGGAUCUGUCAUCCAAUGAAGGCCUCACUGGCUCUUUUCCUUCCUCCAAUGUGAGUAAUGUCCUCCGGAAGUUGGACCUUUAUGAUACAAGAAUUUCAAUUUAUCUAGAAAAUGACUCCAUCAGCAAUUUAAAGUCGUUACAGUAUAUGAUACUUAGUAAUUGUAACAUUGUUGGGUCAAAACUAUCUCUGUUUGGUAAUCUUACAGGGCUCUUUGAAUUAGACCUCUCAAACAACAAUUUUAGUGGUCAGAUUCCAUUUUCAUUUGGAAACCUUUUGCAGCUCCGUUUCUUAAAUCUCGGUUCCAAUAAUUUUAGUGGUGAAAUCCCAUCUUCAUUUGGAAAUCUUGUGCAUCUCGGUUUCUUGUGUCUCAGUUCCAAUCACUUGAUGGGUCAGAUUCCAGAUUUUUUCACUAACCUAAGCCUACUUCGUGAGUUAGAUUUAUCAAACAAUCAACUCCAAAGCCCAAUCCAUUCUCAACUAAGUACCCUUCUAAAUCUACAGCAAUUAUUUUUAUAUGGUAACUUACUCAAUGGGACGAUACCAUCUUUUUUAUUUGCUCUCCCUUCUUUAUUGAAUUUGGACCUUCAUAAUAAUCAAUUCAUGGGCAAUAUAGGUGAAUUCCAACACAGUUCAUUAGAAUUCCUUGAUUUGAGCAAUAACUCCUUGCACGGUCCAAUCCCAAGUUCAAUUUUCAAACUAGAGAACUUGGAAUAUCUUAUUCUUGCAUCCAACAAUAAAUUGACAUGGGAGGUUCCUUCUUCAAUUUGCAAGUUAAAAUUCCUUCGAGUCCUGGACCUUUCCAACAAUAACUUGAGUGGUUCUGCACCACAAUGUUUGGGAAACUUCAGCAACAUCCUCUCAAUUUUGCAUCUAGGCAUGAACAAUCUCCGAGGCACUAUUCCAUCAACAUUUUCAGAGGGAAGUAACUUGCAGUAUCUCAACCUCAAUGGCAAUGAAUUAGAAGGGGAAAAUACCAUUGUCUAUCGUCAACUGCACAAUGCUGGAGUUUCUUAAUCUUGGUAACAAUAAGAUUGAGGAUACAUUCCCCUAUUUUCUAGAAAUGCUUCCGGAGCUAAAGAUUCUUGUUCUAAAAUCCAAUAAACUCCAAGGUUUUUAUGAAGGGUCCGACUACUUCUAAUUCCUUCUCCAAAUUACAGAUUCUUGACGUCUCUGAAAAUAAUUUGAGUGGACCAUUGCCAGAAGAGCUUUUCAAUAGUCUUGAAGCAAUGAUUAGUGUCGAUCAAGAUAUGACUUACAUGACGGCAGGAAAUUACUCUAGGUACACCUUUUCAAUAAAAAUGACAUGGAAAGGGUCGGAAAUUGAGUUUGUGAAAAUCCAAAGUAUCCUCAGAGUACUUGAUUUAUCAAGUAACAGUUUCACUGGUGAGAUUCCAAAACCAAUUGGAAAGCUUAAAGGACUUCAACAACUUAACCUCUCUCACAAUUUCAUUACAGGCCAUCUCCAAUCAUCAUUAGGGUUUUUAACCAUUCUAGAGUCAUUAGAUAUGUCUUCAAAUAUGCUUACGGGAAGGAUUCCUGUGCAGUUGACAGAUCUAGCAUUUCUUGGAGUCUUAAACCUUUCACAAAACAAACUCGAGGGGCCCAUACCUCGGAGGAGGCAUUUCAACACGUUUGAUCUAAGCUCAUUUCAAGGAAACUUGGGUUUAUGUGGAUUCCCAAUGCCAACAGAAUGCAACAAUGGCGCGGUACCACCAUUACUGCCAUCAAACUUUAAUGAAGGAGAUGAUUCAACAUUGCUUGAAGAUGGGUUUGGAUGGAAAGCUGUGGCAAUGGGGUAUGGAUGUGGGUUUGUAUUUGGAGUCACAAUGGGUUAUAUUGUGUUUAGAACAAGACGACCUGCAUGGUUUCAUAGGAUGGUUGAACGUCAGUGGAAUCUGAAGGCAGGAAGAACAAAGAAGAAUGCUCGAAUGUAUGGUGCAAGAAGAAAUUAAAAAAUGCAUUUGGUAAAUUCAAGUAAGUUUUGCAAGCUUUUGAUAUUUUCAGUUUUUAUUAGCAAAAUUUGUGUGAGACUAUCUUUUCUUUGCUAUUUCAUUUGAUAAGUCUAACAUUUCUAAUUCUAUGUGUAUAGAACUAUAAGUAUUCAUGACUAUAGUUAUAUGUUUUUUUUUUUUUGCAGCACAAUUUCAAUGAAGGUUUUACCUCACGAGAUACCAAGUAGAGUUGAUAUUGGAACAACAAUAAAGUGGCAGAUUCAUAGUACUGGAUUUCUGUUGUUCAUUUUUUUUUUUACUUCUAUGAAAUGAAGUCAAAGAAUGUAAUAGUUAAUGUAUGUUGUAGUUGUUAGGAUACUGGCAUGCAAACCCGACAAGACAAAAGGUAAGGGAUAAGAUAAAAUGAGAAGUGACACACAAGAAUUUACGUGGUUCACCCAAUUAGGCUACGUCCACGGGCAAGUAUAGAAGGAUUUUACUAGUAAUGUGGGAAUUACAACCUCUCUCAGAUAAUAGGAGAAUAACUAAGAAUCUCUCUAUUACUAGGAGAAAACACCUCACUUACUCUCUCACAAAUACCUCACAACUUUGUGGUAUUAUUUUCUCUCUUCUUUCUCUCUUUCUUGCUCUCUCUUAAUUCUCUCUUGUGAUGAUGUGUAUAAGGCAAGGAUGCACUGCCUAUUUAUAGGCAAGCUUCCUUGCCUUAGUCAUAUUGUAGGCACCAAUUUGGUGCCUACAAUCUUUGACUUAGCUAGCACCAAUUGGUGCCAGCUAGCUUCUAGCUUCUUCUAGCUAGAAGCUGCCAGCUAGCUUCACAUUCUCCCACUUGAAGACUUUGAUGAUUUAAUCAAGUCUUCACACUUGAUCAUUUGUGAUUCUUCUAUCUUUUCAAUACUUGCCAUCUUCAUGCUGCUUACGUUUUUGUUAGGCCACAAGAGGAUCUGCACCAUAAAUACUUAUCAGUGUUGACUGGUUUGGUUAAAGCAUCUGCUGGGUUUUCCUUUGUGUGAACCUUUUGAAAAUCCACACUUCCAUCUUCCACCACUUCGCGAACAAAGUGAUACUGAACAUCUAUAUGUUUUGUUCUUGAAUGAAACGCUGGAUUCCUUGCAAUAUGCAAGGCACUCUGACUAUCAUAAUACAAAAGAAUCCUCUCUUGUUUGUGCCCAAAGCUCCUCUAUAAGUUUCUUCAGCCAUAUUGCUUCUUUACAAGCCUGUGUAGCUGCCAUAUACUCAGCUUCUGUUGUGGAUAACGCUACAACAGUCUGAAGUUUAGAGACCCAGCUCACAGCUCCUCCUGCAAUUAUGAACACAUAGCCUGUAGUGGAUUUUCUUUUCUCAAGGUCACCAGCAAAAUCUGAGUCAACAUAACCUCUGAUAGUAAAUUCUGAUCCUCCAUAACAUAAUGCGGCAUCUGAGGUACCCUUGAUGUAUCUCAAGAUCCUCUUAAUAGUAUUCCAAUGCUCUCUACCAGGAUUUGCCAUGUAUCGACUAGCUGCUCCCACUGCUUGUGCAAUGUCUGGUCUUGUACAUAUCAUGGCAAACAUUAAACUUCCCACUGCUGAUGCAUACGGUACUCGAGACAUCUCCAUCCUCUCUGCUUCAUUGCUAGGAGACAUACUUGAGGAUAAUUUGAAGUUAAGGAAGUGGGGUGGAAAUUGGCUUACAAUCUUGCAUGUUGAAGCGUCGCAAGAUCUUCUUCAAAUAAUUCUUCUGAGAAAGCCAAAUCUUCCUCUUACUUCUGUCUCGGUGAAUUUGCAUCCCUAGAAUCUUGUUUGCUGGUCCCAAGUCCUUCAUAUCAAACUCCCUAGCCAACUGUGCCUUCAAUUCUUGGACUCGAUCUUUGUUGGGGCCUAUUACCAACAUGUCAUCCACGUACAACAACAGAAUGAUGAAAACAUCAUUUUCUUCAAACCUCUUGUAAUACGUACAAUGGUCUGAACUGAGUCUGUUGUACCCAAGGCUAAUUAUGAAGGAAUCAAAUCUCUUGUACCAACACCUCGGCGCCUGUUUGAGACCGUAUAGAGAUUUGUUCAACCUGCAAACCAAGUUCUCUUUGCCUGUUUCAGCAAAACCCUCUGGUUGGAGCAUAUAAAUUUCUUCUUCAAGUUCUCCAUGAAGAAAUGCAGUUUUCACAUCUAACUGCUCUAAGUGAAGAUCAAAUAUAGCACACAUUGCCAAGACUACUCUGAUUGUAGUAAGUCGUACCACCGGAGAAAAUAUCUCAUUAAAGUCUAUUCCUUCUUUCUGAGCAUAUCCUUUCACCACCAAUCUUGCACGAUACCGCUCCACUUGAUCAUUGCCAUCACGCUUUAUCUUGUAAACCCAUUUGUUGCCAAUGGCCUUUCUUCCUUGUGGUAGCGGAAAAAGAUCCCAAGUGUUAUUCUUGUGCAGAGCUUCAAUCUCCUCUUGCAUUGCUGUCAUCCACAUAGAUACAUCUGUGCUUUUGAUAGCCUCAUGGAAAGUUGAUGGCUCUCCAUCCUCUGUUAGAAGACAGUAUGCAAUGUUGCUCUCCAUAACAUAUUCUGAGUGCCAAGCCGGUGGUCUUCUUUCACGAGUUGACCGUCGAACUUUCAGACUCUAUUUGUUCUUGUUCUUCAUGCUCUGGUACAACUUCAGAAGAAGUACGAUUCUGAGUAUUUUCCAUCUGGACUUCUGUAGUCUCCUUUACAAUGCUAUUAUUUUCUUCCAUUUGCAUUUUAUCUUCUGCAAAUAUGACAUCUCUGCUGAUGACUACCUUGUGGGCAGUGGAUCCCACAAGCGAUACCCCUUCACUCCAUCAGCAUAUCCCAAGAAUACACAUUUUCUGGAUUUUGAAUCCAGCUUGCUGACUCUUGAGUAUUGUACAUCACGUACACAGGACUUCCAAAUAUAUGCAAUCGAGAAUAAUCAGCUGGCUUUCCAGUCCACAUCUCCAUCGGUGUCUUCAACUCAAUUGCAGUUGACGGAGAUCGAUUUAUCACAUAACAGGCGGUAUUGACUGCUUCUGCCCAGAAUGACUUUUCUAGACCUGCAGCCUUCAACAUUGCUCUUGUUCUUUCCAAUAGAGUUCUGUUCAUCCGCUCUGCCACUCCAUUUUGUUGUGGAGUGUAUGCCGUUGUGAACUGCCUUUUGAUACCUUCAUGUUGACAGAAGUUAUCAAAUUCAUCACUGGUAUAUUCUCCUCCAUUGUCAGUCCUCAAACACUUGAUCUUCUUUUCAGAUUCAAGUUCUACCCGCACUUUGAAGGUUUUAAAAACUACGAACACAUCUGCCUUCCUUCUAAUCGGAUACACCCAACAUCUCCUGGAGAAGUCAUCUAUGAAUGAUACAAAGUAUCUUGCUCCUCCCAAGGAUACAACCGGUGCUUGCCAAACAUCAGAGUGAAUCAGGUCUAAGAUGCAUUUGCUCUUAGUUGUUGACGUGCCAAACUUCAACCUGUGUUGUUUACUUGUAACACAGUGCUCACAAAAAGGUAAAGUAACCUUUGUAAGCCCCGGGAGUAACUUCUGAUCAGAGAGAACCUUUAAACCUUUCUCUGACAUGUGGCCUAGUUUUUGAUGCCACAUCAUCGUCUUCUCUUCUGCAGGACUGGCUGAUGCAAUUGAUGCUUCUGCCUCACGAUACGUUUCUCCCAUUAAUACAAACAUGUUUGCAACUGUCUUUCUUGCCUUUAAAACCACCAGCGCGCCUUUGACAAUUUUCAUGAUUCCAUUGUCUGUUCGGAUCUUACAGCCAAGACUAUCAAAUUGUCCUACGGACAAAAGAUUCUUCUUUAAGUCUUUCACAUGUCGCACUCCUGAAAUAGUACGAAUUAAGCCAUCAUACAUCUUCAAUUUGAUGGUGCCAAUGCCAGAAAUCUCUACAGCAUGAUUAUCACCCAUGAACACUGUGCCUCCAGAGAUAGGUUCAUAUGUAUGGAACCAAUCUCGUCUAGGGGUCAUAUGCCAUGUUGCUCCUGAAUCCAUUAGCCAGACCUCAGUGAGCUCUUCUCUAUCUGUAGAGCUUGUUGCUGCUUCACUAUAUAAACUCUCCAUCUUCUGAGGUGCUUGCAACACAUCCUUGAGGUUUUGAUGACUCUGCAGUAUUCUCUAUACCCUUUUUAAACCAACAAUCCUUUUUGAAGUGCCCUUUUCUGCCACAGUUGUAGCAUUUCACAACCUUCUUACUUCUUGAUUUGGACCUCCCCUGCCUUUGACUCCCACUGAAGCCACGUUCCGUUGAUCUUCCUCUUGAUACCAACAAUGCCUCAGCUUGGUUUGAACUGUUUCUGUCUCCUUUGUUUUUGCGCCUAUUUUCUUCUUCCAAGAUAGCAGCUGCAACAUCAUCGAAGACUAAAUAGUCUGAGAGGAUAUUAUUGGUCAAGUUGAUAAUGAGCUGAUCAUACGAAUCAGGAAGACUUUGAAGUAGAAGCUCUGCACGUUCAUGUUCCUCUAUUUGUUGACCCAAUGUAGUGAGUUGUGAAAAUAGAGUUCUUAUUGUGUUGAUGUGGUCAGUCACCGACGUGGUUUCUGCCAUUCGAAGGGUAUAAAGUCUCCGCUUUAAGAAAAUCUUAUUAUGCAAAGACUUGGACUCGUAUAGCUUUGUUAGAGUCUCCCAUAUCUCCUUAGCUGUUUUCUUCUCCGCCACACUUGAUAAUACUUCAUCGCUAAUGCUAAAUGUAUGUUAGCAAUAGCAUUGCCAUCCAUCUCAUUCCAUUUUGCAUUAUCAGUGAUCUCCGCGGGCCGAUCCCCAAUUGCUGCCAAGCAAUUGUCUUUCCUCAAGAUUGCCUUGAUUCUCAUUUUCCACAGUGAGAAAUUGCUCCCCUUGAACCUCUCAAUCUCGUACUUUGCUGCCAUUGUAUUCACCGAGAUCUAUUCAGCUAUCACCGUUUCACAGAUCUGUAACGUAUAUAGAAAUAGUAUCGUGUGAAUAAUACUUCACUAAGUAAGUUCCCAGGAAAGAUUGGAGGGGUCACAAACGGUCCCGCUUAAAACCCAAUCUCCUUAGACAGAACUUCCUAGACUGUAUUUAAUCACCGCACUGACUUUCUAUAUACGCCAACAGUAACGUAAGUGAACAGUACCGUAUGGAUGAAUAGUGCCGUAUAGGUGAAUAGUGCCGUAGACGUGAAUAGUGACCGUAUACACGAAUAACUUUUGUGUGUUAACAACACCAACCAAGAAGGCUCUGAUACCACUGUUAGGAUACUGGCAUGCAAACCCAACAAGACAAAAGGUAAGGGACAAGAUAAAAUGAGAAGUGACACACAAGAAUUUACGUGGUUCACCCAAUUAGGCUACGUCCACGGGCAAGUAUAGAAGGAUUUUACUAGUAAUGUGAGAAUUACAACCUCUCUCAGAUAAUAGGAGAAUAACUAAGAAUCUCUCUAUUACUAGGAGAAAACACCUCACUUACUCUCUCACAAAUACCUCACAACUUUGUGGUAUUAUUUUCUCUCUUCUUUCUCUCUUUCUUGCUCUCUCUUAAUUCUCUCUUGUGAUGAUGUGUAUAAGGCAAGGAUGCACUGCCUAUUUAUAGGCAAGCUUCCUUGCCUUAGUCAUAUUGUAGGCACCAAUUCGGUGCCUACAAUCUUUGACUUAGCUGGCACCAAUUGGUGCCAGCUAGCUUCUAGCUUCUUCUAGCUAGAAGCUGCCAGCUAGCUUCACAGUAGUUUAUGUUAACUAUAAAAUCAUGCUUUAUAUUACCAAAUCAAUAUUAAUUAGUAGAGAGAAAUAGAACAAAAACAAUAAAGAAAUUAAGAACAACAAAUAUAGUUAAAUUUCUUUAAAUGCAUAAAAAAUAUUUUAAAUGUGAUAAUACUAGUUUUGAGACACGCCAAAAUGAACUGGUAUAGAAAAUUUUAGUAUCAAACGAAGAUUUGGAAUGAAUUUCAGAACGGUAUUUGUAAACCUUGAUUUGAAGAAUCUUAUCCACCUUAUCAUAAAGCUUCCUUCACAUUACACUCCUGACCUGGAAAUAACAAAUAUUUCGGUUCUCAAUUCUCUCUCUGUGCAAGCACAUGGAGUCUGAGAGACAAUGGUAGGGGAAAAGGGACCUUAUUCUGCAGUAGCACUUCUCUUAGUCUUCCAAUCUUCCUGGUGAUUUUGCAGGUUUUGUUGCUGAGUUUAAGGCUUUUAGGCCUCUAGGAACUGUAAUUGAGAAUAAUCUGCCACAUAAAGAUCCAUUUGAUCUGAUAGUGAAGAAAGGUAAGCUAUGGCGUAGUGUAGUCUUUGUAGAGAAAAUUAGUGGUGAUGAUUGAUAAUAAGGAUACAAAGAAGAUGAAGAUGAGUGUGAACUGACUGAAGGAAGUGCAGCCAUUUGGAAAUUUGGCUGUGGAGUUUGUUAAUUGUUCAAUAAAUGAGCAGAAGACAGCUUCUGCUCCUUGCUGUGCUCCACUUGAAGUUGAUUGAAUGCUAGCAUAUAGGUAAAUGGGCCAUAGGCAUUGUGGAUUUUUUUGAUAUUAUCCCUCUCAAAGAUCUGAACCUGUGGUUCUAGUUCGAGGGCUUUUUCCAUAUGGAUAUUUAUAUGGGAUCCUUUUGUUUUGUCCCUUCCCUUUUCUCACAAAUUUAAUGAUAUCUUCCUUCACGCAAAACUAUUACAAAAGGCUUGUCAAAGUAUACUUUUUCCAAGUAAUGUGUAUUUGGACAAGCUUUUUGUACUAACCAUUGAGCCUAAACAUGUUCAAGGUUUGUCUCUUGUACCAUGUAAUUUUAAUAUUGCGUUUGAUAUGAGAUUAAAAAUUAUAAGGAAAAUGUUUAGGUGACAAAAUAAAAAAAUGAAGUGGAAAGAACUAAAAUCAGUUAAAAAGAUGAAGUGUUUAAAUAUGUUUGAUAAGAAUCCAAAAGAAUUUGGAUAAUGAUGAGACUUGUAAUAAAUUAAUUAGAUUUAUAAAUUAUAUUAAUGGAUAGCACACACCUUAAUAGAUUAUGAAUUUAAAUAUAAUAAAUGAUGAAAGAUGCGAUACAUACAUAAAUAAGUAAUAAAUUAAAUAAAUAAUUAAAUAUGAAGUGAGAAUCGCUUCAUUUCAAAGAAGGGGUAAGGUUGCUCUUUCAUGCUUGGAGGGUGACAUUUAAUCCUAUUUAUAUUGAAACGUUACAUCUUCAAUAUUUCUCCCCCUCUAUAAUUUGCAUCGAACAUGAAGAGGAAGAGGGUGAAAAAUUCAUAGAUAAAAAAGGUGACAUUUUAUUUUAUUUUUUUCCAACCUAAAAACAAAAUUUUAAAAAUAAUUUGACCGGGUGGCUAUUUUUUUUAUUUUACUAAAAUAAUAUUAUUUUGAUUUAUAAAUAAAAUCAAAGUUGAUCUAGGUAAUUCAAUAACCUAAUCAAAACUCGAUUCCGAAUCAACAACCAGAACAGAUUUAAAAACAAUGAUUUUACCUCGUGAGAUACGAAGUGGAGUUGACAUUGGAACAACACUUAAGUGGCAGAUUCCGUAGUGCUGGAUUUCUGUUAUUAAUUUUUUUUUCAGUUAAUCGGGUGUAACUUCUAUGAAAAGAAGUCAAUGUAUGUAACAGUUAAUUAACAGAUGCGAGGAGUUAAUUAACAGAUGCGAGGAGUUCAUUGUUGCCCUCCUCAUAAAGCAUGUUUACUUGAACUUUUUUUUUUAUUUGCUUUUUAAAAAAAAAAAAAAUUGAUUCCCUUCUUCAAUGGAUUUACUUAUUAUAGUUUUAUAAUUCAAAUCACUAAUUUUAUCCUUUAAUAUUUAAUCAAUUUAAAAUUAAAUUUCAUAAUUGUUUUUAGCUUACUUUUUAUUAAAUUAUCUUAGUGUCAUCAUCUGGAUCAUGGGUUUGAUGAGUUAACCUAAGUUAAUUUAAGUUAUUUUUUUAUAUUUUUUGUUUAAUUAUAUAUAUUUUUUAAUUUUAUUCUUUAAUAUAAAAUUGAUUAGAAAUUAAACUUUAUAAUUUGUUUUGAUUUACUUUUUGUGCAGUUAUCUUAAUCAUAUGAUCAAAGUUGCAUGUUUCGCAGGUUUGCCAAAGUUGAUUCAAGUUGUUUUUUUGUUGGAUUUUUUUUUAGUUCAUCUUUCAAACAUUGUGUUGAUUGAGAAUUGAAUUUCAUAAUUUAUUUAAAAUUGUUUUUUAUGGGGUUAUCUUGGUAUCAUGAUCCAAUAUGUUUUUAUCUUAAUACUUUACAAAAAAAAUAUUGUUUUAAAAUUGUUUUAGUCAAAUUAUAUUUUUAACAGUUAUCCAAGUUAUUUUUGGAUCCGUCAAGUUGAUAGAGUCAUAUUAAAUCAACUCUCACACAAUUUAAAUAAUUUUUUCUACUAGAAAACAUAUCAGCAAUACUUAAAUUUUUUUUAUGUUAAAAAAAAUUAUUUGACCUGUAUCAUGAUGGGGUCAAUGCUAACUAUAAAACCUUGUUUUUAUAUUAGCAAGUCAAUAUUAAGUAGUAGAGAGAAAUAAAACAAAAACAAUAAAGAAAUUAAGAACAACUAACAUAUGUAAAUUUCUUUAAAUACUAUUUUCUUAAAAAAAAAAUGAAAACCAUGAUGUUUUUCAAAAAAAAUUCAGACCGAGUUUUGAUUGAUGAGAUCAACUCAAACUAAACUUAUUUUCAAAGUUGAAUCCCAACCAAACCUCCUCCUCCUCCUUUUUUUUUUUUUGAUUUACGUGGGUGUCCAGGCCAGCUUGCGCGCACCACGACUAAUCUCACGGCCCACUGAACAUCCUGCAAACCCAGUGAACAUGUAAGGCACCGCGGGGAUGACAGGCGUAUACGCUGAAGCUUGAACCCAGGAUGCAGAGGCAAGGAAGCCCUUGCCACCGCUACAAGCCUCGGUGUACCAAACCUCCUUCUUGGUAAGGAAAUCAAAGGACGUUCUAGUAAGAGCAAUAAAUUGAAUCUAUUAGAACAUAGACUUGCUGCAAAUGUAAGGAUAUUAUCUACUCUUGAAAAAAAUAACAAUUUUGGAAAUUAAUAUUGCCGUGUUUCCAACAUUCUUGUAUAGUCAACAAAGGGAUCUGAUUGUAUGGAAAUAUUUGCAAUUGAAUAAUUCAACCAUAUUCAGAACCGCUUACUGGAUAACAUAUCAGAUGAAGAAUGGUUUUCCCUUGUUGAUGCUGGAAAAGAAAGAUCUUUUAGGCCUACACUAACUUGUUAAUCUUGAGGGCAAGAACCUUGAAACUCCAAUCUUUGACAGUUUUAGGAGGCUGCUCUGUUUUCCGGUAAUGGUUCAGUAAUGUUUUUACUAAAUAUUUUCUUUAAUUUCCGGUACGCUGCUCUGAAAUUCCUUCAAGUCUAACUUUUAAAAUAAUUUUGAGGGGUUCUACACAAGGUUGUUAAAAUCACGAUUUUAGAACGAAACGGAAAGCCGUUCACAAAAUCGGAUCGUAAAAACGGAUCGUAAAAUCGUAAGGAAUUUUAAAAUACAUUAAAAAAAAUUCAUGUUUCAAAUAAAAAUUCAUACAUAGUUCAAGCACAUUAAAAAACAUGUUUCAAAUAAAACUUCAUACAUAUUUUAAGCCUUCAAAUAAAAAUUCAUAUAUAGUUCAAGCAUCUUAAAAUACACCAAAUAUUUAUGACAUUAUCUAACUUAAUAAAUUAAUAAAUUAUUUUCUAACUUAUUUUUUAUGACAUUAUCAAAUAUUUAAAAAUAUUUUUCAAUUUAUAUGUUAUAAUAUCACCAAAUAUUAAAAAGUAAUUUGCCUUUCAUAAAUCCAUUUUCUAUGAAAAUCAUUUUCCACUACUUUUAUGAAGCAGUUUAGUACUUCUUCUUGCUUACGUGCUCUUACGCUAUUUUGCUGAACAUCACAUCCAAUCAUGUUUUUCAGGUCUGUGAUAGGCUAUUCAGUAAAUUGCAGGAAGCAAUGAUGAGGUAGCCUGACAGGUGGAAGACCGAAGCAAACGUGAAUGGGAUGGGAUCAUUAAAUUAACUUAAUCUGAAGAUCGAAGCGAAGACCAAAGACUGAAGAGUCACGUGAAUGGGAAAAGAAAAUUCCAAUAGGCGUUUGACAGGUGGCCAUUGGGGGAACUUUCAGUGCAGCAAUUCUAUUGAAAUCGUAUAAUCGGUACUGAUAUCGCGAUUUUACGCGAUUUCAUCAGAUUUUUGCGAUUUUACCCGAUUUCAACCCAAUUUUACCCAUUUUCGAUUUUUUCAACCGAUUCAACCCGUAAUGCAUGUUUUGACAACCUUGGUUCUACACUCAAACAAUUCUAGGCAAAAUUAUCUGUGUUUUGAAAAUUCUUGAAAUUAUUUUUAGCUUUUGAUUUUUUGAUUUUAAUUUUUAGAUUGUUUUGAUGUGUUGGUGUUAAAAAUAAUUUUUUUUAAAAAAAAAUUUAUUUGAUAUAUUUUUAAACAAAAAUAUUUUAAAAACAACUUUUAUUAUAUUUUUAAAGAGAUAAGUAUUCAACUAAGGGAACUAUUUGGUAGUCUUAUGUCUCCGCUAAGGAUGCUUCACCCUCCCAAACAUUCUUGGGAUGUUUGAAAGUAUUCUAGCGGUUAUUUUUUAAAAUACUUUUUAUUUUAAAAUACAUUAAAAUAAUAUUUUUUUAUUUUUUUAUAAAAAUUAUUUUUGAUAUCAGCACAUUAAAAUGAUCUAAAAACAUAAAAAAAAAAUAAAACAAAUAAAAAAAUAAAAAAUAUGUAAAAUUUUUAAAAAAACAAUUCUAAAACACAGUAUUUCUCCCGGUAGUAAAAAAGAUCAAACACACAAUAAUGACUUUCUUUUCCUCAUGCACCCAUUCCUAGGAUUGGUUUGUCUAUAUGCCUUUGAAAAAUAAUUAAACUGCUAUGCGUUACCGAGCGCACGCAAAGAGUACGAUACAUAAGUGCAAAGUCAUUAGUGCCCCCAUUGCUUUGCGUAAUUAUUUCUUUGCCAAUAAACAACAAUUUAGUUUGCGCUAUUUGAAGUCAAUUUGAUAGGAACCUUACAUAUUUCCAUGGUUUUAUCUUACUUUAUUUUUUUAAUUAUUAAAUCCAAAAAAAUAUUUUUCAAUUAAAAAUACAUUAAAACAAUAUAUUUUUUUUAAAAAUCACAUCAACAUAUUAUAAGCAUUAAAAAUCAUAUAAAAAACAUCAAUGUAAUGCUUUUACCGUUACCGCUAGACAAGCUAAAAAAAUAGUUUUAAUUAGAAUUAUAGGCCUUGUGCUAUGCUAUAAGGCUUUAUUUGUUUAUUUAUAUUAUUUUUAAUAUAAAAGGAUAUAUUAUUGUGCAAAUGACAUUGUCCAUAAGUGUAUAAAAAUCUUCAUAAAUAUUUGGCACAAUCUUAUAUUUGAUAAAUUUCAAAACAUUGAUAAUUUAUAUUUGAAAAAUCAACUUUUUGAUGACAACAUCAUGAUUAUCUUGUUCAAUAAUUGGGAUUAAUUCAUAAGUAACAUCUUUCUAUAUCUUUAGGAGUAUAAAAGUCUUCUAAAGACCUAUUAUAUCUCCAUCACUAUUAAUAUUUUAUAACAGAUAUUUAUCUCUCAUUAAUAUUGUGCAAUUUGUUUUUCGCAUAAUGUUGCAUAAGAUAUGUUUAUCUUUUAUUAUUGCUAUAAGAAGGAAAUGACUCUUCAUGCCUUUAACUUUAGCAAAAUAACAAGGUUCAGGGGUUAUAAAUACUCAUUACACUAUCUAGGUAAAGGGUUUACAAUCUUCAUUUUUUACUACAUACAUAUUUUUUAAUUAUUUGUUUACAUAAUCUAAUAGUUAAAUUAUUUUUUAUUUAAAAUAGAAAAAGGACAAAGGAAAAAUCAAAGUAUAUAAAUUGAAAGAUUGAUAAGCAAGAACAGUAUUUAAAAAAAAACAAAUUACUGAAAUAAGCAUGAUCAAAAUUUGUCAAAAAUCUAUUUAAUUACUUUUAAUACUAAAAAGAUUAGUUAAUUUAAGAAAAAUUAGCAACCCCUUAAACACUAUUUAAUCCGUUUAGGAAAUCAUUAUUGUCGUGUUUCUAUUCUUAGAGCAUGCUAGUAUGGUGGAUGUUGUUUUUUAAAAUGUUUUUUUAUUUGAAAAUAUAUCAAAAUAGUAUUUUUGUGUUUUUUUAAUUAAUUUUUUACAAGAAACCAAUAUUCUCAUUAUUUUAAAUUGUUUUGAUGUGUUGAUGUAAAUAAUAUACAGUUAAUGCCGGACGAGCCAUAAAGAAAGUUCUAAUUAGCUCAUAGACUUGCUGCACAUCACUCAGAUAGACUUGAUCUCAACAAAAAAUGUUAAAGGAAAUAUUCGCAAUUGAAUAAUUCAACCCUCAGUUCCACAUUCAGCACCACAUGAAGAGUCGACACUAUCUAUACAUCCAAGUUCCGAUCGAAGACUUGGAGGUAAAGGACAGACCAAAUGAAGAGUAGUUCUCCCUUGUUGAUGCUGAAAGAGAAAGACCUUUUAGGACGACCAAUCCCACAGCAUCUAACUGAGUGCAAGAACCUUCAAACUCCAUUAAUUCUCCAUUGUUUGUCUGUACUUUUCCAGUAACGGUUCAACAAAGGUAUUGCCAGAACGUGUCGUCUUACCUUCGGUGAAAACUGAUCCAGGAAGUGUAAUUAAUGUGAAUGAGAUUGCAAUAGUAUAAGAAGGCAUAUUGUGAUAAAAUUAUAAGAAGGUGCUGAUUGGAAAAUGAAAUUAAAACAUGGCGAUGAAUUCACGUGAAUGAGAUUAUAAUAGUAUAAGAAGGCUUAUUGUGACAACACAAAAAAACAAAAUGAAGGUAGAUGUUGCAGGUAACCGCAGAUUUAUCCAGCAAAAAUCUGUACAAAGAGUUGCAUUAUUGUCUUUUGUUGGCAUGGAGUCUUAUAGAAGACGAGGACGAGUGGUAGAAGUCCCCAGCAACGUACACUUCCCAUAAGACGAGCUGCAGAGGAAGAGCACAAACUGUAUCUAUUAGCACAUGUUCAUUGCUAUUUUCUGGGAAACAUAUAAAUUGUUUAACCCUUCAAGUAAACAGUCCCCUGUUCUGGUUAAUAAUAGCAAUAAUAAUCUAUCAGUAUAUGCGAAGGGGGUAGAUGUCCCCGAGAACAGCUGCCAUCAGACGAGCUGCAAAGGAAGUUCUAAUAAGAGCAUGAACUGUAUCUGUUAGCACAAAGAGUAGCUGCAAAUGUCAAUUUUGGAAGUUAGUACUGCCGUGUUUCCAACGCUCACUCUUGUGUGGAAUUAUUUGCAAGUGAACCUUCAGUUCCAUGAAGAGUGGACAGUAUCUAUACAUCCAAGUUCCGAAGGCUUGGAGGUCAAGGACAGAUCACAAAAUGCAGAUUCGUUCUCCCUUGUUGAUGCUGAAAUUAAGAGAAAGACCUUUUAGGACGACCAAUCCCACAGCAUCUUGAGGGAAAGAACCUUCAAACUCCAUUAAUUCUCCAUUUUUUGUCAGUUUUAUAGUAACUGUUCAAUAAAGCUAUUGCCAGAACGUGUUGACUGGAGACUGGAUUGAAGUGGACAUAAGAAGGUGAGGAUGACUCUUUAACUCUGCAUGCCCCCUUGCUUCAGCUGUGAGUAAACUACGAUCGUAAAUUGUUAACAAGUUUUCUUCGAUGUUUUCUUGGAAAUUAUAUUUUAGUGGGCAAAGCAAUCUUCGCAUAAAUCUCAUUGCUAAAUACAAUUUGGAAAAACAUCUCUGCUAUACAUUCAAAUUAACCUGUCACGAUUUUUAAUAUUUUUUGUAUCUUGCUAUAAAUAUGAUGUAAAUCAAUACUGUGGUGUUCCCAUUCCUAGUCUCGUAAUUAUUACUUCGCCCUUAUUUUAUUUUUUCAUUUUUUCAUUUUCGGAUCCAACAGUAACUUGGGAAUAUCAAAGGUUGACAUUUCAUCUAUAUGGAGAGAAUAUAUAUAACUAAAUUAAAGUAGAAAGUCCUUCUUCCAUUUAUAUGGAAAAAUAAGACCACAAUCAUCAACUCUAUAUAAUAUCAUACCUAUCUGGCAUUGAAAUAUAAGGUUUGAUCCUGCUACGCUCCUUUUAAUAGAGGAUGUUCAGUUUUCUCAUACCAGAACUGAUAGUAAUUAGUGGCUGUUAUUGCCAAUGCUGAAGUGCUUGCAUGGAAUCAAAACUAAUGCACUUUUCUAAUCACAAAUCUUGUAAACUUAUCAAACAUUCUCAAAAGAGAUAACAUAGAGUAUUUCAAUAAAUACUAUUUCAAUAUUCUCAAAGUAAUAUUAUUUCAAUAAAUUUGAAUUAUCAAAAUAGAAUACUCCAUGUUAUAUUAAAGAUAAAGGAUAACAUAGAGUAUUAACAAAACUUAUAAUAUUUUGAUGUAAGAUUAACAUGAAUAGAAUUCCACUUUGCAUAUAUUGAGUCUUUAGUAAUUAAUAAAUAAAGAUUUGGUGAUUUUUAGCCAUAACAAUGUCAAACAAAGAAUACUGAAAACUGAAUCAGCUGCUCUACUUUAGUGGAGAAUGGUGAGGUCAAAGGCAGUACAGUGAUGCUAUUAAAAUGCCAUAACCACUUAUUCCAGUAAAAAGAACCUAUGGAUAAUUUACUUUCAUAAGAGAUCAUAAUUUAUAAGAUCCUAUGCUGAUUCUCUAACUUCAUAGUCUAUAUAUAUCCAGGUUUUCCAUAAAUUAAUUAAUAUUGCCGCGUUUCCAACACUCACUCACUCUUGUAUUUGAAAUUUGGUACUGAAAGAUUGUUAGCGUCCGCAUCUUUUGAAAAAGAUUUAUCAAUAAAUGGAUGUAUCUAACCUCCAUGAUUGCUCCAAAAUUAAUACAAAGAGGUAGCCAGCCAUGGCAAGCAAACGCCAACUAAUUAGGAAAGCCAAAUAGAUCAUUGUAUUUGUUGAUCAUGUUCUAUCCUAAUUAAAUUAAAAAAGUCAAUAGCGAACUUGAACUUAACCUAAGAACUAAAAACAGAUAAAAUCAAACUAAACUUUCCAUUAAUUUCAUAUGAAAAUAAUUAAAGAUUUAAACUACACGAAUCAUUUUGAUCAUUUCACAAUCUCAUUCAUCGGAGUAAGAUCCAUUAGAUAAGCAAGCUAUGGUGCCCUGUUUUUUAAAAUUAAUAGAGCAUCCAACAAAAUCUUGCUGCUAAUAAAUAUGUUCAAUAAGGACAAAUUAGGAAUGUUCAAUCUUAGUUAAGAAUGUUCACAAAGUACUACCUAUCUUAGUUAAGAAUGUUCACAAAGUCCAGGCCAAAUGCCAAAAACAUGGCCGUAACAUGCUGAACAAAGAGGUUAGCAAAUAAGCAGAAAGAAAAAGGAUACUUCAAUGGCUGUCUGAUUCAGAGAGAGAGAGAGAGAGAUGACAUAGGUGGUCAACUCUUGCUUGCCAUGCUUUGAUUCAGGCAGAACCUAUGUGAAAUACUAUUACUUUCACACAGUUGGACUGAACUAGUCCAAGCCAAAUGCCAAAUGCCAAAAUCAUGGCCGUAACAUGCUGAACACAGGUUAGUAAAUAAGCAGAAAGAAAAAGGAUACUUCAAUGGGUUCCUGCUAUAGCAAUCUUUAACUUCCCAACAGCUUUCAGAGGGGCAAGCUGUUGGAUGCAGUUCUAAAACCACAAGUCCAAACAAACCGAAAGAAAAAGGAUACUUAGAUCUGUUUGCAGUCUUUGGACAAGUAGAUGCAGAUUACAAUGUUAACUUAGCCAUAAAAAUGUCAAACCAAGAAUACUGAGUGGAGAAUGGUGAGGUUGGCAGAUAUUUUUCAAAAAGGUUUCUCAAGCUAUUAAUUAUAAACAAGUUAUUCUGAAAGAGUAGUCAUACCAUGAAGGAGCAUGUCUAAACAUUCAAAGUUAUAAACAUAUUUAUUCAAGUUUGGUUUCGAGCAUAAACUUCGUUCUUCGUUUCCACUUUCAAGCACCCCAACACGAUUCCUUAGCAUCCCAAAAGAGACAGCAACGAUCUUUUUAUUUUAUCCAUUUAGCCCCUAAAGCAAGAUUUUUAUUAAUAUUAUUAUUGUUGUUGUUGUUUUGGUUUACAAAGAUAAAUUUUAAUUAAUUUUCUUUUGAGAAAACUACAAAAUACCUGCGUCCUAUUACAUUAUUGACAAUGUGCAUCACUUAACUUUUUCAAUGUCAUCCUUUUAUUCACUCUGUGUCAAAAAUAAUUGAUAUAAUCUUCAAAUAACUAAUUAUAUGAUACACUUGUUUUUUUCAAGUAAUGAAGGGAAAAAUCCAACACUCUAACAUCUAAAAAAUGGCAAAUUUGAUAUUAGAGCGAACUAAUUUUAGUGAAACAGAUGUAGGACAUAUGAAUUAUUUAGAAAUAAUUCAUUGUAAUUUUUUAAUUUAUGAGUCAGGAUAUCUUCUAAUAAGCUUUCAAAAAUAAAGGUUAACUUCUAGACGUAUGCAACCCAUUGUGGUACAACUUAUACAAAUGUCAAUUUUGGAAAUUAGUACUGCCGUGUUUCCAACGCUCACUCUUGUGUGGAAUUAUUUGCAAGUGAAUCUUCAAUUCCAUGAAGAGUGGACAGUACCUAUACAUCCAAGCUCCAUGAAGAGUGGGAGGUCAAGGACAGAUCACAAAAUGCAGACUUGUUCUCCCUUGUUGAUGCUGAAAUUAAGAGAAAGACCUUUUAGGAGGACCAAUCCCAGAGUAUCUCGAGGGCAAGAACCUUCAAACUCCAUUAAUUCUCCAUUGUUUGUCAGUUUUAUAGUAACUGUUCAAUAAAGCUAUUGCCAGAACGUGUUGACUGUAGACUGGAUUGAAGUGGACAUAAGAAGGUGAGGAUGAGUACUCUUUAACUCUGCAUGCCCACUCGCUUAAGCUGUGAGUACAGUACGAUCGUAAAUUAUUAAGAAGUUUUCUUCCUAUAUAUUGAGGACGUUGUGGAUUGAAUUUCAUGGAAAUUAUUUUUUAAAUUAUUUUUUAUUUAAAAUAGAAAAGGGAAAAAUCAAAGUAUAUCAAUUGAAGGAAUGGAAAGAAUUUUUUUAAUCCAUUUAGGAAAUCAAUAAUGUCUGUUAGUAUUGUUAGAGCAUGCUAGUAUGGUGGUUAUUGUUUUUUAAAAUGUUUUUUUUUAAAUGUAUCAAAAUAGUAUUUUAUAUAUUUUUAAUUCAUUUUUGACAAGAAACCAAUAUUUUCAUGUUUUUACAUCGUUUUGAUAUAUUGAUAUAAAUAACAUACCGUUAAUGCCGGGCGAGCUACAAAAAUAUUUUUAAUUAGCGCAUAGACUUGCUGCACAUCACUCAAAUAGACUUGAUCUCAACAAAAAAAUGUUAAAGGAAAUAUUCGCAAUUGAAUAAUUCAACCCUCAGUUCCACAUUCAGCACCACAUGAAUACUCUUCUGGACCAGUGCCUAUUGCUUUCUCUUGUUUAGUCAUCAACAAAUUAAGGGAGCUCUCCUUGCGAGGAAAUAUUCGCAAUUGAAUAAUUCAACCCUCAGUUCCCCAAUUCAGCACCUCAUGAAGAGUCGACAUUAUCUAUACAUCCAAGUUCCGAUCGAAGACUUGGAGGUAAAGGACAGACCAAAUGAAGAGUGGUUCUCCUUUGUUGAUGCUGAAUGAGAAAGACCUUUUAGGACGACCAAUCCCACAGCAUCUAAUUGAGGGCAAGAACCUUCAAACUCCAUUAAUUCUCCAUUGUUUGUCUGUACUUUUCUAGUAACGGUUCAACAAAGGUAUUGCCAGAACGUGUCGUCUUACCUUCGGUGAAAACUGAUCCAGGAAGUGUAAUUAAUGUGAAUGAGAUUGCAAUAGUAUAAGAAGGCAUAUUGUGAUAAAAUUAUAAGAAGGUGCUGAUUGGAAAAUGAAAUUAAAACAUGGCGAUGAAUUCACGUGAAUGAGAUUAUAAUAGUAUAAGAAGGCAUAUUGUGACAACACAAAAAAACAAAAUGAAGGUAGAUGUUGCAGGUAACCGCAGAUUUAUCCAGCAAAAAUCUGUACAAAGAGUUGCAUUAUUGUCUUUUGUUGGCAUGGAGUCUUAUAGAAGACGAGGACGAGUGGUAGAAGUCCCCAGCAACGUACACUUCCCAUAAGACGAGCUGCAGAGGAAGAGCACAAACUGUAUCUAUUAGCACAUGUUCAUUGCUAUUUUCUGGGAAACAUAUAAAUUGUUUAACCCUUCAAGUAAACAGUCCCCUGUUCUUGUUAAUAAUAGCAAUAAUAAUCUAUCAGUAUAUGCGAAGGGGGUAGAUGUCCCCGAGAACAGCUGCCAUCAGACGAGCUGCAAAGGAAGUUCUAAUGAGAGCAUGAACUGUAUCUGUUAGCACAAAGAGUAGCUGCAAAUGUCAAUUUUGGAAAUUAGUACUGCCGUGUUUCCAACGCUCACUCUUGUGUGGAAUUAUUUGCAAGUGUUAACCUUCAGUUCCAUGAAGAGUGGACAGUAUUUAUACAUCCAAGUUCCGAAGGCUUGGAGGUCAAGGACAGAUCACAAAAUGCAGAUUCGUUCUCCCUUGUUGAUGCUGAAAUUAAGAGAAAGACCUUUUAGGACGACGACCAAUCCCACAGCAUCUUGAGGGCAAGAACCUUCAAACUCCAUUAAUUCUCCAUUGAUUGUCAGUUUUAUAGUAAUUGUUCAAUAAAGCUAUUGCCAGAACGUGUUGACUGGAGACUGAAUUGAAGUGGACAUAAGAAGGUGAGGAUGACUCUUUAACUCUGCAUGCCCCCUUCCUUAAGCUGUGAGUAAACUACGAUAGUAAAUUAUUAAGAAGUUUUCUUCCGAUUUUGUGGCUUGAAUUUCUUGGAAAUUAUAUUUUAGUGAGCAUAGCAAUCUUCGCAUAAAUCUUAUUGCUAAAUACAAUUUGGAAAAACAUCUCUGAACAUUCAAAUUAAGCUGUCACGAUUUUUUUUUUUUUUUUUAUCUUACUAUAAAUAUUUCACAAUUAACUACCUUAUUUAUCAGCACUUGUGUUAGUGAGUUAAGGGACUUCUCCUCGUGUGGAAAUAUUCGCUGAAUAAAUUAUUGGUUACUUAAUCUUGUUGUACAGCGGCGGAUUGGACAUAAGAAGGUGAAGAUGACUUUGUUUAUCAUUUUCUUUUUCAAUUAUGUACACAUAAUCCCAUAGUUUAAAUUAUUUAUUAUUUAGAAUAGAAAAAGGAAAAAUCAAAGUAUAUCAAUUGAAGAAAUGAUAACCAAGAAAAGUAUUUAAAAAAAACAAAAUAUUACUAAUCAAGAUUUGUCAAAUAACUAUUUAGUUAUUUUAAUACUAAAAGGAUUCAUUAAUUUAAGAAAUAUUAGCAACCUCUAAAACACUAUUUAAUCCAUUUAGAAUAUCAAUAUUGAUUUUUUAUAUAUAUUUUUUAUAAUUUUAAUGAAUUAAUAUUAAAAAUUAAAAAUAAAAUUUAAAAAAUAUCAUAUUAAUAUAUUUUCAAUUAAAAAACAUCUUUAUAAAAUAAUUAAACUGCUGGACAUUACCAGGCGGGCGCUCAUUAGUGCCCCGAUUGCUAAGCGUAAUUAUUACUUUGCCAAGUAAAAACAAUUUAGUGUGCGCAAUUUGAAGUCAAUUUGAUAGAACCUUACAUAUUUCCAUGGUUUCUACUCUUACUUUAUUCUUUUAAAAUAAAAUUUCAAUUUCAUUUUUUAAUGAGUUUGGUUAUUCUAGUUUUAUAAUUCAAAUAGCUAGUUUUAUUUUUUAAUAUUUAAUUGAUUUGAAAUUAGAUUUUAUAAUUUUUUUCAGCUUGCUUUUUAUUAAAUUAUCGUAAUUUCAUUAUCUGGAUCAUGGCUUUGGCGAGUUAACCUGGGUUAACUCGAGUUAUUUUUUUGUGUCUUUUGUUUAAUUGAUUUUUUUUUCAAUUUUAUUCUUUAACAUAAGAUUAAUUAAGAAUUGAGCUUUAAAUUAUUUUUUUUUAUUUACUUUUUAUGGAGUAAUCCUGUUUACAUGACUCAAGUUGCGAGUUUAGCAGGUUAGAUCAAGUUGACCGAAGUUGCUUGUUUUUUUUAAUUGGUUUUUGUUUUUCAAUUUCAAUAUUGUGUUGAAUGAGAAUUGAAUUUCAUAAUUUAUUUUGAUUUGUUUUCUAUAAGGUUAUUCUGGUAUCAUAAUUCAAUAUGUUUUUGUUUCAAUAUUUGACAAAAAAAAUAUAUUAUCUUGAAAUUUUUUUAAUUAAACUGUGUUUUUAACAGUUGUUCAAAUUAUAUUUGGACCCGUCAAGUUGACAGAAUUAUAUCAAAUUAAUUCUCACAUAAUUUGAAUAUUUGUUUUCUACUAGAAAACAUAUUAUCAACACUUAAAUAUUUUUUAUGUUUAAAAAAUUGAUUUGACCCGCAACAUGACGCGGGUCAAUGAUAUAAUAUUAACUAUAAAACCCUCCUUUUAUAUUAGCAGGUCAAUAUUAAUUAGUAGACAGAACUAAAACAAAAACAAUAAAGAAAUUAAGAACAACUAACAUAUGUAAAUUUCUUUAAAUACUAGUUUCUUAAAACAAAAAAUGAAAACCAUGAUGUUUUGGGAAAAAAAAAAUUUAACCGAGUUUUAAUUGAUUAGAUCAAUUCAAACUCAACUUAUUUUGAAAGUUGAAACCCAACCCAUCCUCCUUCUUGGUAAAGAAAUUAAUCAAAGGAAGUUCUAAUAAGAACAAAAAUUAAAUCUAUUAGCACAUAGACUUGCUGCAAAUGUAAGGAUAUUAUCUACUCUUGAAAAAAAAUGUCAAUUUUGGAAAUUAAUAUUGCCGUGUUUCCAACAUUCUUGUAUAGUCAGCAAUAUGCAAUUAAUUUCGCAAGAAAGUGUUUCCAAACAAUUGUAUGGAAAUAUUUGCAAUUGAAUAAUUCAACCUUCAGUUUCAUAAAAGCAAGCUUCGCAGAAAUUUUAUUGCUAAAUACGACAUAGAAAAACAUCUCUAACUAAGUUGUUAGUGCUCAAGAAAUUUCAUUUCUCGCAUAAUUUUUUGUUUAUAUAAAAUGAUUUUGGGGUCAAGAAAAAGGACAUAUCAAGUUGUUAGGACUCAAGGUUGUUUUUUUUUGUAAGUUUAUUAAUUUUCAUAAUAUUUUUUUAUUUAUAUUUUUAAAUUAUUAAACUCAUAAAGUAAUCCUUGAGUCUUGAAUUUUUUUUGUUUUUUAGAAAUGGUUUUAUCAACUUAACAUUUUUUUUAUAUUGAAAUAAAUGUAGGACAACUUACAGCGUAGUGCACCUAUAUAGUAUUAUCUACAGUCAUAAAAUGUCAAUUCUGGAAAUUAAUUUUGCCGUGUUUUCAACACUCUGGUAUAGUCAACUAAGGGACCACUUACUGGAUAACAUAUCCAGGUUCUGAAGACUUGGAGCUCAAGGACAAAAAGGACAGACCAAACUGACAAAGAUUGGUUUUUCCUUGUUGAUCCUGAAAUUUUUUAUUUAUUAAAUUUGAUUUUUAUUUUUUUAAUUAUUAUUUAUUUUAUUUGAAAUAAUUUAUGAAAUAUUAAUUAUUAUUAUUUUAAUUUCUUCAUUUUUUAUUUUUUUAGAUUUAUUUUUAUUAUUUUGAAUAUUAUUUAUUUUAUUUAAAAUUAUAUUUUUUUCAUAUACAAUAUAUCCUGAACUUUCGUUUUCCUUGUUGAUGGUCAAGGCAAGCUUCGCAGAAAUUUCAUUGCUAAAUACAGUAUAGAAAAACAUCUCUGCACUAAGUUGUUAGUGCUCAAGAAAUUUCAUUUCUUACACAAUUUUUUUUAUAUAUAAAAUGACUUUGGGGUCAAGAAAAAGGACAGACCAAGUUGUUAUUACUCAAGGUUGUUUGUUUUUUUUACUACAGAAAUUGAAUGAACAGAAGAAUCUAAGACUGGUUUGUCUAUAAAUACUACUAAUAGUGCCUUUCUUUAUUUCUCAUCUCUCCCCAAUCGUUCAGAAUUCCAAAUAUACUUUGAAUCCUGCAAAGCCAACAUGAAGUUUUCAUUAUCCCUCACUCAAUUUCUCUGUUCCAUUUUGUUUCUCUUCCAUUUUCAUACAACAAUUUCAUCAUCAUUCUCCUCAAAUCACUCCUCUUCUUCUUCUUCUCAUUUGUGUGCUCAUCACCAAAGUCUUUCUCUCCUUCAAUUCAAACAAUCCUUUCCCAUGCAUAGUUCUACUUAUUGGGAGCGCUACUAUUGUCAAUAUCCCUUUCCAAAAACAGAGUCAUGGAAAGAAGGUACAGAUUGCUGCUUGUGGGGUGGGGUCACUUGUGAUACGAAAACCGGGCAAGUCACUGGACUGAACCUCUCCUGCAGCAUGCUUUAUGGCACCCUCCAUUCCAAUAAUUCUCUCUUCUCUCUUCAUCAUCUUCAGGAACUCGAUCUCUCUUUGAAUGAUUUCAACAACUCCUAUAUUUCUUCUCGAUUUGGCCAGUUUUCCAAUCUCACACAUCUUAAUCUAAAUUCUUCCAAUUUCGCAGGCCAAGUUCCAUUAGAAGUCUCCCGUCUCUCCAAAUUGAUUUCUCUUGAUCUCUCUGGAAACAACCAUCUAAGUGUAGAACCAGUUUCUUUUGACAAGCUUGUUCGAAACCUAACCAAGCUAAGAGAUCUCGCUUUGAGUUCUGUAAAUAUGUCUUUGGUUGCACCUAAUUCCUUGACGAAUCUGUCCUCUUCUUUGUCAUCUCUUUACCUUGGGGGUUGUGGUUUGCAAGGGAAAAUCCUGGGUAAUAUCUUUCUCCUACCAAACCUUGUGCAGCUUCAUUACUUGGAUCUCAGUUCCAAUAAUUUUAUGGGUCAGAUUCCAGAUUCUUUCGCUAACCUAACCCUGCUCGCAGAUUUAGAUUUAUCAAACAAUCAACUCAAUGGGACGAUACCAUCCUUUUUAUUUGCUCUCCCUUCUUUAUGGAAUUUGGACCUUCAUAAUAAUCAAUUCAUAGGCAAUAUAAGUGAAUUCCAACACAAUUCAUUGCAAUACCUUGAUUUGAGCAAAAACUCCUUGCAUGGUCCAAUCCCAAGUUCAAUUUUCAAUCAAGAGAACUUGGUAGUUCUUAUUCUUGCAUCCAACAGUAAAUUGACAUGGGAGGAUCCUUCUUCAAUUUGCAAGUUAAAAUUCCUUCUAGUCCUGGACCUUUCCAACAAUACUUUGAGUGGUUCUGCACCACAAUGUUUGGGAAACUUCAGCAACAGACUCUUAGUUUUGCAUCUAGGCAUGAACAAUCUCCGAGGCACUAUUCCAUCAACAUUUUCAGAGGGAAGUAACUUGGAAUAUCUCAACCUCAAUGGCAAUGAAUUAGAAGGGAAAAUACCGUUGUCUAUUGUCAAGUGCAUAAUGCUGGAGUUUCUUGAUCUUGGAAACAAUAAGAUUGAGGAUAGAUUCCCCUAUUUCCUAGUAAUGCUUCCAGAGCUAAAGAUUCUUGUUCUAAAAUCCAAUAAACUCCAAGGUUUUAUGAAGGGUCCGAUUACUUUUAAUUCCUUCUCCAAAUUACGUAUUCUUGACAUCUCUGAAAAUAAUUUGAGUGGACCAUUGCCAGAAGAGCUUUUCAAUAGUCUUGAAGGAAUGAUUAGUGUCGAUCUAGAUAAGCGUUACAUGACGGCAAGAAAGUACUCUAGGUACACCUAUUCAAUAAAAAUGACAUGGGAAGGGUUGGAACUUGAGUUUGUGAAAAUCCAGAGUAUCCUCAGAGUACUUGAUUUAUCAAGUAACAGUUUCACCGGUGAGAUUCCAAAACCAAUUGGAAAGCUUAAAGGACUUUAUCAACUUAACCUCUCUCACAAUUUCCUUACAGGCCAUAUCCAAUCAUCAUUAGGGUCUUUAAACAAUCUAGAGUCAUUAGAUAUGUCUUCAAAUAUGCUUACGGGAAGGAUUCCUGUGCAGUUGACAGAUCUACUAUGUCUUGCAUUCUUAAACCUUUCACAAAACAAACUGGAAGGGCCCAUACCUAGGGAGCGUCAGUUCGGCACAUUUGAUCCAAGCUCAUUUCAAGGAAACUUGGGUUUAUGUGGAAUCCCAAUGCCAACAAAAUGCAACAAUGGCGUGGUACCACCAUUACCGCCACCAAACUUUAAUGAAGGAGAUGAUUCAACAUUGCUUGAAGAUGGGUUUGGAUGGAAAGUUGUGGCAAUGGGGUAUGGAUGUGGGUUUGUAUUUGGAGUCACAAUGGGUUAUAUAUAUUGUGUUUAGAACAAGACGACCUGCAUGGUUUCAUAGGAUGGUUGAACGUCAAUGGAAUCUGAAGGCAGGAAGAACAAAGAAGAAUGCUCGCAUAUAUGGUGCAAGAAGAAAUUAAAAAAUGCAUUUGGUAGAUUCAAGUUUUGCAAGCUUUUCAUAUUUUCAGGUUUUAAUUAUUAGCAAAGUUUGUGUGAGACUAUCUUUUCUUUGCUAUUUCAUUUGAUAAUUAAGUCUUAACAUUUCUAAUUCUAUGAGUAUAGAACUAUAAGUAUUCAUGACAAUUGAAGGUUAUAUGUUUUUUUUUUAUUGCAGCACAAUUUCAAUGAAGGUUUUACCUCACGAGGUACCAAGUACAGUUGAUAUUGGAACAACAAUAAAGUGGCAGAUUCAUAGUACUGGAUUUCUGUUGUUCAUUUUUUUUUUUUUUUACUUCUAUGAAAAAAAGUCAAAGAAUGUAAUAGUUAAUGUAUGUUGUAGUUUAUGUUAAACUAUAAAAUCAUGCUUUAUAUUACCAAAUCAAUAUUAAUUAGUAGAGAGAAAUAGAACAAAAACAAUAAAGAAAUUAAGAACAACAAAUAUAGUUAAAUUUCUUUAAAUGUAUAAAAAAUAUUUUAUAAGUGAUAAUACUAGUUUUGAGACACGCCAAAAUGAACUGGUAUAGAAAAUUUUAGUAUCAAAGCGAAGAUUUGGAAUGAAUUUCAGAACGGUAUUGUAAACCUUGAUUUGAAGAAUCUUAUCAUAAAUCUUACUUCACAUUACACUCCUGACCUGGAAAUAACAAAUAUUUCGGUUCUCAAUUCUCUCUCUGUUCAAGCACAUGGAGUCUGAGAGACAAUGGUAGGGGAAAAGGGACCUUAUUCUGCAGUAGCACUUCUCUUAGUCUUCCAAUCUUCCUGGUGAUUUUGCAGGUUUUGUUGCUGAGUUUAAGGCUUUUAGGCCUCUAGAAACUGUGUGUUGUUACUUAUUUUUAAUCCUCACAUUAAAAAAAAUAUAUUCAUAAAAAACCAAAAAAUAAUAGCAAUGGAAGACGAUAUCCAAGUUUAGAGCAAUUGAGGAAUGAAUUAAAUAGUUCAGAAAGAACAAGGAUUGUGCUGUAAAUGGUGCUAAAAUUCAGGGGUCCAAUUACAAAUUAUCUAGGGGCUUGAUUACAAAAUUGCGAAACCCCAAGGACCAAAUCAAAAAUAGCCAUUUGAAUUGAUAAACGGAGCCGUUUCCUGGACAACUGUUCAUUGCCUUCUUCCUCGGCAACUGUUUCGGCAGUAAAGGCAGUGGAGACGUUUCAACAACAAAAGCACUAAAUUGCUUCAAUUAUGGGGCACGUUUCACGGCUGCUAUCCCUCUGUAUGUCGUUACCAAACCAAUUGUUACAACCGCAUGGCAUUCUCUGGCCUUAUAAAAGCCAGAGAAAGGCCACGAUCGAAAGGGGAAAAAAGAGAAGGAAAACACAGAGAACGGGAGGAAGAGAAAAAAAAAAAGAAGAAGGAAAGGAACUGGAAAAUUAAAAAAAAAAAAAGGAAAAAAGUAGAGGAACUAAAAACCAGAGAGAGGAGGAACAAGCAAAGAGAAGAACAGAAAAGAGAGAACAGGACGUACAACACAGAGGGCUGCAACGAGGAUACCAGGAGGAACAAGCACCGAGAAGAACAAAACAGAGAGCACAAAAACACAGAGGAACCAGAGAGGAGAACGACUAGAGAGAAACCAAAAAAAGACAGAGGCAGAAUUGAAGAAAGGAGCGUUAACGACCAACAACCUCACAUCUUCGUCUGUUUCAGUUACCAACGAUUCCGUGUAAAAGUUUCAGCUUUGUCUGUCUCAGUUAAGGUUAAGUUUCAUACAUUCCUCCCACUUUGCAUUUUAAUUACAUUGGUACUGUGCAUCUUCAUUUAUAAUUAACUUCUUCCUGUAGCAAACGUAAGUUUUGCCCAGCCCUCUUCAUUGGCUUGUGCCACUGACCGACUAUACUAGGUCCAGCCCAGUCACAUGGAGCCCAGUCACCUCCAUCCCCGGAAAAGAGAGAAAGAGAGAGAUUGGUGGUUUAUCACAUAUUUAUUUUGCGGUUUGUAUUUAAAAAAAAAUACAAAGUUAAUAUUAAAAUAUUUGGUUUUUUAUAAAUUGUUGCAAAAAUAUAUAUACCUGGAAAAAAAUUAUGCUUUGUUUUCAUGCAUACAACCAAGUUUCUUAAAGAUAAAAAAAAAAUUUAUCAUAAUUUCAUACAGUAUAGAAAAUUAAAAAAAAUAUGUCUUAGUAUGCAUGGUUUUAAUAACAAGUUUGAUCUGAUAGUGAAGAAAGGUAAGCUAUGGCCUAGUGUAGUCUUUGUAGAGAAAAUUAGUGUGAACUGAUUGAUAACAAGGAUACAACGAAGAUGAAGAUGAGUGUGAACUGAUUGAAGGAAUUAAGUGCGGCCAUUUGGAAAUUUGGCUGUGGAGUUCGUUAAUUGUUCAAUAAAUGAGCAGAAGACAGCUUCUGCUCCUUGCUGUGCUCCACUUGAAGUUGAUUGAAUGCUAGCAAAUAGGUAAAUGGGCCAUAGGCGUUGUGGAAAUUAUUAUUUUUUUGAUAUUAUCCCUCUCGAAGAUCUGAACAUGUGGUUCUAGUUCGAGGGCUUUUUCCAUAUGGAUAAUUAUAUGGGAUCCAUUUGUUUUGUCCCUUCCCUUUUCUCACAAAUUUAAUGAUAUCUUACUUCACGCAAAACUAUUACAAAUAGCUUGUCAAAGUAUACUUUUUCCAAGUAAUGUGUACUUGCACAAUCUUUUUGUACUCUAAUCAUUGAGCCUAAACAUGUUUAAGGUUUGUCUCUUGUACCAUGUAAUAUUAAUGAGUUAAAAAGAUGAAGUGUUUAAGAAUUUAGAUAAUGAUGAGACUUGUAAUGAAUUAGAUUUAUAAAUUAUAUUAAUGAAUAUAUACCACGCACCUUAAUAGAUUAUGAAUUUAAAUAUAAUAAACGAUGAAAGAUGAGAUACAUACAUAAAUAAGUAAUAAAUUAAAUAAAUAAUUAAAUAUGAAGUGAGAAUCGCUUCAUUUCAAAGAAGGGUUGGGUUUGUCUUUCAUGCUUGGAGAGUGACAUUUAAUCCCAUUUAUUAGAUAAAAUUAAUAGGUGAGAUUUUUUUUUUCUUCCUUGUACCAGAUAUAACCUAAAAACAAAUUUUGAAAAAUAAUUUUUUUCUUGAAAAUACCAAUCUUAAUUCAUAAUGUACUGCAGUAACUAUCUCUUGAUAAAAAAAACGAAAACUGUGAGGAUAGAGGAAGACACGUCUUCUUAUAUUUUUUAUUUUAAAGAUACAAAAAUUUAUUCUAAAAAUAUCAUAGAAAUGAAUUUAUUUUAUAUAUUUAUUUCUAUUUAUUCAAUCAAACACUUCUUAGAAAGAAAAAAACCAUUGAAGCCACUGCCUAAGUUAGAGAUUGCUGAGGAAACUGAAGUCAGUCUCCAUACACUAAAACUAGUCUCAAAAUACAUUUCUUAGAAAGAAAAAAAACCAUUGAAGCCAAACCACCGCAGUGCCCCAUGUGUUUGACUUGAACCAUGUUGUAAUGGGAAAGUACGACUUAUGUUUUUGGGGUUUUCCAUAAGUUCAUAUUUUUUUUAGAAAAAAUAGAAGAACAAGAGAAAUUGAUCUGUAUUCGGCACUUGACAAUGUGUUUUGUUUGUUUUUGUAGGUACAUAGGAACUAUCCAUACACCAUCAUUUCCAUGUCCAAGCACGCAUGGCAAACAAAACUCUUCAUAUUUUAUAUAUUUCAUGAUAUUAAUAAGAAUAUCAAGAACAACCGACACUGUCUGGAGAGUUUGUGGCUCAGUGGUUGUUGGGGCAGCUCUCCUUCCUUUGAAUUUCGAUUCGAGUCAUAGUAGGAGUGGGGUUGAAGAGUUUGUUUCCUUCCUGUUUUUAUUGGAUCCUUUCUGUGCGGUAUGAUUGUCACCCUCGCGGUGCCUUACCUGCUCACUGGGCUUGCAAGAUAUUCAGUGGACCAUGAGAUUAGUCGUGGUGCGUGUAAGCUGACCCGAACAUCCACGUUAAUAAUAAUAAUAAAAAAACAACCGACACUGCUCGAAAUUGGUUCCUUGUUAUUCUUGUCAAGAUUCUUGUCUACUCUGUUCAAGAUCUAGCAGUAAAUAUAUUAUAGCAACUUGCAUUUCUAUCAAGUUAGGCAAACGUAGGCAGGAUGCAUGUUGUUUCCCUUUCAUGCCCUAGGUAGGUCCAAACUUCUACGUUCUAGACCUAAUUUUAAAUCCAAACCCUUUUCAAAGAGGUUGGCUGAUUUAUACUUUGCAGUACUUGUCAAUUGUAAAUGAUGGGACCUUCGUGCAAGCAAAAGAAUUCCCCUUCCGAAGGAUAGAGAUCUACACCAAACUCAUAAUUGAAAGAUAUUUUAUACAAAUAUUUUAUACAAAUAUUUAUCCCAGUUUCAAAAAAUGGAUUGACCCCUUUUUUGUUUAAAAUGAAAGCAAUUAAAGAAAUGAUUUUUAUAAGCAGAUUUGAUGGAAAUGCAUAAAUAAAUAAAAAAGGACAUGUUUUUUUUUCAAUUAUAUGUAAGUAGGGUAAGAAGAAAAACAGGAAAAUUGUUUAGACAGAAAAAAUCACCAAACCAAGAAAAUAAAUUAGAAAACCAAAAAAAUAAAUUUUCAGAUUCAAUUUAAAGCUUCUGAAAUGAUUAAACCGAAUUAAUUCAAUAAAAAAAGAUUAAAAUAUAUAUUAACCUAACAGGAGUAUAAAUAAAAAAUUAUCUUCUAAAGACUCAAACCCAAAAAUUCAUUAUCUUAGUCACACGCUCCAUUUCCUCUCUUCACCCUUCUCUUUCGAACUCCCCCGCGACUCCAUUCGUAGCCCACCCAUAAAAUUUUUCAUUUUAUUAAAACAUGAAGUUGAUAUUGUUUCUAAUAUAUAAAAAAGAGAAUAAUUUUAGUGUUUAGAUAAGUUUUACAUCCAACAAACUUUUAUGAUUAUAUUUAUAUAUAUUGUUAAGUAUCUACAAUUAUUUUAUUCAUUUUAUAAAUUUAUUUUUUGCUCUUUUUUCUAUAAAAAUUAAUUGGAUUUAGCCAUAAAAAGCCCCAAAAAAACCACUAAAAAACCAAUACAUUUUGUAGAUUUUUCUCUUUAAAAAAACUGAUUGUAUUAUUUAUUACAAUAAUAAAAUUCAUUAUGUUUGGCGCAUUUCUUUCACCAAAUGCUAAAUUUUUUUUUUUUCUACAGAUGGAACAAUCAUGAGCAAAUCCCUACCAUAAGUACAUGAUAAAAAAUAGUGAGUACUUUCUUCACACAUGUCCCCCUUGACAUCGACGGUGCAGAGAAAUGGAAAGUGGGAAGACAACAUGUUUAACAGAAGCACAUGAUCCAGGACGUGCCAUCUGAGUCUCCAGCACUAGCUCUCGUCGACAGAACCACCGACACUGAAGGCCAUAAUAAAAGCCAGAGAGAGGAGGAACAAGCAAAGAGAAGAGCAGAAAAGAGAGAACAGGACGUACAACACAGAGGGCUUCACCGAGGAUACCAGGAGGAACAAGCACCGAGAAGAACAAAACAGAGAACUCAAAAACACAGAGGAACCAGAGAGGAGAACGACUAGAGAGAAACCAAAAAAAGACAGAGGCAGAAUUGAAGAAAGGAGCGUUAACGACCAACAACCUCACAUCUUCGUCUGUUUCAGUUACCAACGAUUGUGCGUAAAAGUUUCAGCACCAUCGUCUUCGUCUGUCUCAGUUACAGGUAAGUUUCAUACAUUCCUCCCACUUUGCAUUUUCAUUACAUAGGUACUAUGCAUCUUGAUUUAUAAUUAACUUCUUCCUGUAUAGGCCUGCUGGGUCCAGCCCUGUUACAUGGACCGAGCUGGACCCAGCUCAAAAAAAUGAGAGAGAUUAGUGCUUUCAUGGUGUAUUCAUUUUGUGGUUUGUAUUUUUUUGUAAAAAUAUAAAUUUGUGGCUAUAUAUAUAUAUAUAUCUGAAAAAUAAAUGUUUUAUUUGCAUACAUAUUACAAAGUUUUUCAAAGAUAAAAUAUAUAUAUAUUAUCAUAAUUUCAUACAACAUAGAAAAUUAAAAAAUAUGUCUUAGCAUGUAUUUGCGGCUUUAAUAACAAGUUUAUUAAAGUCACGAGAACUAAGUCAAUAUUUAAAAAAAAAAUAUUUUGUCUUCCUUUUUAAUAUCUAGGAUUACGAACUUACACGUAAGACGUAUUUCUAAUAUUAAAUAAAAAUUAGUUUUUUUUGCGACGAUUAGAAUGGUUAGAUUUUACCCUGCAAGAUAAAAAUCUUCUCAUUAAAAAAAAGCUUUUCUCGAAUAAUAGACAGACUAAAAAAAAAGCACAGCAAUACCUUAUAAUAUAUUAAACAAUUAAAAAAUACAGCUUAUCUUAGAUAGGGUGUGCUUCGGAUAUUAAUAUAUUCUAUUUACGUAACUAUCUCCCAUACCUGAUCUUUUAGACCAAUUAAUAUUUUCAGUAAUCAAAAUACUAGGUAACGACUUUCAUUAUAUUUAUAUAAAGAUAAAAAAAAAAAAGAAGAAGAAGGAACUCUUAUCUCCCUAUUUUUCCGGGAUACCAACAUAAGAGUGGAUGCUAUCGCCUUGACACCAGACAUGUGUGAUACUGUGCUUGAGAAUAAUCUGCCUCAUAAAGAUCCAUUUGAUCUGAUACUGAAGAAAGGUAAGCUAUUGUAGUAUUUGUAGAAAAAAUUAGGAAGAUGAGUGUGAACUGAUUGAAGGAAGUGCAGCCAUUUGGAAAUUUGGCUGUGGAGUUCGUUAAUUGUUCAAUAAAUGAGCAGAAGACAGCUUCUGCUCCUUGCUGUGCUCCACUUGAAGUUGAUUGAAUGCUAGCAAAUACGUAAAUGGGCCAUAGGCAUUGUGAUUAUAUUAUUUUUUUGAUAUUAUCCCUCUCAAAGAUCUGAACAUGUGGUUCUAGUUCGAGGGCUUUUCCACAUGGAUUAUAUUGGAUCCUUUUGUUUUGUCCCUUCCCUUUUCUCACAAAUUUAAUGAUAUCUUCCUUCACGCAAAACUAUUACAAAAAGCUUGUCAAAGUAUACUUUUUCCAAGUAAUGUGUACUUGGACAAGCUUUUUGUACUAACCAUUGAGCCUAAACAUGUUCAAGGUUUGUCUCUUGUACCAUGUAAUGUUAAUAUUGCGUUUGAUAUGAUAUUAAAAAUUAUAAGGAAAAUGUUGAGGUGACAAAAUAAAAAAUGAAGUGUAAAGAACUAAAAUGAGUUAAAAAGAUGAAGUGUUUAAAUAUGUUUGAUAAGAAUCCAAAAGAAUUUGGGUAAUGAUGAGACUUGUAAUAAAUUAGAUUUAUAAAUUAUAUUAAUGGAUACCACACACCUUAAUAGAUUAUGAAUUUAGAUAUAAUAAAUGAUGAAAGAUGCGAUACAUACAUAUAUAAGUAAUAAAUUAAAUAAAUAAUUAAAUAUGAAGUGAGAAUCGCUUCAUUUCAAAGAAGGGUAAGGUUUCUCUUUCAUGCUUGGAGGGUGACAUUUAAUCCCAUUUAUAUUGAAACGUUACAUCUUCAAUAUAUAUUUCUCCCCCUCUAUAAUUUGCAUCGAACAUGAAGAGGAAGAGGGUGAAAAAUUCAUAGAUAAAAAGGUGACAUUUUAUUUUUUUUUCCAACCUGAAAAAAAAAAUUUAAAAAGAAUUUGACCAGAUGGUUUUUUUUUAUUAAAAUAAUAUCAUUUUGAUUUAUAAAAAAAAUCAGAGUUAAUCUAGAUAAUCUAAUAACCUGAUCAAAAUUCGAUAUUCAAAUCAACAACCAGACCGAAUUUAAAAACAAUAAUUUUACCUCGUGAGAUACGAAGUGGAGUUGACAUUGGAACAACACUUAAGUGGCAGAUUCAUAGUGCUGGAUUUCUGUUAUUCUUCUUCUCUUUUUUUUUCUCAGUUAAUUGGGUGUAACUUCUAUGAAAAGAAGUCAAUGUAUGUAACAGUUAAUUAACAGAUGCGAGGAGUUCAAUGUUGCCCUCCUCAUAAAGCAUGUUUACUUGAACGUUUUUUUAUAUUAGCUUUAAAAAAAAAAAUUGAUUCCAUUCUUCAAUGGGUUUACUUAUUAUAGUUUUAUAAUUCAAACUAAUUUUAUCCUUUAACAUUUAAUCAAUUUAAAAUUAGAUUUCAUAAUUGUUUUUAGCCUACUUUUUAUUAAAUUAUCUUAGUCUCGUCACUUGAAUUAUGAGUUUGAUAAAUUAACCUGAAUUAACUUAAGUUAAUUUUUUUAUAUAUUUUUUGUUUAAUUAUAUAUAUAUAUAUAUAUAUUAAUUUUAUCCUUUAAUAUAAGGUUAAUUAGAAAUUAAACUUUAUAAUUUGUUUUGAUUUACUUUAUGUGCAGUUAUUCUAGUCAUAUGAUCAAAGUUGCAAGUUUCGCAGGUUUGCCCAAAUUAACUCAAGUUACUUAUUUUUUUAUUGAAUUUUUUUUUAAUUUCAUCUUUCAAACAUUGUGUUGAUUGAUAAUUGAAUUUCAUAAUUUAUUUAAUUUUUUUUAUGGGGUUAUCUUGGUAUCAUGAUCCAAUAUGUUUUUAUCUCAAUAUUUUACAAAAAAAAUGUCGUUUUAAAAUUGUUUUAAUCAAAUUAUAUUUUUAACAGUUGUCCAAGUUAUUUUUGGAUCCGUCUAGUUGAUAGAGUCAUAUCAAAUCAACUUUCACACGAUUUAAAUAUUUUUUUCUACUAGAAAACAUAUCAUAAAUACUUAAAUAUUGUUUUAUGUUAAAAAAAUGUAUUUGACCUGUAUCAUGACGGGUUCAAUGUUAACUAUAAAACCUUGUUUUUAUAUUAGCAAGUCAAUAUUAAUUAGUAGAGAUAAAUAAAACAAAAACAAUAAAGAAAUUAAGAACAACUAACAUAUGUAAAUUUCUUUAAAUACUAGUUUCUUGAAAAAAGAAUGAAAACCAUGAUGUUUUUCAAAAAAAAUUCAGACCGAGUUUUGACUCAUUAGAUCAACUCAAACUCAACUUAUUUUGAAAGUUGAAACCCAACCCAUCCUCCUUCUUGGUAAAGAAAUCAAAGGAAGUUCUAAUAAGAGCAAAAGUUGAAUCUAUUAGCACAUAGACUUGCUGCAAAUGUAAGGAUAUUAUCUACUCUUGAAAAAAAUGUCAAUUUUGAAAAUUAAUGUUGCCAUGUUUCCAACAUUCUUGUAUAGUCAACAAAGGGAUCUGAUUGUAUGGAAAUAUUUGCAAUUGAAUAAUUCAACCACUUUGUCGCACGUGUGCGGCGGCGCGGCGAUCGUCCACCCUCAAGGGAAAAUCGAAAUAAUUUAUUCCUGGAAAAUAGGGGAGAGACAAGGAAUUCUUGUCUCUACAUGUGAAAAUAUAGACUGGGAGUCGCCACCUAGUAUUCUGGUUACUAGGAACCUUAACUGGUCUUUAGAGAUCGGGUACGGAGACUGGUUGCGUAAAGGGAAGGUAUUAGCACCCCAACUACGCCCUACCUAAGGUAGGCUGCAUUGUUUUAAUGUCUGAUAAAAUCUAAAAUCGUGUUGUGGUUUUUUUGAAUUGUUGGUUCGUUUACGGUUUAAGAAAAGUCCUCCUCUGUAAGGAGAUCCUUAUCUUUAUCGGGUAAAAAACUAACUAUUCGAAGUCGUCAAAAGAAAAUAUCUUUUUUAAUAUCAGGAAUACGAUUUACGUAUAAAUUCAUAAUCUCUGAUACUAAAAUCAAACAAAAUAAAAUAUUUUGUUGUUUUUGAGAUUUUGGCCAAUGUUCUCUUGACUUUAAUAAACUGGUUAUUAAAGCCAAAAUGCAUGCUAAAAUAUUUUUUUUUGACAUAUGCAAAAUACGAUAUGAUUUUUUAGAUUUGAGACACUUGGCCGUAUGCACAAAAACAUUUUUUUUUUAAUCUUUUUUCAAUUUUUUUUAUUUAUUUUUGGAAGUUUUUGCCGAAAAACGGGUAUUUUAAUACCGGAUUUAUAUUUUUACGAUGUAAAAAUACUGCCCGAUAUUAAUCAAAAUGCAUAAAAAACUACGAAAAAUUAUAAAAUGCUGAAACAAAUAUUUUUGAAAAUUUUUUUUAUGCUGUGUGAACAGUACCGCGGGACGAAAACCGGGUAUUUUAAUACCGAAUUUAUAUUUUUACGAUGUAAAAUACAUAUCGAUAUUAAGCAAAAUUGAUAAAAACAUGUGCUGGAAAAAUUGUAAAAAUUCUAUAAAAUAAAAAAAAAAAUGAAAUGGGCCGGGUCCGGCCCAUAUCAGUGGGCUGGGCCAACCGGCCCAAACUAAAUGGGCUGGUUACUGUGCAUAAGCACAGUAACCAGCCUCUCAGCAGUUGCAGAACGUGAAUUAAUUCACGUUCUGCAUGAAAAUAAAGAGAGAGGCAGCAGCAAAGGAGAAGGAGACGGGGCAACGGGUUACCUGCGGUGGCGUCGAGGCGGUGCUGCUGGUGGCAGCGGAGGCGAUGGUGGCGGAGGCACGGUGGCGGCGUGUUCUUCUCUCUCUCUCCUCUGUUUUUUCUUCUUUUCUUCUCUCUUCUCCUCUUUCUCUCUUCUCUCCUUCUCUCCCUUCCUCUUCUCCCUUCUGUUCUCCUUUUUUCUCCUCUUCCUCCCCUGUUUUUAUAGGCGAAAAAACAGGGGGGGGGACUGUUGGGGCGGCCACUGUUGGCCGCCCCUCCACUAUCCAAGUGGCCGAAAAAGUGCAAGUGGUAUUGUGGCGUCUUUUUGAGCAAAAGAGGAAAGUAAUUAGGCGAAAAGGGGAAGAAAAAAUCUUCUUCUUCCCCUGCCUCGUGUGUCCAGGGGAAGAAGAAGAGCUACAGUGCCGUCAAAACGGCACCGUUUUGGGCUUCUGUUUUUUUUUUUUUUUUUUUGCAACAGUGAAUGAAACGGCGCCGUUUUGGUCAAAACGCGCCGUUUCAUUUAAAAGGAAAAGGCGCCAAAACUCAGAUUCAAAUUUCGGCCCUCCAUUUGCGCGCGUUUUGCAUUUAGUCCUUGGUCUCGGAUUUCUUCAAUUAAGUCCCUAAUUGGCCAUUAAACUUCAAUAUUUAUGCAAUUAAGGCCCCUGAUUUGACCAAAUUAACUUCCAAAAAUUAUAAUUUGACCCAGAAAAUUAAUCUCCUAAUUAAAGCCCAAAUUAACUCCAAAAUCAAUUUUUCUUGCAAUUAAAAUCUUCAUAAAUGCAAUUAAACCUUUAAUAAAAUUUAAUUGAGUCCAUAAACUUCUGAUUUUGCAUUUUUCUUCCACAAAUUGAAUUUUCUUUAUCAUCGGGGCUCUCAUCGGUCAAUGAUAUACUGUCAAAAAUUAAUUUUUGAUUUUUGAACAUCCUCAAUCAAUUUUUGAGCAUUUUUAGGGCGCUCUAGCAUUUUUUCACUGUUAUAUUUUUUGAUAAUAUAUUUUUUGAAUUUUUUUGUAUUUUAUUAUUUUUUAUGUGGGGACCCAAAAAAUGGGUUACAACACACUUACUGGUUUUCCCUUGUUGAUGCUGGAAAAGAAAGAUCUUUUAGUCCUACACUAACUUGUUAAUCUUGAGGGCAAGAACCUUGAAACUCCAAUCUUUGUCUGUUUUAGGAGGCUGCUCUGUUUUCCGGUAAUGGUUCAGUAAUGUUAUUCCUAAACUUUCACUAAAUAUUUUCUUUAAUUUCCGGUACGCUGCUCUGAAAUUCCUUCAUGUCUAACUUGUAAAAUAAUAGUUUUUGAGCGGUUCUACACUCAAACAAUUCUAGGCAAAAUUAUCUGUGUUUUGAAAAUUCUUGAAAUUAUUUUUAGCUUUAAAUUUUUAAUUUUUUAAUUUUUUAGAUUAUUUUAAUGUGUUGGUGUUAAAAAUAAUUUUUUUAAAAAAUAUAUUAUUUGAUAUAUUUUUAAACAAAAAAUAUUUUAAAAACAACUUUUAUUAUAUUUUUAAAGAGAUAAUUAUUCAACUAAGGGACCUAUUUGAUAGUCUUAUGUCUCAGCUAAGGAUGCUUCACCCUCCCUAGUAUUCCUGGGAUGUUUGAAAGUAUUAUAAUAGUUAUUUUUUAAAGUAUUUUUUAUUUUAAAACACAUCAAAAUAAUGUUUUUUUAUUAUUUUUUAAAAAUUAUUUUUGACAUCAGUACAUCAAAAUAAUCUGAAAAUAUUAAAAAAAUAUUAAAACAAAUAAAAAAAUAUUAAAUUAAAAUUUUUUUUUUAAAAAAGCAAAUUUAAAACACAAUAUUUCUCCCCCCCGCAGUGAAAAAGAUAAACACACAAUAAUGGCUUUGAUUUCCUCAUGCACCCAUUCCUAGGAUUGGUUUGUCUAUAUGCCUUUGAAAAAUAAUAAAACUGCUAUGCAUUACCGAGCGCACGCAAAGAGUACGAUACAUAAGUGCAAAGUCAUUAGUGCCCCCAUUGCUUUGCGUUAUUAUUUCUUUGCCAAUAAACAACAAUUUAGUUUGCGCUAUUUGAAGUCAAUAUGAUAGGAACCUUACAUAUUCCCAUGGUUUUUAUCUUUAUUUUUUUAAUUAUUAAAUUUUAAAAAAUAUUUUUCAAUUAAAAAUACAUUAAAAUAAUAUAUUUUAAUGAUUGAUGUUGCUUAUUCAGACAUGAUGAUAAGAUCCCUAACCUCUUUGAAUUCUGCUUCUGGUCUCACGUCAAGAAUCACAAACUUGUUUUCUUUCUGAAGACGCAGAGCUUCCUUCACAUCUACACUCCUGACCUGGAAAUAACAAAUAUUUUGGUUCUUAGUUCUCUCUCUGUGCGUGCACGUGCGAGUCUGAGAGACAACGGUAGGGAAAAAGGGACCUUAUUCUGGAGAAGAACUUCUCUCUUAGUCUUCCAAUCUUCCUCAGCUAAUCUCUCCAAAGAAAGAUACGAAAAAGAACUCACUCAGAGUCAAGAUUGAGGAUAAACACAGAAAAGACUCUAUGACUUGUUGGAAACAAUCUUUAGGAGAUCAGUGAUAUUGUUUCUGUUCAGAAACCAUGGACAAUCUUAUUAAUAAAGUCUAGGUUAGAGCAAAGUACCUGGUGAUUUUGCAGGUUUUGUUGCUGCAUUUAAGACUUUUAGGCCUCUUGGAAAUGUGCUUGAGGAUAAUCUCCCCCUUGAAGAUCCAUUUGAUCUGAUAGUGAAGAAGGGUGAGCAAUGGUCCUGUGUGGUCUUUGAAGAGAAAAUUAGUGGUGAUGAUUGAUAAUUAGGAUACAAAGAAGAUGAAGAUGAGUGUGAGCUGAUUGAAGGAAGUGCAGCCAUUUAGCAGGACUUUUAAGUCAGAAAUUUGGCUGUAGU
rnacentral:lncRNA from 1 species